rnacentral:lncRNA from 1 species
GGCGGCGGCGGCGAAUGCGACGGAAGACGACGCGUAGGGCCUCUUCUCCGGCCCCACACUCUGCGCCCGCCUCCAAGGUCCCUCCCCCCUCUCCCCCUCUGAUUCCCCAUGAUUUGGUAGUCCCCUCGGGCAACUAGGAGCUCACCCCCUAAUUUUGUCCACGUAUGUUUUGAGAAAAAUGUAUACAGAUGAUUUACAAAUUUCCAAUCUGAAUGAUCAAAAGACAGGGGUUAAAGUCGAAGUUUUAUAGAGGACAUGUUCAAACUCCACUUAUUUGUGCUAUGUGAAUAUUAGUGCAUUCUGUUGGAUUCCUGUUAUGUUGAAGUACAAUUGCCGUCUACAAAUCAGAAAUUACAAUCCUCCCAUCUUCCAUUCCGAAUAAGUUUACAGAAAAAUCCAGGAGCUCACCCCCUAAUGUCGUCCACGUCCUUUUUGAGAAAAAUCUGUAAAUAUGGUUUCCAAUCUGAAUGGUCAAAAUGGUAUUCGUAGUUUAAUAAGUAGAAGUUUGACAGAAGACAUGUCCAAAACAUCGCCCACCAAGUUGUGAUAUGGAGAGAGUAAUAACAUGUGAACAUUAGUGCAUCCUAUUGAAUUCGUGCAUACAAAACUUGUUUGGAUUAAGUACAAUCCAUUGAUCUUUCAUAUCGCCAGUUUUGAGAGAUAUUCAGCGCUAGGAUCGAUUUUACAGCAAAGUGUUUAUUCAUCAGAAGUAAAAAAAGAACAAUACAAACAAAGUGUUUCAGUCGCCUUUUUGUACACUAUACAAAACAAUGACCAGGUUCACAUAGUUAAUAUUUCUAUAGAAGAACACCAGAAUCACUUGAAAAACUGUACGAAUCUUACCGACCGUCGUAUGUUUCAUCAGGUUUCCAUUUAGAUAUUGCAUAAAUUACUCUCCCUUUCCAUCCUUGUAGCAGCCAACCGCGAUCUUCAACAGCAAAGAAUUCCUCAUGCCAAAACGUGUUCUUCAUGUAUACUAUUAUCCUUAAGAUAGCUGGAUCGACGGGAAGCUGCUGGAACCCGGCCUUGAGGCACCUUGCGUGCCACUGCCUGUAACUUUCUGGUCUCUCAGUUCUUUCUGCACCCUCACAUGCUAUCAUGUUAAGUGCAUCCUUCCCAAAUAUCAUCCUCUCAAUCAUCUUUCUUGCUUCAUUAUCCCGUGGAACUACGUUUGCAUCAAGCAUGUCAAACAUUGAAGAGUAAUGGAACAUAACCUCUUUGAAACGUUUUAUGAAGAAGGGAGAACUGCAUAACCCAUUUACGGUGCCUGAAAUAAAAACCUUUGGGUUCAUCAUCCUCAUCAUUUUGAGCACCUUGUCCCUUGCACUAUUUAUGGCUUCGGUUUCAUGACCGAGAUUCUUCAUCCGGAACAUGCAGUUGAUUAUCAGAACUUCAUCCUUGUCAAUGUUAAGAUCCUCAAUUUUAAUGUUCUCCCAUCUUGAAGCGGCAAUGCCCUGAUACUGAAAAGGUACCUUGAACAUGUUUGCAUAAUCAGCCAACCGCUUCCCUGUCUCCUCGAUCGUUUCGCAGGGGCGGAAACCUGGCUGGGGAACAUCUAUACCUGUGAUUCGAAGCUUAGGGGCUCCCUCUUCUUGCUGUGCAAACUUCUGAAUCAUUAAUGGCCACUGAAAGCCGAAGCCGAUGCCAAAAUCAACGAUGUGCACCCUUGGUUUCCCUUGUGAGACAUCAAGAAUAGCUUGGCUGGCAAAGUAGUAUGACGUCCUGUCAAAAGGGCAGGAUGCAACAAAAAGGCUGUGAGCAUCUAACCAAUCUGUUGUACUUGUUCUCCUCUCCAUUAGGUUGCCAUAAACCUGACCCCCGGUCCCAGCCAAGCGUGCCUCGAGGCCAUCCGCCAAGUAAAAUGCCAGUCUCUGAGAACAAUCACCAUCUGCUGAGGAAUGUUGUCUUAUCUUCUUUAGGAGUUUACUGGCCAACAGAUGGUUGUCUUCCGCCACAGCUUGUGCACAAUUGAUGAGGAGAGUUUUGAGAUCAACCAACUCUCUCAUAGGUUGCUUCCUCUGCCAUAGCUUCUGACGUCCUUUGCUCCGGCCUUUCAGUGAGUUCUUGUUUCCUUCCUCUGCUAACCCUCUUCGCAGUCUUGUUGUUUUUUUGAAACUCUCCAGACCAUAGCAUAGCAGAGCUUGGUCGAAAUUUUCAUUUCGAAUUAUUGCACAAGUGGUGAAGGCAAUAUGUUUAUUGCUCCUUCCCUCCAAGAUAUCCCAGUCCCUUGGGGCUGCCACCUCAAAGAUUGUGUUUUCGCUCCUCUCUCCUACUUUUGCCUUUGUAGACAGUUUGGAAAUGGAAAGUAUGCCAUUUUCUAAAUAUAUCAGCAGCUUAUCAAUACUUGGAGCAACAGCCAUCUUUGCCUCCUCGACACCUCUCUGAUGAUGCAAGGCGGGGAAACCAGAUCUAGAAGUCGGUCCAACACUUAUGAACGGACGGUUUUGUAGAGAAAGACUCCUACUGCAGAUAUAUGGAUUCGAUGGGGUUGUUAAGGGCUGUAACAAGCUGUAACUGGAACAGUCAUUACUGAAGCUAGUGCUCCAGAGCCUCUUGUAACGGCUGGUCCUACCCUUAUCAGGGCUGUCUGGUUCGUUGUUCCUAUUCAACAGCGGAGGGUUAGUAGCCAAUGGGGGUACCUGCCCAAGAAGGUCACGGAAUGGUUUCUCAGCAGCCUGGAGAGCGGCGUCCCCUUGGCAUAUUUCAAACCUCUCGUCGACGUCUUCCAUCAGCAUCUGGCUGAUAUAGUGAAGAGCGUCGUUUGAUCUGAUCCGGCGGUGCUCAGGGCUACCCCCUGCGGCCGUCUGUAGGCUGCUGUUGACAUUGCACAACCCAGGGCUGGUGACUGCAACAUGCAGAUAUGUGCUUGCUCUAGUGGUUGUUGGCUGGGCCAACAGUGGACCACUCAGGUCGUAGCUGUCCACGGUGAGUUGCUGCUGGGAAGAGGAAGCGCCGUCGUAUGGUUGGUGGGUUGCUGCGGUGGGGUCCAGAUCGCCAAGGAGAGCUCCAACCGCCAUUCUGGAAAAUCUCUUUCUAUUUCCACUUCAAAUGGAGGAUUCUCCUGGCAAGCAGAACUGGACAAGAGGCAUGUGAUUCUUCUGUGUACCAUAGCAAAUGAAUCAGCAGCUUGUUGCCUGCAAAACAAAAGAGUAGGAAGUUGAAGCUUAUUUAUGUGAGACAAUUUUGUACUGUAUUCCCUCCGUAAAGAAAUAUAAGAGCGUCUAAACGCUAUUAUAUUUCUUUACGGAGGGAGACGCUCUUAUAUUUCUUUACGGAGGGAGUACUUCACAUUGAUCAUCUGCUACAAUCUGGAAUGAUAAAAAGGAAUUCUGCCGGGCGAGCACUUAUCCAUGCUGAGGAAAAUUGAAUUUCCGAAGGCUUGCGGAAACGAGCAUUACUAUUUUACCUGGUUAAACCUCAAAUGUUUAGCAUUGAUAACAGAAAAAGGACUCACCUCUGGUCCUUGUUAAGGCAACCUUGAAAUUACGACGCGCCUAAUAGCAUUGUUCCUUUUUUUGUGCAGGUGGCUCCUCAUCUGAUCUGAGCAGGGAAGCAUACACCUUGGUUGUUAUAUUAAGUAGCAGCACGAUCAAAUGAGAAGCUUUGAGAAGGAGGGAGAGGAGGGGUGUCUGUAGACUGUGGUGUUGAUGUAAACUUGGUAAGUCUUUUGUUCCCAACUACAGCCAUGGUGAUUGUGACAGAGGAUGGUCCAGAUUGCAACAGUUAUCCUCUCGAUUAAUCCUAGGCCUGGCUACACGCCGGACAUGUAAAAAAACAACUGUCAUAUCGGACCAUCGUUCUAAUUUUAGGGAUAAAAACAGAGCGCUUCCUAACGUGACCGACGUGGUCGAACGAACAAGCGAGGGAAACUAUUAUUUCCUGCUAGUCUGCAUGCGUACGUCUCCAAAUGUGCAUACAUGCAAACUCUUUCUAAUCCCAAGAUCAGCAGCAAGGCACAGCUCCUUCUUCUCCCCUAGUAUAUACUAGAUUAAUUUUGCUUGAUUGAAUACAUAGACUUCAAUUUGAUUCUUUCUCUAUUCUGGAUUUUUGAUUCAUAUGUAAAUUUCAUUUUGCUUGUUUCAAUGCAUAGCCUUGCAUUUUUAUUUUACUUUUCCUAUUAUACUCCCUCCGUUCCUAAAUAUAAGUCUUUUUUAUAGAUUCCAAUAUGGACUACAUACGGAGCACAAUGAAUGGAUCUACACUCUAAAAUAAGUCUAUAUACAUCCGUAUGUAGUUUGUAUUGAAAUCCCUAAAAAGACUUACGUUUAGAAACGGAGCGAGUAGAUUUUUGUUUGCUUCAUCUAAAUCGGAAUUUAAUUUUGCUUGAUUGAAUAUGUACCAUUGCAUUUCAACCCUCAUUCGGGACGACUAAACAAAAAUGGCUUGCAUUUUGCCCCCCUUCAUCUAUUUCCGUGCCCGUGGGUUUGUUAGGGUUGCCGACAUGAACACUGCAGAAAGUUCGUCGGGUUAUCCAGGUGGGCAUGGGGUUAGGCAUCCACGAGGAUUUCCACAUGGAUGGGCAUGUCGUCCAUCAAUAGUUGAUUCUGCUCCUCAAUCAAACUUAAUGUUGCCACCAAGAACUGUCGUAGGCAUGUUGUGUUCCAUCAAAUACGGCGUUUUCUUCCGUACAAUAUGUCUUGACAUCCAUUUCAUAAUCUGCUUCUUCGCAUCGAUGAAGCAACUUCCUAUAAAGAGGAACAUCUAGCAGACCAACAUGGAAAUGAAGAAUCGUCAACAUCGAUGUCACACACACAGUCUGGUAUUUGCCCUUAACCGUAACCUUUUUCCUUGAUUAAUCCAUGUUCAUGUUUCCGAGCUUACGAAUCAUUUAUGUUUACACCACUCUCUUUCUACCUCAUCAUUCAGCCCCCCCCCCCCUCCCCCGGCGGUGUUAUUGCAAACAUUGUGGCACUCUUUUGUUUUUAUUAAAACGUUGUGGUACUCACUUUUGGUGGUAUGAUGAAGAGUUUUGAUCAGUUGGCCCAACAUGACACAGCCAGGGCCCAGGGCCCAGUUAAUACACGACUCAGCACCUGAGCAGGUGCGUAAAUGCUCUCCGAAGGCAGAAACCGCCUCCUCUCCCCUCGUCUUCGGUUCUCCCUCCUCUCCUGCACGACCUGUCUCUCCAUGGCCACCAAGAGGAAGCUCGGCAGGUCGCCAGCGGCGAAUGCGAAGGCGUAAGCCAAGGAAGACGAGGAGGAGGGGUACUUCUCCUCGCGCUCCUUCGCCUACCUCCAAGGUCCCUCCCUCCCAUGUCUCCUAUUCCCCAUGUCUCUGUGGCCCUAGUGAUUUAGCUGUCCCCUCAGGGAGCUAGGAGCUGACCCCCUAAUGUCGUCCACAUAUUUUUUGUCAAAAAAAAUCUAUGCAUAUGAUUUUCAAAUUUCCAAUCUGAAUGAUGAAUGAUCAAAAUGAUAUGGAGGCACGUGCAGAACGUCACCCGCCUAGUUGUGAUAUGGAGAGUAAUAAAACUCCCUCCAUUUCUGUACAUAAGACCACUUCAUAUUUUUAUGUCUAACUUUGACCAUUAAUUUUAUCAACCAAAUGUGGGUUACGUGCCACGAAAAGUAUGUCAUUGGAUGCACAUUUCAAAGAACUUCUCAAUGAUUUUUUUAUGACAUAUAACCCAUAUUUUGUUGACCAAAAUUACAAGUCAAAGUUUGACACCAAAAGCGAAGUAGCCUUAUAUACAAAAAUGGAGGGAGUAUGUGAACAUUAGUGCAUUCUAUUGGAUUCCUGUUUAGAUUAAGUCCAUUUGCCGUCUUCAGAUAAGAAAAGACAGUCCUCUCAUCUUCCAUAUCACAAGUUUUGAGAGGUAGGCAGUGCAAUAACCUGCUUCACAGAAAAUCCAAUGUUUAGGUAUGGCAUUCCACUAAUCUCAAGUCUUGAGGCCCAAUACAGUUUAUUCAUCAGAAAUUAAAUAGAACGGCAGAAGCAAAGUAUUUUACUGUAGCCUUUUCACUAGUAGAAAAAGGGGCUUUUGUUCGGGCCUGGCCAGCCCAUUAGUCCCAGUUCUUAUAUGAACCGGGACCAACGGGUGCAUUCGUCCCGGUUCGUGAGCCCAGGUGGCCGGCCGGGACCUCGCGGGCUUUGGUCCCGGUUCGUCUGGACCCAUUUGUCCCGGUUCUAGGAACGAACUGGGACCAAUGGGCCUCGCUCCUGGCCCAUAACCAUUGGUCCCGGUUCCAGCCACGAACCGGGACAAAUGAUUUGCCUAUAUAUAGCCCAUCGCCAGCGAGCAGAGCACUCGACCCUGCUCUGUUUUUUGCUGGCCGGCGAGGGGAGGGCAUUUGGGUGCUCUAGCUCACCUCCUAUGCACAUGAGGUGUUCGAUUAAAUGUCCGAGCCACACUAGUUAAUAUUUUUUCUCUCGAAACUCGACCUCCGAGCUCCAUUUUCCCCGGGAUUUUUCUAGGUUUAGCGGUCCGUCACGUCUCGUCUCCGUCUUCACCGCUGUCGAUCGCCCGCGUCGAUCUUGUCGCCGGCACUACCGUGGUGAGCCUCUUGUUCUUAUCUUCUUUCUGAAAGAAAAAAAAUUCUUACUUGAGAUAGAUACUUGUCUAAUUUUCUUACUUUUAUUAUUCCUUGUUAUUAUAUAGUGCGAUGGUUCUGCUAUCCGCCCCCAUCGGCCCUCGUCCUGUAUAUGAUUCAGAUGUGGUAUAUAUUAUCUUUUUAUAACUAUUUGGUUCAUUUAUUGUUUAUCACAAUUAUGCCGACCAACGUGACAUAAAUUUUAUUUAUGUAGGAGGUGGUUGAACCGGAAAUUCCAACCGACCCUAUUGUCGAGAGGCUAAAUUUAGUCGAAGAAGAAACCAAUUACUUGAAGGAAAAAAUAAAAAAAUUGAGGAGGAGAAGAUGAUAUUGGAGUUGCAUGUUGCGGAUGUCGUCGAUGAUCACAAGAUCAAGAUGGAUGCAAUGCGUUGAAGAUUAGAAAGAUUAGAAAAUAUGCCAUUCAUACCGAGGCUUGGUAUCAUUAUGCCGUUGGAUCAAUUGUUACCUUAGUUGUGAUUAUGAUCACAUUUGUUGUUGCAUUGAAAGGUUUUACAUAGUUUCAAUGUAUGGUUUAACUAGAUGCUCUGGAGAGCUAUAUGUUGUUCAAUUUGAACUAUGUAUGUACUUCGAAACCCUGAUACUUCGAAAGAGAUUGUCCGUUUUGUACACGAAGUGCAUCCAGUUUUUGCCGUAAGCCUCUCUACUUUCGUGCACAUGCUAUGUGGGUGAAAUGAUGAUACCAUGCCAACUUUUAACCUUUUCAGAGUUCAUUUGAAAUGCUUUUCAAUUUCAGGGUAUUAUAGCUGAAAAAAUCAGUAAAUGCAUGAAAAAUAACAAAUGAAGUCAGAAAGGGUUGAAAAUUGAUGAUGUGGCUUUGAAUGGUGCAUUUUGAGCAUAUAAAAACUAUGGAGUUCAAAUAAGUUCAAAAAAUGAAAUCCUUUUGUAACAGAUGAGUUUCCGUAUGAAACCCUGAUACUUCGAAAGAGAUUGUCCGUUUUGUACACGAAGUGCAUCCAGUUUUUUCCGUAAGCCUCUCUACUUUCUUGCACAUGCUAUGUGGGUGAAAUGAUGAUACCAUGCCAACUUUUAACCUUUUCAGAGUUCAUUUGAAAUGCUUUUCAAUUUCAGGGUCUUAUAGCUGAAAAAAUCAGUAAAUGCAUGAAAAAUAACAAAUGAAGUCAGAAAGGGUUGAAAAUUGAUGAUGUGGCUUUGAAUGGUGCAUUUUGAACAUAGAAAAACUAUGGAGUUCAAAUAAGUUCAAAAAACAAGAAAUCCUUUUGUAACAGACGAGUUUCCGUAUGAAACCCUGAUUCUUCGAAAGAGAAACAAAAUAAAAUAAUCAGUAAAUGCAUGAAAAUUUAAUAGCAAAAAGAAUUAUCAUAAAAUAAAAUAAAUAAGUAAUUUGAAAAAUAAUAAUAUAAACUUUAAUAAAAUAUAUAAGUAAAAACAAAAUAAAAUAAAAUAAAAUAAACUUUAAUAACAUAAAUAAAAUUUAUGAAACUAGAAUUAUCAAAGUAUUUUCUGUUCAAAACAUUAUAAGCAACCUCUAAAAUUUAUGAAACUAAAAUUAUAUAAAAUUGAUGCAACUAAAAUUAUCAAAGUAUUUUCUGUUCAAAAUCAUUAAAAGCAAAAAGAAUUUCCAUAAAGAACCUUGUUUGUUAGAAACUUUAAUAGCAAAUAUAUAAGUAGAAACAAAACAAAAUAAAAUAAAUAAGUAUUUUGUUGUAAGUAGAAACAAAACAAAAAAAAGCAAAAAAGAAAACAAAAAAACUGGGAAAAAAUAAAAAAAUUGCCACCUACUGGGCCACCACGGCCUGAAUACGACUAGAAACCCAUCAAUGGGCCAGGAUUCAGGCCCGCAGAAGGUCCAGUAGGCCCAUCUGGCAUAGCAGUGACAAGUAGGUCCGUAAGCCUGCAAUAGAGAGGAGCUCGAGAGGGGUGCGGCAGUGGGGCUUAUAAACCACUGCGCGCCCCUCUCAACUAGCGAGGUGGGACUAAACUCCCACCACCACGCCGCCGUGCGAGGCCUUUAGUCCCGGUUGGUGGCACCAACCGAGACUAAAGGUGGGCUUUGGUACCGGUUCGUGCCACCAACCGGUACCAAUGCCCCUUUAGUACCGGUUGGUGCCACCAACCGGGACCAAAGGCCGCCGCUUCCCGCCCUUUGGGCUGCUGAAAAGAGACCUUUGGUCCCGGUUGGUGGCACCAACAGGGACUAAAGGGGGCAUUAGUCCCAGUUUACGCCACCAACCGGGACUAACGCUUGGACUAUAUAACAAACACUUGUGAAAAUUUUCAGUUUUCAUCGCCAGUUGCCUCCCCCCUCCCUCGCCGACGACGCCGUCAGGCUGCUCCACCUCGCCGUCUACGCCGCCGCCGCCAAUGCCGUCGCCUCCCCGAGCCCGCGCCGUCCUCGUCGCCGGCAUCCCCGAGCCCGCCGUCCUCGUCGUCCCCGUCGCCGCGUGCCUCCCCGAGCCCACCCCUCCUCGUCCCUGUCGCCGCGUGCCGUCCCGAGACCGCCGUCCGCGUCACCGCGUGCCGCCCCGAGCCCGCCGUCCUCGUCGCCGGACUCCUGCCAUCGCCGGCCCCCUCGAAGUGAGCUCCCCCCCUUUCCCAUGGUCCCGAUCGAGCGCCGCUCUUGCGCCCGAGCGCCCCUUGCUCUCUGCCCCUGCUCCAUGGUCGCCGCCGGCCCCGACGCAUUGAAGAGCAGAAGGAGAGGAGAAGGAGAGGAGAGGAGAAGGAGUGGAGCAGUAGCAACACGCCGUCCAAUUUUCUGAAAUUUCUGAAUUUUUUUACAGAUAUGAACAGUGCAUAUAGAGGGUGUUUGAUAAAAUGCUAGAUGGCUUUGGGCAUUUUUAGAAUUUAUGAUAUUUUUUGUGGUGAGGUACUGAUGCAAGACAAAGGUGAUGACAAAAUUUCAGAAUUUUUGGAUUGGUUUAGGAUAGGUUUUCAGCAAGGAAUUUGAAUCUGAUUCAAAUUUCAUUUGAAUGAAAUUUGAAAAUUUUGAACUAUGGAUCAGAAGGUUUUUGGUGAAAUGGAGUGUGGGUACUGUCAUGAAGUUGGAGUAAUUUUUGUGGUUGUAAAAGAGUUAGGAAAAUUUAGAAUGUGCUAAAUAUGUCAAAAAUGUUUUUUUGUUCAUAGAAAGUUUUUUGUUCAUAUACAGAAAGUUUUUAUAUAUAACUAUGGAUAUAUGAGCAAUGAUGAUCCUUGGAUGUAUGCAUUGAUAUAUAUGAGAAACGAUAUUCAUAGAAUAUUUACCAAGUAUAUAUGUAUUUUUGUUCAUAGCAUUUUUUUUUCAUUUAUAUAUGUAUGUGGCUAUCGAUGGAUAUAUAUGAGAAAUGAUGAUCCAUGAAAAAGUUUUAUAUAUGCAAAAGUUACCAAAACUCUCGAGGACACCCAAACCCUAGAAAAAAACGAUGUCGGUCUCCUACCCCCUCCCGCCGCGCCCCUACCCGAUCGACAUACUCUCUUGAGGCCACUCAAAUUUACCAAGUUAAAAUAGCGUUGUCGUCGAGGCCACCCCGAACCCCUUGAAGCGUUGUUGAGGCUACCCCUUGAAGCGUUGCCGAGGCCACCCCAAACCCUAGAGAAGAGUCGAGGCCAUGCCACUAAUAUGAUUCCUUAUUGUGCUUAGCUAGCUAGUUCAACAUUUGCCACUAAUAUAUCCAUAUGUCAUGUUUGAAUAAUAAUUGCCAUGUUGUAAAUAUUUGCAGAAACUAUGGAUUCGCACCCCCGAGACGAAUCAAAAGAACCGGUGUUGGGGGAGAUAAUCGCACACGGAAGUGAUGCCGUCUUGUCGUUUCUCAACGACACAUGCACCGAUGGUCUGAAAAGACAGGAUGAAGAAGCAGGCUACGACGAUGAUCAAACAAUGGAGGAGGAAGGACACCGUGAUGACGGCUCCGGUGACCGAAUGGAGGGGGGAGGACAGGAUGAAGAAGUAGGCUCCGGUGACCGAACGGAGUCCGGCCAGGUAUAUAUAUUAAUUAAUUAAGCAUGUGCUAACUAUAGCUAAUUGAUGCAUUAAUUGUUUUUGGUAUGUACACAUAUUAACUCUCUUCUUUUUCUUCUUUUCUAGCCCUCCGGAUCGAGCAACACUUUGGUAACGAGACGAGGCCCGAAGAGAAAGUUGCACGCGGAUGAAAGGUACACGAUCAUCGAAAUUGAUCGCGCUGGCCAACCGAUUGAACCCCUCCGGACCAAGCAAGAAUUUAAUGCUCAGUGCGGGGUUCUAGUGAGGGACAUGAUCCCGAUCAACAUCGAGCAAUGGUUGAAGCCUAAGGACAAAGACUCUUAGGUGUCUUAUGUCAGCGAUAGGCAGAAAGCUGAUCUUUGGACCGCGCUGCAGGAAAAUUUCACCUUCCCGCCAGAGGAGGAUCCGGAGAAUCCAGUUAAAAAGCCAAUGAUCAAGGCUUAUGCUCUUAAGAAGAUGGCUGAGCUAUUCAGGAGGUGGAAGAAUGAGCUGAAAUCAUCGUUUGUCGACCAAGACAAGACUCCAGAAUUCAUCGGCCGAUUUGAGAAGAUCAAAGAUCAGUGGCCCGAAUUUGUCACCAAAAAGAAAUCUGAGAGAGCAGCGGAGAUGUCAGCGACAAACAAGAAAAAUGUUGCAAAGAAGAAGCAUCACCAUCGCACGGGGUCAGGUGGCUACCUGAAAGCCCGGCCGUUGUGGGACAAGGCUGAGAAUGACCUCAUUAACAAAGGGAUCGAACCAGAGACGCGACACUGGCCAGACCGUUGCAGGACUUGGUUCUUCGGGGUUGGGGGAAAAUUGGACCCUGUAACAGGGAAGUGCGUUUGGACCGACGAGCAGCUGAACACACCCAUCGAGAAGCUUCAGGAGUAUAUCGAAAAGGCGCAGCAAGGGACGUUCGUUCCGGACAGAGAGAACGACAAGCUCACAGAGGCCCUCGGGAAUCCUGAGCACUCCGGACGGACACGAGGCACGCCAGGCUCCCUUUCGUGGAAGGCUGGAUUUCCCAACGCAGGCGGUUACAAACGCCGGGAGAGGAAGAAGAAAAAGGAGUUGACCCAACUACAGGCGCUGCACGCAAGGGUACAAGCGCUAGAGGAACGAGAGGCAGUUCGCAGCACGCGACCUGCCGAACCUACACCCGAAGUUACCCCGCCAUCUCAGCGGAGAAGCAGCGUGGCUUCCACGGAGCUGCUUCAGGAGCCUGUCUUCACGGCUCAUGCUAGCUACCCCGUAGAUCCUAUCACGGAGUCUCAGCAUUGCCACCUUAUGACGCAGUGGAUGGAAUUGAAAGUCAAGGCGGCCGUUGGCUCUAUUGCACCUCCUGAACCUGGCGCAACUUUUCACUGCCGGCCGAUUCCAGAAGGAUAUGCUAGGGUGAUGGUGGAUGAAAUCACAGAAGGAUUUGAGGACCUCCAGCUUGACCACCCUACGGGUGAGGGGAGACUCGCCUGGGUUCUUGUCUGAAGACUCCAUGCCUAUGGCGGAAGGAGCUCAUCAACCUUCCGAACUGGAUGCCUCCGCCUCCUCCUCCUCCUCCGGCAAGUCAGGGCACUCCGCCUCCUCCACCGCCUCCUCCUCCGGCGAGUGACGAUCAGGGCACUCAGCCUCCUUCUCCGGCGCGUGGCGGCACUUGGCCUCCUUCUCUGCCUGCGCCGGCGCGCCCGAGCAGCCACCAGCCUCCUCCUUCUCCGCCUCGCCAGCAAGGGCGGAAGAGACCCGCCGCCGCCCCGGCUGCUCCGGCGCGUCGUAGUCCUUCUCCUCCGCCUCGUAAGCAAGCAUGAAAGAAGACAGCCGCAGCCGCUCCGUCUGCUCCGGCGUCUAGCAGUACGACCAGAGGUGGGAGGCAAUACAGAUACGGUCCACCUCUCAAGCCUCUAGAGAAGUUACCGUACGAGAUGACCGUGGAAGAAAACAAGAAGAUCGUGCAGAAAGAAAUGAAGGACUUCUUUGAAGGGGCGAAAGCAGAGAGACAUCCACCUCCGGAGGAGAAGGUAGAUGCGGUGAAAGCAAAGCACACUAUCGAUGCCCUGAGGAAACCACCAAAGUCUCUGCCGAAAACCAACUAUGAGCGUGUUACUGAAAAGACAUAUAUCGAAGCGGAGCGGUCGGGAAGUACUGUCAGUGAUCAAAGGUUAAAAGAACGACGAGCAGCUGGGAAAAAAUUGCCCAGUUCGGCGAACAAGCGAACCAAUCGUGCCGCCCGCUCAAUGUGUCUAGCGACAUCGUCGCUAAUGCUCCGGGGAUGGUGCCCGGUUAUAGAAAUCUUGGAGAUUACCUGCCUGACGAUGUACAUUAUGAUUUCUUGGAGGUGGACGAACACAGAUACGAGUACGGGAAGCCUCUCGUCAAAGAUGAAAAAUCUCUAACAACGAUGAUGCGAAGAUUCCAUAAUUGGUACAUGAAAACCUGCAGAGAGUCUGGGGGGACGAAUACUUUGUAUCUGAGAAUUAAAAAGGAGCACGACCUCGUUGGAACUGAUCUGUUGCAUGUUCCAUUUGAGGAGUUCUUCCAGUUCUUCAAUCAAAAGGCCCUCGAUAAAUUAACGGUCACUUGCUACUGUCUGUAAGUACUACUUCGGUCAUUAAGUCUCUAUAUAUAGCUCAGCUCUUUCAUUGCAUGUAUUUAUAAUUAUCCUCACUAUAUUAUGCAGAUUGAAGAUCGUCGAGUGCAGAAAAGCAGAAAUGUAUGAUAUUAGGUUCAUUAAUACAAAUCUCAUAGAUGAAUUUCAGGUUAAAAAGAACGCCGAAGAGGCCGAGGCCAACUUGCUCAAAUCAUUAUUAAUAAAUCAAAACAAAGAUUUAAUACUCUUUCCUUACAACUUCAAGUGAGUGUUACUGUCGUGUGCAUAUUCGGUUUCCCUUAUUACUCGAGCGAGGUUAUAGUAAUGUAAUUGAUGAGUUAUGCAUGCGUGCGCAGCUUCCACUAUAUUCUCUUGGAGAUUAAGCUUGAGCGGGGACUAGUAACCAUCUUAGACUCGAGACGAAAAGAUCCCGAGACCUAUGCAGACAUGACUAAAAUUCUCAACAAGUAAGUUCAAUCGAUCAUUAUCGCACCAUAUCGGCAACUUUUUGUUCAUUUCCUGAUAUCUCAAGUAAUAAUUAUUUUCUUUGUCUUGCAGGGUUUGGAAACAGUUCACCGCAGAAGUUCCGGGACUGCCGAAGGAGCUGCGAUAUACAUACCCGAAAGUAAGUACUACUAGCUAGCUAGUUGCGCGCAUCUCCCGUUGAUUCUUGCUACUUUCAUCAAUGCCAUUUAUAAUGCUUCAUUAUCAGUUUGAUUGACCUCUAUUUCUCGAAAAGUGCUUGUGGCAGGAAUAAGGGAAUGAUUACUAUGGAUACUACGUGUGCGAGUUCAUCUACAACGCGACUUUGAAAAAUAAGCGGGGCUACUCUAAAAGACAAUAUGAAGUGCGUAAGCAAUAAUAUUCACAAUUUCAUUUUAUUACACCAUCAUUUCUAUUGAGUUUCAUUCAUAUAUAUGUAUUAACCCCCUUCUUCAAAUUAGACGUGGCAGAUGCGGAAUGAACUCCUACCACAAGAUCGCAUGAAAGCAAUUCAAGAGGAAUUGGCGGGAUUCUUUCUUGACCAUGUCAUCAAUAAAGCCGGAGAAUACCAUGUGGAAGUUGAGUUCAAAUGCUAGGGGAUUGUAAGAGAUCUUAAAUAUUGUAUAUGUAUGUAGCCAGUAGCGUCGGAUAGAUAAUACGAAAACUUGUUGUUCGACCAAUCUCUCGGAGAAGGAGAGGGUUGAUCACUUCUCUUGGUAUGCAUGACGAACUUCUGUACUUAAUGGUUUCCUUCAUUUUCUUACUAGCUAGCGUGUCGAGGGCCUCUCUAUGUAUAGUACGUAGCAUCGACCAAGCACGGAGAUAAGAGAGGACACUUCUCUCUAUUAAUUAAUUAGCUACCUAACACAAUAUAUGAACACCUUAAUUAACCAUACAAAACCGCCAAAUCCACCCCCCCCCCCUUUCAGAAAAAAAACAAAAACCUAGCCCCUGAACAGCUGACGCGUGGAUGCCUAUUGGUCCCGCUUGGUACCACCAACCGGGACUAAAGGGCCUCCUGCCUGGCCUCGCAGCACCGGCCACGUGGAGGCCCAUCUGUCCCGGUUAGUAUAAGAACCGGGACUAAAGGCCUAGGCAUUAGUAACGACCCUUUAGUCCCGGUUCCCCAACCGGGAUAGAUGGGCCUUAUGAACCGGGACUAAUGGCCCUUUUUCUACUAGUGUUUUGUUCACUAUACAAAACAAUGACCAGGUACACACAGUUCAUAUUCGUUUAAAAGAACACCCAGAUUCACUUGAAGAAUUGUUUGAAUCUUACUUAUCAUCAUAUGUUUCAUUAGGUUUCCAUUUAGAUAUAGCAUAAAUUAUUCUCCCUUUCCAUCCUUGUAGCAGCCAACCGUGAUCUUCAACAGCAAAGAAUUCCUCAUGAUAAAGUGAGUUUUUCAGUCGUACUAUUUUCUUUAAGAUGGCUGGAUCAACAGGAAGCUGCUGGAACCCAGCCUUGACGAACCUUGCUUGCCACUGCCUAUAACUUUCUCGCCUCACGGUCCUUUCUGCAUCCUCACAUGCUAUGCUGUUAAGUGCAUCCCGUCCAAACAUGAUCCUCUCAAUCGUCUUUCUUGCUUCAUUAUCUCGUGGAACAUUUGCAUCAAGCAUGUCAAACAUUGAAGAGUAAUGGAACAUAACCUCUUUGAAACAUUGCAUGAAGAAGGGUGAACUGCGGUACCCAUUCACGGUGCCAGAAUUCAAAAUCUUUGGGUUGAUCCUCCUCAUAGUUUUGAGCACCUCGUCCCUUGUGCUAUUUAUGGCUUUGGUUUCAUGACCAAAUUUCUUCAUCUGGAACAUGCAGUUGAUUAUGAGGACUUCACCCUCGUCAAUGUUAAGAUCCUCAAUUUUAAUGGUCUCCCAUCUUGAAGCGGCAAUGCCCUGAUACUGAAAAGGCACCUUGAACAUGUUUUCAUAAUCAGCCAACCGCUUCCCUGUCUCCUCGAUCAUUUCGCAGGGGCGGAAACCUGGCUGGCAAACGUCUAUACCUGUGAUCCGAAGCUUAGGGGCUCCUUCUUCUUGCUGUGCAAACCUCUGAAUCAUUAAUGGCCACUGAAAGCCGAAGCCGAAGCCGAUGCCGAAAUCAAUGAUGUGCACUCUUGGACGCCCUUGUGAGACAUCAAGAAUAGGUUGGUUGGCAAAGUGGUACGACGUCCUGUCGAAACGGCAAGAUGCAAUAAAAAGGUCGUAAGCCUCUAACCAGUCUGUGGUACUUGUUCGCCUUUCCAUGAGAUUUUGAUAAACCUGACCCCCGAUCUCCCAGCCAAGCGUGCCUCGAGGCCAUCCACCAAGUAAAAUGCCAGUCUCUGGGUACAAUUACCAUCUGGUGAGGAGUGUUGCCUUAUCUUCUUUAGGAUUUCACUGGCCAACAUGUGUGGUUGUCUUCUGCCACAGCUUUUGCGCAAUUGAUGAGGAGACUCCUGAGAUCAACCAACUCUCUCCUUGGUUGCUUCCUCUGCCAUAGCUUCAGACGUCCUUUGCUCCGGCCUUUAAGUGAGUUAUUGUUUCCUUCCCCCGCCAUCCUUUCUCGCAGUCUUGUUCUUCGGUCAAAACUCUUCCGACCAUAGCAUAGCAGAACUCGGUCGAAAUUUCAUUUCGAAUUAUAGCACAAGUUUUGGUGGCAUGAUGUUUAUUGCUCCUUCCUUGAAAGAUAUCCCAGCCCCUUUGGUCUGCCACCUCAAAGAUUGCAUUUUCGGUCCUCUCUACUACUUUUCCUUAGUAGUCAGUUGGGAAAUAUAAAGUACGUCAUUCUUUAAAUAUAUCACCAGCUUAUCAAUACUUGGAGCAAACAUCUUUUCGUCCUCGACACCUCUCUGACAAUGCAAGGCAGGGAAGCCAGAUUCGGAAGUCCAUCCAACACUUACCAAUGGAUGGUCUGGUAGAAAAAGACUCCUGUUGCAGGUAUAUGGACUCAACGGGGUUGCUAAGGGCUGUAACACAUUGUAACUCGAAUAGUCAUUACUGAAGCUAGUGGUCCUGAGCCUCUUGUAACAGCUGGUCCCACUCUUAUUAGAGUUGUCUGGUUUGUUGUUGCUAUGCAAUGGCGGCCAGUCAGUAGCCGGCGCGUAUACCUCCCCAAGAAUGUCACCGAAUGGCUUCUCAGCAGCCUGGAGAGCAGCCUCCCCUUGGCAUAUGUCGAGCCUCUCGUCGACGUCUUCCAUCAGCAUCUGGCUUAUGUGAUGAAGAGCAUCGUUUGAUCUGAUCCGGCGAUGCUCAGGGCUACACCCUGCGCCGAUCUGAAAUUGGUGUUGUCCAAGGUUGCUGCUGACACUGCACAACCCAUGGCUGCUGACUCCACCUAGCCGAUAUGUGCUUGCUUGGUUGGCUGGGGAAAGAACUGUGGAGUGUGGGACACUCGGGUCAUAAUUGUACAUGGUGAGUUCCUGCUGGGAAAAGGAAUCACCAUCGUAUGGUUGGUCUGUUGCUGCAAUGGUGUCCAGAUUGUCAUGGAGAGGUUCAAUCGCCAUUGUGGAAAGUCUGAUUUCCACCUCCCUCAGUAUGAGAUAUAUGGUUCUUCUCUGUCCCACAGCAAAUGAAUUAGCUUGUUUCCUGGAACAAGAAAAAAGGGAAAUGGAAGCUAAAUUAUGUGAGACCAAUUGUGCUACAAUCUAGAAUGUCCAUUAAAUGGAAUUCUGAUCAGCGAGCUCUUUUUUUUUUUCUUCAUUUCCUUCACCUUCUGCUUCUUCCUUUAUUAUUGGAGAUUCAGCUUAUGAUUGUUUUUGGCACGCCAUUACCGAAAAUCCGAAAGCUUGCAGACACGAGAAUAACUAUUUAAGCCGGUUAAGCAUAUUACUAAUGUUUAAGCAUCAGUAGCAGAAACAGCACACCUAAAGCGAUUUUGAAACUAUGACACGCCUAAUGCCACUGCUCAGGCUCCUCAUCUAGCAAGUAACAAAAGUAAGGAAGCACACACCUUGGUUAAUUAGCAGCAGCAUCAGAUCCAGUGCUUUGAGAGAAGAGUAGUGAGGAUGUGGGCUAUGAAAGAAGGGUAGUGAGGCUGUGGUGUUGAUAUAAACUAAUUUUUUUGUUGAUCUUCUUGUUGCUUUGUUCCCAACGUCAGACAUGGUGAUUAUGACAGAGAAUGAGUCCAGAUUACAGCAGUUAUCCUGUCGAUUAGUUCUAAGCCUGGCUGCGCAUCGGACGUAUAAAAAAUUGUUCAUUAGGAACGCUUGCAUGGGUUUCAACAUUUUUAAGGUUCCUAAUUGAAUUGUUAAAAAAGGAGAUGCACUGUUCAAAGAAAAAUUUCUUUCUUUUCCGCUUGAUAGUUGAUAUAUGUUAUGGCCUUGUUCGAUUUUUUCGAGGAUAGUUUGUUGUACUUUAUAUCAUUAAAAUAAUCUGAUUUAUUUCGUGAUUAUCUUAGUUCAAAAUUGAAUUGUCGGUGCCUAGCUAUUCUGAUGAGAUUUGCACUUAUGUUCUGCCGUAUUUGUACCAAAUGUUUAAUUAGUGUAACUGCCUUUGAGUUUUAUUUACAACAUCCACGGCGGUGUUAGUUAUCAUGUCAUGAAAAUGCACGUCCGGGUUCAAUCUAUACUACUAGAAGAACAUGUUAAAAAUAACUAGAAAAGAAAGUAAAACAAAAUCUGUAAAAAAUUGACGUAAUUGAAAAGAAAAGGAGGCCCUGUUCAGAGAAACUUGCAUUAUUGUUUUUCAUUUGAUAGUUGACAUAUAUAAUGGUUGACUUUUUGGGGGGUAGUUUGUUGUACCAAGUUUGUGCUUGGUUUUCCCCUAGGCCAUGCCAAAGCGAUAUUGUAUUGAUGUCUCACUACUACAGAUCUGUAUAGCACUGAUCGGCCAAAAUGUGUCAUCACAGACGAGUUUCUAGCCGGUCAGUGUCUCACGGUCAGUGAUGACUACCUCAUCAGUGACGGGCCAAUUGACCCGAAUGUGAUGAGAUUAUCAGACUGGCCGACCAGUCAGUAAGGACUAUGUAUUGUCUUCUCGAGCAGUUUGUUCAGAAAUUAAAUAGAGCGACAGAGGCAAAGUAUUGUAGUCGUGUAGCUGCGCAUUUGAAUCACCAUCCCACCUUCUUCCGAAGUGGUACUUCCCAAAGCUCAUCUGAUGAAAGAAUAUCUUACAGUAUUCAGCAAUUUAGACCCAUUGUGUUGAGAAUCAUGCAAGUAACUACAGAGGGGGUAAGUUUGCCUACGCAUGUUGGCGCACUUGAAAAACUAUUUGAAUCUUACUGAUCAUCAUAUGUUUCAUUAGGUUCCCAUUUAGAUACAGCAUAAAGGACUCUUCCUUUCCAUCCUUGUAGCAGCCAGCCGCAAUCUUCAACAGCAAAGAAUUCCUCAUGAUAAUGUAAGUUCUUCAUGUGUACUAUCUUCUUUAAGAUGGCUGGAUCGACAGGAAGCUGCUGGAACCUAGCCUUGAGGAACCUUGCUUGCCACUGCCUGUAACUUUCUGGCCUCUGAGUCCUUUCCGCAUCCUCGCAUGCUAUGAUGUUAAGUGCAUCCCGCCCAAAUGGGAUCCUCUCAAUCAUCUUUCUUGCUUCAUUAUCCCGUGGAACAAUUGCAUCAAGCAUGUCGAACAUUGAAGAGUAAUGGAGCAUAACCUCUUUGAAUCGUUGUAUGAAGAAGGGAGAACUAUGUAACCCAUUCACGGUGCCAGAAAUUAAAACCUUUGGGUUCAUCCUCCUCAUUGUUUUCAGCACCUCAUCCCUUGCGCUAUUUAUGGCCUCGGUUUCAUGGCCAAGAUUCUUCAUCCGGAAUAUGCAGUUGAUUAUGAGAACUUCAUCCUCGUCGAUGUUAAGAUCCUCAAUUUUAACGGUCUCCCAUCUUGCAGCGGCAAUGCCCUGAUACUGAAAAGGUACCUUGAACAUGUUUGCAUAAUCAGCCAGCCGCUUCCCUGUCUCCUCGAUCAUUUUGCAGGGGUGGAAACCUGGCUGGGGAACUUCUAUGCCUGUGAUCCGAAGCUUAGGGGCUCCCUCUUCUCGCUGUGCAAGCUUCUGAAUCAUUAAUGGCCACUGAAAGCCGAAGUCGAUGCCGAAAUCGACGAUGUGCACCCUUGGUUGCCUUUGUGAGACAUCAAGAAUAGUUUGGUUGGCAAAGUAGUAUGACGCCCUUAUGAAAGGGCAAGCUGCAAUAAAAAGCCUGUAAGCCUCAAACCAAUCUGCUGCACUUGUUCGCCGUUCCAUUAGAUUGCCAUAAACAUGACUCCCGAUCCCACCGAAGCGUGCCUCAAGGCCAUCCGCCAAGUAAAAUGCCAGUCUCUGAGUACAAUCACCAUCUGCUGAGGAGUGUUGUCUUAUCUUCUUUAGGAGUUCACUGGCCAACAGGUGGUUGUCUUGGGCCACUGCUUGUGCGCAAUGGACAAGGAGAGUCCUGAGAUCAACCAAUUCUUUCCUCGGUUGCUUCCUAGCCCAUAGUUUCCGACAUCCUUUGCUCCGGCCUUUCUGUGAGUUCUUGUUUCCUUCCUCCGCCAUCCUUUCUUGCAAUCUUGUUAUUAGAUCGAAACUCUUCCGACCAUAGCAUAGCAGAACUCGGUCGAAAUUUUCACUUCGAAUUAUUGCACAAGUGGUGAUGGCAUGAUGUUUAUUGCUCCUUCCUUGAAAGAUAUCCCUUUGGUUUGCCACCUCAAGGAUCGCGUUUUUGCUCCUCUCUCCUACUUUUGCCUUCAUAGUCAGUUGGGAAAUAUAAAGUAUGCCGUCCUCUAAAUACAUCUCCAGCUUAUCAAUAUUUGGAGCAAACAUAUUUUCCUCGUCCACACCUCCGUGACAAUGCAAGGCGGGGAAACCAAAUCCGGAAGUUGGUCCAACACUUGUCAAAGGACGUUUUUGUAGAGAAAGACCACUAUUGCAGAUAUAUGGACUCAACGGGGUUGUUAAGGGCUGUAGCAAGCUGUAACUGGAACAGUCAUUACUGAAGCUUGUGCUCCAGAGCCUCUUGUAACAGCUGGUACCACUCUUAUCAGCGUUGUCUGGUUUGCUGUUGCUAUGCAAUGGCGGCCGGUUAGUAGCCGGCACGCAUACCUCCCCAAGAAUGUCACGGAAUGGCUUCUCAGCAGCCUGGAGAGCAGCCUCCCCUUGGCAUAUGUCGACUCUCUCGUCGUUCUCUUCCAUCAGCAUCUGGCUUAUGUAGUGAAGAGCAUCGUUUGACCUGAUCUGGCGGUGCUCAGGGCUACCCCCUGCAGCAAUCAGAAAUUGGUUUUGUCCAUGGCUGCUGUUGGCACUUGCUUGGUUGGCUGGGGAGAGAACUGUGGAGUGUGGACCACUGACGUCGUAGUUGUGCAUGGUGAGUUGCUGCUGGGAAGAGGAAUCACCAUGGUAUGGUUGGUCGGUUGCUGGGACGGCGUCCAGAUUAACACGGAGAGGUUCAAUCGCCAUUCUAGAAAGUCUCCUUUCCACCUUAAUAUUAGAUAUAUGACUCCUCUUUGUCCCACAGCAGAUGAAUCAGCUUGUUUCCUGGGGGGAAAGGAAAUGGAAGCUAAAUUAUGUAAGACGAGUUUCGGUUCACCUAUGAUUGUUUUGCCAUGCCAUACUGAUUGAAAGAAAAUUCCGAAGGAUUGUAGACACGAGAACAACUAUUUUUUGCCGCUUAAACAUAGAAUGCUUAAGCAUCAACAACAGAAACAACAUGCCUCAAGCGCUUUUGAAUCUACGACGCGCCUGAUACCAUUGUUCCUUUUUAUUUGCAGGAGGCUCCUCAUCUGAUCUUAGCAAAGAGCAAAAGUAGGGCAACACACACCUUGGUUAUUGAGCAGCAGCAGCAUCCGAUCCAGUGCUUUGAGAGAAGAGUAGUGAGGAUGUAGGCUAUGAAAGAAUAGUGAGGCUGUGGUGUUGAUGUAAACUAAUAAUGUUUUUGUUCCUCUUCUUGUUGCUUUGUUCCCAACGUCAGACAUGGCGAUUGUGACAGAGAAUGAGUCCAGAUUACAACCAAUUAUCCUGUCGAUUAGUUCUAGGCCCGGCUGCGCAUUAGAGGUAUAAAAAAGUGUUUAUUAGGAACGGUUGCCUGGGCGUCAACAUUAUUAGUGUUCCUAAUUGAGUUGUUAAAAAAUCCGAGGUGAUCGAAAGGACAUGCACUAUUUGAAGAUAUUUUUUCUUUCUUCCCCACUUGAUAGUUGAUAUAUAUAUAUAUAUAUAUAUAUAUAUAUAUAUAUAUAUAUAUAUAUAUAUAUAUAUAUAUAUGGUCUUGGUUGAUUUUUUUUCGAGGAUAAUUUGGUGUACUUCAUCUCAGUAAAAUAAUCCGAUUUUUUCAUGAUUAUCUUAUUACUUCAAAGUUGAAUUAUUGGUGCCUAACUAGUCUGAUGAGAUUUGCACUUAUGUUCUGCCGUACCUGAAAUAUUUUACCAAGGCUUGAGUGAUACGGUUGUACCAAAUGUUUAAGGAGUGUAAAUGCCUCUGAAUUUUAUUUACAACAUCAGCCCGAUUGUUAGCUAUCAUGCCAUGAAAAUGCACAUCCAGAUUCAAUCUAUAAUACUAGAAGAACAGACCAAAAAAAUUAAUAGAAGAAGAGUAAAAUACACUGGAAGUGCUUCAAUUUGUCUUGCACGGUCAGUUUGGUGUCUAAAGUUGCAAAAUACACAAAACUGACGCUCGAACUUGUCCGGCCAUGCAAAUACGGUGCCUCCUUCCAUAUUCGAACAUUAUGUCCAGCCCACGUGGCGGUGACCCACCUGUCAGCGGCUAUGAGCGGGCAAGUGCAGGACGAUCCGCGCGUGAGAAUUUUUUUAAAAUAGAAACCCACACAUAUUUUUAUUUAAUCACAUGUACAGGAAAGCGUUAAACAUUUUAAUUCAAUUAUUCACAAUGUUACAGAAUAAAUUUUUAAUACACGUUGAACUUAUUGUCAAAUACACAUUGCCAAAGCGAAAAACUAAAGAACUUGAAAAUUUUAAAAUAAAACUUGUGCGGGUCCAUAGAAGCGCCAUAUAUAGAUAAAAAUCAGUUGAAGACGUACAUAGCAACCAAAGCGGAUUUUUGGAGCACGGUGGGCACUGAGCAUGCUAAAACCUGGCACUUAAAAGUUUCAAAAGGAGUUGAUUGUUUUCACAAAAAACGUAUGCCUGUGCUCUAAGUGACUUUCAAAUUUCGUUUGAAAUUAUGUUAUAUUAUACCUGACAAAAAAAAGACAAAAAUCCGGCAAAAAAACAAGUUGAUUUUUUCAUGUACUAGUCUUUUUUUUAUCUCCCAUGCACAAGCAUCAAUUUUGAUGAAAAUUCAUACUAAUAUAUUACACUUCUAUGUGUGCAUGUACAGAAUUAUUUCAGAUUUUUUUAGCUGUAACAAUCUGUUUCUUUGAACUUCGCAAAAAAAGGACAUCAUGUGUCCGUGCUCCAAAGUUACUUUUUCAUAGCAAUGCAGAGUAUGGCACGGUUCGGUCCUGCGUCAUGCAUUUUUUUUAAUUUGUGGUUUUUUCUCUAUGUGAUUACAUAAAAUAUGAGAGGUUUUUCUAUUAAAAAAAUCCUCACGCGCCCAGGUCACAGCAGCUCCUGAACUCUCCGCCACUGACAGGUGGGUCAAUGCCAUGCUGGCACACCAUGCAGGCUAGACAUUCCAGAUACAAAUGGAGGCAUCGUAUUUGCACAUUCGGACAAGUUCGAGCACUGGUUUCAUGUACUUUACAACUUUAAGCACUAAACUGACUGUGCAGAGGAAGUUGAAGCACCUCCGGUAUAAUUAACUCAUAGAAGCAAAUAAAACAAAAUCUGUUAAAAUUUUGGACGUAAUGAAAAGAAAAAAGGAGGCACAAUUCAAAAACUUGUAUUUUUUUUUCAUUUGAUAGUUGAUAUAUACAAUGGUUGAAUUUUUGGAGUGUAGUUUGUUGUACUUUAUCUCAUUAUUAAACCAUCAAGUUUUUCGUAAUUACUUUCACCGUGAUAGUGGUAUCGUAUAACGGCUUUGAGAUUGGUCAUGUAUAUGUGAUAAAUUAGAUGCUUUGAGAUUGGUCACGUAUAUGUGAUAAAUUAGACGAGUUCGCGGCCAUUAGUAACAAACUAGAAAAUUCCCCGCGUGUUGCAGCGGAAAUUUUUGUCGACUUCUUUGAGACAUAUUGUAACGGUAUAUAUAUGUAUGUAUUUUACACAGCAUAAUAUGCAUCCAAACAACUGAAUGGACAUAUAUAGGCAUUAUGGUAGUAAUAGGUUUUCUUGUAGCUUGAACCCUCAGAACACAUGUUAGGUAGGAAAACCAUAGUUUUUUGAUCCAGUUGUUGCAUCUUGAUUAUUGAAAACAAUGGACAAAAAAUCUAUUGUGGAUGAACAGCAUGCAAUAUAUAUGUUCAAUCUGGGGGGUUCUACAAAACAUUUAGAUAAAAGAGAAGUUCUUUCCUGGAUUAGUUACUAUUAGAAGCUGUAGCAGAAAAUCCACUCCAGGAAAGAUUGACAACCCAAUUUGCAGAUAGAGAGAAAAGUGAUAUACUUAAAAAGGGUAAAUGUCAGAACAGCAAGCUAGCUGCAUGUGUCGGCUUAUUUCAUUGCUUCAUGGAUGGAACUUACAAUAUGCAUGUGUUUGUGAUCUGAAAAACCUGUUGAUUUAGGUAGAUCGAUUCCGGAAACCAAAUUUUCUCUCCAUAGAAUUUAGGCCAUCAAACUGGUAUGCUACAACGAUCUGAAUAAUUCAAGGAAUCACCUAGUCAGUGGCAAGAAUAUACAAUUGUAGGAAUACAGUGCAAAAAGACUAAAUAGGCUGCAGUAACUUCCCAGAGCAGGUAAUAUAAAAGAAGGCAAAUCUUUAAUCUAUAUAGCAGUUGUAGUGUUUCAAAACAGUUGAGAAAUAUAAGGGAGCAGGAUAUGUGCAAGGGAGGCAAACAACAUGGCCACCGACACCAAAUUUUCAUCUGAGAAACUAAAUACAUAUUUCGUAUAUCUUCAUGAUUCCACAAAAAGAAACACAAGUCAGAAAAAAGGAGACAACCAACCAAUAAGGCACCUAUUAGAUAGUCGAGGGAGAUCCAGGGGAGCCACCACAACACCUGACAUGCUCGACAUGAAAGUUAUUCAAGAUCUGGGGGCAUUGUGAGGCACCGAUGUGAUGCGGUUGUUAUAUGUGUGCGGACAGAUGGCCUGCCGCUUGAAUGUCUGGCCGUUUCCACACAUGCAUGAGUGGGCUGACGGAACAACAACUACAACUGAAGGCACUGACGCAUAAAUAGCAGCGAAAAAACACCAGUCGGAGGCUAAUCAAAAUAAAAAAAUGUGGAAAAAGACCGGAGGACGCCGCUUCAGCUUAUUGCAUGCAACUUGAGAGGACAAAAAAAAAAGGAAAAAUAAAAUAAUUUGUGAUGUGGCAUGUGUGGUGAGGUUGGGACCCACUCGAUGAUGUGGAUAGGCUGCAUGUCAAGAUAAAUAUGAUAGUGGGGAUGAAUCUCUUAGGUAUAUAUAGGAUAACCUUCUUGGCAUUUGGAGGGCUCCAUCAACAUCGACAACAUUAAUUAGUUUGAUAAAUUACAUCUUAUUGGCAUUUGAAGGGCUCCGUCAGAGAUUGGUUGGCUAGAAGAACCAGCAUGAGUAUUCCAUCUAGAAAAGACAUGGUCUCUUUCACCAUGCUUGUCUCUUGAGCAAUUUAGAAUGAAAAGAACGCCCGCGCCUUCCGGCACAAAAGUGUUCCGCCCCGGAUAGUCCGCGACAUCAUCUUUGAGGAGGCCAAACUAUGGGUCACCGCGGGUGCAAAGAAGCUUGGGAAAAUUAUAUUGCGCGAGUAAUUUUCAUGCGGUGUUGAAAGGGAUGAUUGUAAAACUCUGUUCUUCUCUUAAUUAAUAGAUGAGAAAAAUCUUUUGCCCCCAUUUUAGAAAUGUAUAUAGAUUACACAGCAAAAGAACAAAUGUUGUUUACCCUGAAGAAAACUACAGAAAUGUACAGACAGUGUUUGUACUUUCUUUGAUUUCAAAGAGAGAUAAGCAUCAUUAUUAUUAUUUGUGUGUUAGAAAGGAAAGAUAAUAUUGUUUUUUUAUCAGGCUGUACACGAGUUCGCACUUUUUCUUGAAUCAAUAACUCGGGUAAGACUAUGAAAAUACAACACAACCUAUGAAAAUACAAACUGGUUUGAUAAGGUAGACAAGUAAUUGAACCUUAAAUUUGAUUCCCGAUGGGAUGGAGGUACCAUCUUCACUAACUAACUAAGUAAAAAAAUAGAAACCACUAACUACAUAAUUUGUGCUUGGUUUUUGCCUAGGCUGUGCGAAUGCGACCUUGCAUUGAUCCCUACGUCACAAACCAUCGUAGCUUGUUCGCCUAAUAUACAAAACUCUCAUCUUGUUCAUCAUAUUCCGUUUAGGGCAUUCACAUUUUAUUUUGCUAAGAAAUUAGGCAGUUUUUUUUAAGUUUGAUUAGAUUAGCAUCAUCACAAGAUUACUGACAUAGUGUUGUCAUGGCUUUUGCGGUGACAGCUCCUGGUCUACAUAUGGAGGCCUAAACCGGGCGACGUGGGAGGACCCUCGGGUUGGAUCAGCCACCUUAGUACCUCGUGUGGCAUAGAGUUUCAUGAACUAAACGAUAUCCCGAGUUGCCGUGGAAUCGAAUAUAUAAUUUGUAAAUAUUUUGUUGAAUGUUAAUUUAAUCCUUACAAUUCAAACUAUGUAACAAAUUUCUAUAUCAGCAAGAAAUUCUUAACAUGAAACUCGCAUGUUACAUGAUAGAGGAUUAUCAUGCAUAGAUUGAACGGAUGCUAGUGGAUCAAUCUAGUCAAUUUAAUAGUUAUCACAAUUUUCAUAAUGUGGAAGCACGUAUGCUGAGAUAAUUAGAAGCUUUUUCUAUCACUCUCAUGAAAAAAAUUGAACUCUUAGUUUUUUUUUAGGGGUGAGAAAACUCUGGUGUUUUUUUAGGGGAACUCUCAGUUUUUUUUUGGUUUGAGAUCCAAGCCUGCUCGAAUUAACUCAUGAUAUUGUCAGGGAUACAGAUUAAGUUUGGUUUCUCAGUCAACCAAACAUGCCUACCCAAAGGUAAGGAAAUUACAGCUUUUGCUAAGGAAUGUGCUUCUAAAUUUGAGUCCCUCUUCUCAUGCAAAACAACAGCGGACACAAAAUCCUGCAUGCUUCUCUUCAGCUCAAAGAUAAUCGCUAUGGCCCCUCCCAUGUAUUCUGUCUUGAGAUGGUUUACAGUAUUUAGACAGUCAGUGGCCACAAUAAUCUUGGUGCAGGCAAGGUCCUUUGCCAAAGCGAGUGCCUCCCUCGCUGCCAUGGCCUCCAGAAUCUCCGGCGAAACAAGUUCAGCAACAGUAACAGCAGAAGCUCCAAGAAAGUUACCUGAAACAUCACGACAAAUAGCAGCAAAAGACCCGCGGUCACCAUGCCUGCCGACAGCGCCAUCAACAUGUAUUUUAACUGAACCCGCAGGGGGCGCUCUCCAUGUGACCUGACGAUGAGCCUGCAUUCUUGGCUGCUGGCCAACUGGCCGGAGAUGGACUAGCUCGGCUUCCUGGAUGUCAUUCAGAUAACCUUGUAUGAAGGAAAAGUGGUUAGGGAAGACUGAAACUGCUCCUCAUGAACGACUUUCCUCCUUGCCCACCAUAUCGACCACGUAUCCAUGCACUUUCCUCCUUGCCGCCAAGCAAAUUUUUUUAGCUUUCAUGGGAUCUUCAGUUUCCACAAGCUCGUCCAUUCCUUCCUCUUGUCAUUUGUGUUUGAAGACCCGGCCUCUCCAUUAGCCAGUCCUCUCUUCUGCGCUUUGUCUCCAUAAGUAAUCUAUAAGCAGAUCUAAUUGUGAAUUGACCCGAUUUUUCACAAUGUUUCAAAUAGCGGGCUAUGGAAAAUAGCGGCAGGCCUCUAAAUCAGCUAUAGCGGGCUAAAGCAGGCUAUAGCAGGCUAUUUAUGAAGGCGACCAUUUAGCGGCACCCUGAUGAAAAGAACUAUGAUUUUUCAUAAUGCCAUGCCCAUGAAUCCGCCAUACUGAUCGAACACAGAGGAAUGUUCAAUAUAGCUUUUACAUCGGGCCCCUGCAACUGUUCGCGCAGAACCACUCUAUCCCAUAUCCCACUCUAGGCACAUCUAGAUAUGUCCUAGUUAUUGCACAUCUAAGUGACUAAACAUAAAAAAAAAUUACCGCUCGAAUCUUUGUCUAAAAUCGAUGACAUAGGGCUUAGAUGUGCAAUACGUACGGCACAUCUAGACAACGGCGAAGCUAUGUACAGCUCUGAGGGGGCCGUGGGCCCCCAGCCCAAAUGCAAAUUUCUUUUUACUAGUUAGUAAUAGCCCAUAUCUAUAUCUAUGUACGAGUAGAAGGCCACAAGCCCAUCUUGGCAUCUUUGGCAUUAUCAUGAACACGACCACCAGCCUGCUCGGGGCUCGGAUGCUUCUCAGCUUCACGUCUCUUUCCCCACGCUCGCCGCUUAGGCACGGCGGCUCGCCUCACUGCUCCGUCCACGCCGCCGCUCUACCUCGACGACGACGCCGGCGAGGAGAAGCUCACCACUGAUCCACGCGCGCCGAGGACGGAGGUCGCGAGGGGGGAAUCAGGGCGCAUCUGAAACGUCUGUUUUCGUCUCCUCGCCACUGGCCGGUGAUCGUCGAUGUCCGCCGGCCCCCCCUCCGUUCCAAAAUAGAUGACAAUUGAGUCAUCUAUUUUGAAACGGAGGGAGUACGAUCUAUCCAGCCCAAAUUACAACCUGAAACCACUGGAUCCCUUUCUGUACUGUUGCCUUGCCUGUACGAGUAAAUUGGGGGCAGCAUGCAUGUACGAGAUCUAAUUGCAGAUAUCUUGUUGCUUCACCACAGAUUUGUUCUUGUGAGUAACUACAAAUUACUACGGGUUGCUUGACUUGGAGUUGGGACUCAAAAGCCUAGAUUAACCAACAGAUCAAGUGACCAUGGUUAAAGGCAGCAGCGGCAACAUUCAGUCAUACUUCAAAAGACAAAGAACAGAGACAGCAGCAGAAGAUCCUCCAGCUGCACAAUCUUUACCUCUGCUUCUUGAAUGGGAACAACAAGAAGAAAAUCAAGAUGAAGAGCCUCAAACAAAUAAUUCAGUUCCUCUUCCUGUUGUAUUCCGAGGUAAGGAAUUCUUGGAGCGAGACCCCGCACUGCGACCGCAAAUUUGGCAAUACCCACCAAAUCAGAGAGAUAGUAUGCGGAGAGCAUAUUUGUCGUUAGGCCCCACGCAACCAAAACUGAAACAGUAUAGAGCUUCUGGUAAAAAGGGCCAUUAGCGUCGCUUCCAAUAUAAGUGGUUUGAUAGUUCCCCAUCAUGGCUAGAGUACUCGGAGGACAGUCAUCGCGCAUUUGCUCCUGAUGCUUCCAGUGAUGUAGAGUUAAAAAAAUACAUCAACAUCGACUGACCUUUGCCAAAUCCUUGUUGAGACGGGAAGAGAUAGAAUCUACCAUCUAAUUGACAGGCUACUUCGUCUACUUGUUACUCUUCCAGUUUCUACAGCUAGUGCUGAACAUGCAUUUUCCAGUUUGAAAAUCAUCAAAACAAGGCUGCGUAAUAAGAUAGAAGAUGAGAAUCUAGCCAAUAACUUGGUUGUUCACAUAGAGCGUGAAAUCGCAGAGAAGUACACCUUUGAGGACAUUUUAGCGGAAUUCAAGAGCAUAACUGAUCGAAAAGCUGAUCUGUAGUGCCACUCCUUUUGUAGUUCUUAGUUGGCUCACAGAAUGUCUUCGAAGUUUGAAGGCUGAGCGGUACAAGUAGACAAGUUGUAUAUUUUGGUGUAAUUAGUUCUCUUUUGGAGUAUAUAUUGCUAAUCAUACAUGUAUUUUGCGAGGAGUGAAGUGCAAAAAACCACCACAUUUGGGGCUUCAUCUGCGGAAAACCACCAGGUCGCUAAUCAUUUGCAAAAAACACCGCACAUUCAGUAAACAUUUUGCAGUUUGCACUGAACAGGUGAUUUAGCCCAUUUAAUCACUUUCUGACAUGUGGGGCCGGACUGUAAGGAGCUGACUUGGCAAAAUAAUCACACAUACCCCUAAUAGAUUUAAAAAAAAAAGUAAUCAGCCCCAUGGACCAUGCCCGGCUCCCGUCGCCGCCGACCGGGCGGUCGCGGAGACGAGGAGGAGGUGGAGCGAAGAGGAGAUGGAUAGGAGUGAGCCGGCGAGCGCGGCGUGCGCGUCGCGGUGGCCGACGGCGACGGCGAGCAGGCCGGCGCGUCCCCGGCAGAGCGCCAUGGCCUCCUGCUCGGCGCACCCACGACACAGCGCCACGACCAUUCCUGGCGAGGGUGGAGCGAGGAGAUGGGCAGGAGUGAGCCGACGAGCAAGGCGUGCGUGUCCCCGAGCGCGUCACGGUGGUGGGCAUCGACCGCAGGCAGGUCGGCGCGCUCGUGGCACAACCGCACGGCCUCGUGCUCGUCCUCCUGCUGGGCACGCCCGCGACACAUCACCAUGACGCGCGACGGCUGGGCAGGUGGUCUGGCAUCGCCAGAUCCCAGCGGUGGUCUACGGUUCGUGAAGCAGCGGUCGGCGGCGCGCCCUGGAUUCAGGCGGAUCCGGCAACCCCGGUGCUCGGCGGAGUUGGAGCGGCCCCGCUCGCCGUUGACCUCGUUCGCCUGCCCUCUGCCCGGCGGUAGAAGCAUCCAAGCCGUGUCAUGCGGACGGCUGGACACAUCACCAGGGCGCACCAUGCUGGGCAGGUCNNNNNNNNNNNNNNNNNNNNNNNNNNNNNNNNNNNNNNNNNNNNNNNNNNNNNNNNNNNNNNNNNNNNNNNNNNNNNNNNNNNNNNNNNNNNNNNNNNNNNNNNNNNNNNNNNNNNNNNNNNNNNNNNNNNNNNNNNNNNNNNNNNNNNNNNNNNNNNNNNNNNNNNNNNNNNNNNNNNNNNNNNNNNNNNNNNNNNNNNNNUUUUUUAAGAUUCAGGGGCGUAUAUGUCAAUUUGUUGCCAAAUCAGCUCCUUACAUUGCAGCCCCACUUGUCAGAAAGUGGUUAAACGGGCUAAAUCACCUAAUCAAUGCUUUUUGCAAAAAGUUUAUUGAAUGCGCGAUAAUUUUUGCAAAUGAUUAGCGAUCUGGUGGUUUUCUGCAGAUGAAGCCUCAAAUGUGGUGGUUUUUUGCAAUUCACUCAGUUGCAUGUUCAAGAAACGGAACAGUACUGAACUAGAUUUCUAAAUCAAAUCAAAUAAAAGUGUAGACCAGUGGACUAGAUCUGAGACCUUAAAUAAGUCAUCGUGCAUAGAGAAGUUUGAAAAAACGUAAGCCACCAAGGAAGCAUCAACCGUGCACUCCACUCUCAGGCGUGGAUGCCAUGGCUGCUCCAGUAGACACGCCCUGCGUCGUCGGCCCCGUGCCGUUCAAGGACGUGCACGAGGACGACCACGACCAUGCGAUGCCCCAUGCCGAGCACGCGGACGUGCACCAGGAGGAGGACGACGACGGCCAUGUGAGCAUCACCAGCCCGGGCUUGCCGUUGCGGCUUCACCAGGGCGUCUGGUUGUUCGACGAUCUUCGCCCUGCGUCUAUCUCCGUCCAGCGGCGCUUCGUCCUGCGGCCCGGCGACGUGCUCCUCGCGAGCCCCCCGAAAUGCGGCACCACCUGGCUCAAGGCGCUCGCCUUCGCCACCAUGGCGCGGGCCGCGUACCGGUCUCCGACGCCGACCACCCGCUCCGCCGCCUGAACCCGCACGAGUGCGUCCCCUUCAUGGAGGCGCUGUUCAGCGAGUGCGAGGAGGCCAAGCUGGAGGCGCUGCCGUCGCCUAGGCUCAUGCAGACGCACAUGCAUCACUCCAUGCUGCCCCGCUCCCUGGCCGACACCCCGGACUGCAAAAUCCUCUUCAUCUGCAGGUAGGUAACACAACCAAACCUCUUUGGAAGCACUGAAUACGCAUGGUCAAAAACAAUCAACAAAUCAAAAAAGAAUACGCAUGGUCAAGUUCUUUUUCUCUGGUUAUUGCUCCCUCGUAAAAAAAUAUAAAAGCAUUUAGAUAACUACUUUAGUGAUCUAAACGCUCUUAUAUUUAUUUACAGAGGGAGUAUUACGUUACCAACAGAGAGCGGCAUAUAUAUGUAGGGAGCCCAUGGACAUGCUGGUUUCCUCGUGGCACUUGUACAGAAGCACACGAGGCGUCACCUUAUCCUUCCCUGACAUGUUCCAGCUGGCGUGCCAGGGCAAGAUCGCGUAUGGCCCCCUCUGGGAUCACCUCCUGGGCUACCGGAACGCGAGCUAGCAAAGCAGCUCCGGAGAGGGUCAUGUUCCUGAGGUACGAGCAGAUGAUGGCGGAUCCGGUCACCAGCGUUCGGGAGCUCGCGAGGUUCCUUGGUGUGCCCUUCACGCCGGCCGAGGAGGCGGCGGGGGCGCCGGCGUACAUCGCCCAGAUGUGCAGCAUCGAAACGAUGAGAGGCCUGGACGUCAACAGAAGAGGAAGCACUAGGACCAUGUCUAUCCAUGUCUAUCCAGUUCAGGAAAGGGGUCGUCGGGGACUGGGUGAUGCCAUGCAUCUUCGAGGACAAGCUUCGUGGAUCCGGCCUCACCUUCUCGUCUUCUUGAAAAGCGGCCAUCUACAUGCUCGCAUGUGUGGCCCAUGCAAAGCUCUUUUUACGGUUCGGUAGGUAGCAGCGAACCACAAUGCACCACCGCAUAUAGUAUCUGAAAAAUCUUUGCAGUAUUCUAUUAAUUUAAGGUUAGUAUUUCCCUAUCUCGGGUCCCAUCAUGCAUGCAAAUGCAAAGGACCCGUAAAUCAGUGGAGGAGCUAGGUAGAAAGUGUUGGGGGGCCAAGGCUAAAAGAUGGGUGUUGAGGGUGUAAAAUGCUAAAAAAAUCUCAUCUAAGCCCUCCCCCAAAAAAUUAUUCACAGUUUGGUCCAAAGUUUGGGGGCCACAGCCCCCAGACUUGUCAUAGCUCCGCCGCUGUCGUGCAUGGUCCUGCUUCUCUCUCUUUUUACUGCUCAUGGUACAAACUACGACAUGCAUGUCUCUGAGAUUAUCUUUCCUGUCUCCAUCCCAAAAUCCAUCACUUUUAAUUCCCUUUUCACUAUUUAGAUUAUUCAUAUUUUUAAAACAAAAAUUCCGUUUUUGAAACUUUUUAUAUAUUGAACUCCUGUAGCCAAGACCUUUAGAACAAGAUCAAUCCUGAAUACAUUCAAACAUGUUUAAGUUUCAACAUUUGAAAUGAGCAAAAUCAGCUUUCUGGAAGAAAAAAAUGAAAUAUGAUCUUUGACUUGGGUGAAACUAACUUUUUUUAAUGAGUGAAAUAUGUAUUUCAUACACGUGACACAUUUGUGGGUGUGAAAUAAGUGAAAUUUGUUAUUUCAAAAUUUUGAAACUAGUCAUUUAAAACAUGUGAAACUAACUAUUUCAAACCAUUUCUUAAAAUGAGUGAAAUCUGUUUUACAAAACAAGUGGAAUUGUUUUUUGAAUUGAGUCAAAUCAGUUUUUCGAAAUAGUUGAAAUCAGUCUUUUGCUCUGAGUGAAAUCAGUUUUUCGCACUAAUUGAAAUCAAUUUCAAACUAAAAUAUGAAAAUGAGUGAAAUUUGUGUUCUCAACUUAGUAAAAUUUCUAAAAUGAGUGACAUUAGUUUUUUCUGAUGAGUGAAAUCAAUUUUUUUUUAACAUAUUGAAAUGAGUCUUUUUUAAAUGAGUGAAAUCAGUUUUACCAAAUUAGUGUAGCCAGUUCUUUGAAACGAAUGAAAUAUGUGUUUUCAAAUAUGUGAAAUUGGUGCUGAAAUUGAUUUAAAUUAGUUUUUUGAGACGACCGUAAUCUAUUUUUUGAAAUGAGUGAAAUUGUUUUUUAAUGGGUAAAGUAUGUGUUUCAGAAUAAGUGAGAUUAGUGUUUCAAAAUGUGUGCAUUUAGUUUUAUGAAAUGAGUGAAAUCACCUUUCCAAAAUGAGUGAAACCAGUUCUUUGUGUAACUUAAACUGUGUUUUGAUACGAGUGAAAUUAGUGUUUUAAAAUGAAUAAAAUUAUUUUUCCAAAAUGAGUUAAAUCUACUUUAGGAUGAGCUAAAUCUGUAUUUUUGAAUUACUGAAAUUUGUUUUCUUAAUUGUGUGAAAUCGGAUUUUAACCAAAGUGAUAAGAGUAAAAUCCAUUUUUUAAAUGCCAGGAAGAAUGAAACGGCAAAAAUUCAAACUACACUAAAAUAUAUUAAAUAUUGAUCUUGUUUUAAAUAUUUUAUAUUUAGGAAUUCUAAUAUUUAAAAAUAACACAUUUAUUUAAAAGAUAUCAAUCAUUUAAUAGCUAACAAGAAAGUAAAAUAUUAGUACUAUUGAUGGAGUGGUCUGGGACGCAGAUUUUUGGAACAUGGUGCCAUGCGAUGCUGCAAUACAAACAAUGUUGGUCAAUAAUGCGCUUCAAUACACUUUUCUAUACGGGCAGCAGUGGGCCUCGAAGCUUGUAAUUCGUAUGCAUACUAUUUGCUGGGUGCAAUGAUGACCUACAGACUCAUUUAUAAUGAUCCAAACGACCAGUUAAACUUAAGUCGGCAGCAUGUGAGAAAUUUAUGGUGCUUGGCUUGUGCCAGGCACCGCUAACUUGUGUGUGACGUACAAUCCUAAUCAUGUGAUAAGCAUAACCAUAGAAACAAACACAAAUUAAUUUCUAGUGUUGAUGAAUAUCAGCAUAACAACAUCAAAAUGGAUUAUUGAGUGAUAAGUACUCCCUCCGUCCCAAAAUAAGUGACUCAAUUUUGUACUAACUUUGUACUAAAACUAGUACAAAGUCGAGUCACUUAUUUUGGGAUGAAGGGAGUAUAACAUUGCGCGAUAGGUGAGGACGUCUCACAUAGUGGUUGAUACAUGAGGAAACUUGGAUAACAAAAAUAAGAAAAUUAGCUAUUUGGGGCUCUGAUUAUUUGUACUAGGUGGAAUGGUUUAAUCUGAUGUAGUGGACAUAUUUUUCAAAUUAAAAUCUUGGAUUCAUGAAAUUUCAAAAUAUUAAUUGCAAUUUAUGAAAAUUUCUUUUUGAGUUGCAAUUUAGGAACAUUAAUCAUGUAUAUGCACAUGCCCAUCUAGCAUAGUUAAAAGUCAAUUCACACUAAUUCAUCUCGUAAAAGAAAAUUAGCUAUUCGGGGAUCUGAUUAUUUGUUCUAGGUGGACUAGUUUAGUCUUAUGUAGUGGACACAUUUUUAAAAAUUAAAAUAUUUGAUUUCUAAAAUUUUAAAAUGUUUACUGCAAUUUAGGAACCUUUUUUUAGUUGCAAUUUAGGAACAUUAAUCAUGUGUAUGCACAUGCCUGACCUGACAUGGACAUAAACCGAAGCUAAUCAAGCAUAGUUAAAUAUUCACUCUAAUUCAUAUAAAAAGGAAAAGUAGCUAUUUGGGGAUCUGAUUAUUUGUUCUAGGUGGACUAGUUUAAUCUUAUUCGGUGGACACAUUUUAAGAAAUUCAAAUCAUAGAUUCCGGAAAUUUUACAAUAUAUAUCAUGGACGCAGAUUUUGAGGACAUGCGGCCACGCACUGCCGUUAUCCCGUGCGUCCGCAGCGUGUUGUGAUCGGCAGCUAAUAUAGCAUCUCGCCCCUCACGCGCAAUACUGCACAGUAUUAAUUUCUUACGAAAUGGGAAUACGCCCGCUAUACCCUCACACGUGUGGGCCAGCAUGCAUUUAUCUUCGUAGAAACACAGCCUUGUCCGUUAGCGAUUCGGGCCGCGGGAGGCCCCGUUCGUGGUGGGUCAUAACUGCCCCAUGUUGAGUCAUCUAGGCUGUCAUUUACUAUCCAUACAACAUGCACUCGCUCAUACUGGCUUUUCCUGUUUGACAAUGUGUGGACAGAACACUACUCAUAUGGAGUAGCUGCAUAUGUUCACCAGCUUCUUGACCGUCACCAUGUGACCGUUGUGCAGGUCUUGAAUGCCAUCAAUUUAGAUGUAUGGGGCUGCUUUCACUUAAUGGUGCAUUUAGAUUCGGCCAGACAUUGAUCGUGCAUGUGAAAGAUGUAUUAAUGUUUCCUCCUGAGUGUGGCCGACAUGUACACAUGUUUUGCAUAUAAUUUGUUGCAGAAUUUAUAAACGGUAAAUCACACUGCACUAGCAUUGAUAUUAUAAUUAAUAACUUGCAUGGAAAUAUUCCAUUUAGGCGCUUAUAACAUUAACAGUCGACAAAAUCAAGAAUGGCAAACUGCUAGAGCUAGCAUUAGCUAAUUAUUUCGCCCUAGAUACAGUUGACUCUACGACAUGAACCUCAACUUAUAUUGACUAGUGAGUAGAGGGACCUCAUUGCCAUGGGCGUCGCUGGAGAACCUAAAGAGCUGCUCCGGGACAUUGAUGAACACAUGAACGACACUAGGACAUGAACGUAAAAUAAUGGUGUUGGAGGAGCUGAUGGAGAUAAAAUACUGAUGCUACGUCAUAGAGGAUUAAGAGAGAAAAAGAAAGGAUGAGGGAUAUGAACUGCACUAUUGCUACGACUGUACAUCUCCAUGGAUGAGUUCUAGUUAGCUAUGCACAUGAACAGAAUGGAUGAACUAGAGAACGAGGAUGAGCAGAAUGCAUGCAUGAAGUGGAGGAGGAUAAGUGAGAGAGAAGCUGCUGGAUGGAGAACGGAUGGGGAUAAAAUGCAGAAGGUGGUGCAGGCUGUCUAUUAACUCCUCUAAAACAAAUAAUGUGGGAUCGGUACAAUUAUUGUGUGGUGGGGCAUUUACACUUACUGACCGUGUCAUACAUGGACAAUACAACAUUGACACACUGCCAAGAAAUCAAUAUACAUGGCUCGUUGUACAAUUACUGCACUGAUCUUUGUGCAGCGAACGGAUGAGAUACCAUCCUCGCGUGGCCGCAUGUCCACCCGUGAUUUAUCGGUAAUUCAGGAACUUUUUUUUGAGUUACAAUUUAGAAACAUUAAUCAUGUGUAGGCACAUGCCUGGCCUGGCAUGGAGAUAGAUCUAAGCUGAUCUAGCAUAGCUAAACUUUCAUCUAAAAAAAGUCACACCAAUUGGCGAACUUCUCAAUACACAUUGCCGUUGCAGCUGUAGAGGGGUGGUGCACUAGUACUAAAUAUGUAGUGGGGCAGCACACAUGAAGACAAGAGGGUAGUGUUUUCUUUUCUUUUUUGAAAAGAAGCAUGACCCUGGCCUGGAUGAUGCAUGCAGUCAUUUCAUUAAUUAUUUAUAAAUACCUUACAAAGUAAUAUAUCAGUAAUUCUGAAGUCAUUAUCUUGGCAACAUCUGUCCCUACUUCUAUCCACUUGAUGAAGGGGUGCCGCUUGUCCGAGUCAAGUACCAAACAGACCUCGCACCAAAGCCUAUCAUCUAAAGCCGAAGGCCCCAACCAAGCCGCAUUGCCGGGUCUGGGGCACACACCAGUCCGACGCACUCUUAGAGGCCGCCGCCGCCGUCUUUCAUCGAUCCAUCUUUAGAGCAGGUACUGAUGCAUUGACCUUGACAUGCCUGCCGUCGACGCCACCAUAGCGCCAGACAACACCACCUCCCUACGCGCGUCCAUCAUCAUACAUCUGUCGUCGAGACGCUGCGGCGCCACGCCGCCGAGACUCCACAUCGUCGAUGUGUGACAUCAAACGCCGCUCCACCGCAAAACCGUCCACUGGUCCCUCUAGUCAAUGCACACCUCCAAGAAUGACGCCCCCAAGAAGGGAACGACACAAGAGUGCCGCCAUAAUCCGAUCAACUGAUCAAGGGUUUCCCCCCGGAGGUAGAUGGAGGAGUAGGGUGUUGGGGAUCGUAGCAAAAAAUAAAUUUUCUACGCAUCACCAAGAUCAAUCUAUGGAGUUUACUAGCAACGAGAGGGGAGGAGUGCAUCUACAUACCCUUGUAGAUCGCGAGCGGAAGCGUUCAAGAGAACGGGUUGAUGGAGUCGUACUCGUCGUGAUCCAAAUCACCCAUGAUCCAAGCGCCGAACGGACGGCACCUCCGCGUUCAACACACGUACGGAGCGGUGACGUCUCCCACGCCUUGAUCCAGCAAGGAGGAGGGAGAGGUUGAGGAAGAAGGCUCCAACAGCAGCACGACGGCGUGGUGGUGGUGGAGUGACAGUUCUCCGGCAGGGCUUCGCCAAGCACACGCGGAGGAGGAGAGGUGUUGGGGAGGGGAGGGGCUACGCCUUGGGCAAGGUGUUGCUGCCCUCCCACCCCUCCACUAUAUAUAGGGGCAAGGGAGAGGGGGGCCGGCCCCCUCAGAUCCCAUCUGGUGGGAGGGGCGGCGGCCAGGGGGAGGUGGCUUGCCCCCCAAGCAAGGGGGGGCGCCCCUUUUAGGGUUCCCCAAACCCUAGGCGCAUGGGCCCUAGGGGGGGGGGGUUGGCGCCCAGCUCACUUAGGGCUGGUUCCCUUCCACCUACAGCCCAUAAGGCCCUCCGGGGCAGGUGGACCCCCGAAACCCCUCCGGUGGUCCCGGUACAAUACCGGUAUACCCCCGAAUAUUUCCGGUGACCGUACGGUGACUUCCCAUAUAUAAAUCUUUACCUCCGGACCAUUCCGGAACUCCUCGUGACGUCCGGGAUCUCAUCCGGGACUCCGACCAACAUUCGAGACCGGGAUCAUAAUGAGCAUCUGUUGGGUUGGCACGAAUCGAGACUGGGAUUUGUCACUCCGUAUGACGGAGAGGUAUCUCUGGGCCCACUCAGUAAUGCAUCAUCAUAAUGAGCUCAAUGUGACUAAGGAGUUAGCCACGGGAUCAUGCGUUACGGUACGAGUAAAGUGACUUGCCGGUAACGAGAUUGAACAAGGUAUUGGGAUACCGACGAUCGAAUCUCGGGCAAGUAACGUACCGAUUGACAAAGGGAAUUGUAUACGGGAUUGAUUGAAUCCUCGACAUCGUGGUUCAUCCGAUGAGAUCAUCGUGGAACAUGUGGGAGCCAACAUGGGUAUCCAGAUCCCGCUGUUGGUUAUUGACCGGAGAGUCGUCUCGGUCAUGUCUGCAUGUCUCCCGAACCCGUAGGGUCUACACACUUAAGGUUCGGUGACGCUAGGGUUGUAGAGAUAUUAGUAUGCGGAAAUCCGAAAGUCGUUCGGAGUCCCGGAUGAGAUCCCGGACGUCACGAGGAGUUUCGGAAUGGUCCGGAGGUUAAGAUUUAUAUAUGGGAAGUCCUAUUUUGGCCACCGGAAAAUGUUCGGGAUUUUUUGGUAUUGUACCGGGAAGGUUCUAGAAGGUUCUGAAGUGGGGCCCACCUGCAUGGGGGGACCCACAUGAAUGUGGGUAGUGGGGGCAAGGCCCCACACCCCUGGUCAAGGCGCACCAAGAUCCCACCUUAGAAGGAAUAAGAUCAUAUCCCGAAGGGAUAAGAUCAAGAUCUCUAAAAAAGGGGGAUAACAAUCGGUGGGGAAGGGAAAUGAUGGGAUUUCUUUCCCCCACCUUUGCCAACGCCCCAAUGGACUUGGAGGGCAAGAAACCAGCCCCCUCCACCCCUAUAUAUAGUGGGGAGGCGCAUGGGAGCAGCACCCCAAGCCCCUGGCGCCUCCCUCUUCAUCCCGUGACACCUCUCCCUCUCGCUGAGCUUGGCGAAGCCCUGCCGAGAUCCCCGCUGCUUCCACCACCACGCCGUCGUGCUGCUGGAUCUCCAUCAACCUCUCCCUCCCCUUGCUGGAUCAAGAAGGAGGAGACGUCUUCCCAACCGUACGUGUGUUGAAUGCGGAGGUGCCGUCCGUUCGGCGCUCGGUCAUCGGUGAUUUGGAUCACGACGAGUACAACUCCAUCAACCCCGUUCACUUGAACGCUUCCGCUCGCGAUCUACAAGGGUAUGUAGAUGCACUCCUCCCCUCUCGUUGCUAGCAUCUCCUAGAUUGAUCUUGGUGACACGUAGGAAAAUUUUGAAUUUCUGCUACGUUCCCCAACAGUGGUAUCAGUGUCAGGUCUAUGCGUAGAUUCUAUGCACGAGUAGAACACAAAUUAGUUGUGGGUGAUGAUUUGUUCAAUUUGCUUACCGUUACUAGUCUUAUCUUGAUUCGGCGGCAUUGUGGGAUGAAGCGGCCCGGACCGACCUUACACGUACUCUUACGUGAGACAGGUUCCACCGAUUGACAUGCACUUGAUGCAUAAGGUGGCUAGCGGGUGUCUGUCUCUCCCACUUUAGUCGGAUCAGAUUCGAUGAAGAGGGUCCUUAUGAAGGGUAAAUAGCAAUUGGCAUAUCACCGUUGUGGCUUUUGCGUAGGUAAGAGACGUUCUUGCUAGAAACCCACAGCAGCCACGUAAAACAUGCAACAAUAAUUAGAGGACGUCUAACUUGUUUUUGCAGGGUAUGCUAUGUGAUGUGAUAUGGCCAAAAGGAUGUGAUGAAUUAUAUAUGUGAUGUAUGAGAUUGAUCAUGUUCUUAUAAUAGGAAUCACGACUUGCAUGUCGAUGAGUAUGACAACCGGCAGGAGCCAUAGGAGUUGUCUUAAUUUAUUGUAUGACCUGCAUGUCAAUGAAAAACGCCAUGUAAUUACUUUACUUUAUUGCUAACCGUUAGCCAUAGUAGUAGAAGUAAUAGUUGGCGAGACAACUUCAUGAAGACACGAUGAUGGAGAUCAUGAUGAUGGAGAUCAUGGUGUCAUGCCGGUGACGAAGGUGAUCAUGCCGCGCCUCGAAGAUGGAGAUCAAAAGGCGCAAGAUGAUAUUGGCCGUAUCAUGUCACUUUAUGAUUUGCAUGUGAUGUCUGUCAUGUUUACAUCUUAUUUGCUUAGAACGACGGUAGCAUAAAUAAGAUGAUCCCUCACUAAAAUUUCAAGAGAUGUGUUCCCCCUAAUUGUGCACCGUUGCGAAGGUUCGUUGUUUCGAAGCACCACGUGAUGAUCGGGUGUGAUAGAUUCUAACGUUCGCAUACAACGGGUGUUGACGAGCCUAGCAUGUACAAACAUGGCCUCGGAACACAAGCAAAACACUUAGGUUGACUUGAUGAGCCUAGCAUGUACAGACAUGGCCUCGGAACACAAGAGACCGAAAGGUCGAACAUGAGUCGUAUAGUAGAUACGAUCAACAUGGAGAUGUUCACCGAUGAUGACUAGUCCGUCUCACGUGAUGAUCGGACACGGCCUAGUCGAUGCGGAUCAUGUAUCACUUAGAUGACUAGAGGGAUGUCUAUCUAAGUGGGAGUUCAUUAAAUAAUCAGAUGAACUUAAUUAUCAUGAACAUAGUCAAAAGGUCUUUGCAAAUAAUGUCGUAGCUUACGCUUUAGUUCUACUAAGAUAUGUUCCUAGAGAAAAUUUAGUUGAAAGUUGAUAGUAGCAAUUAUGCGGACUGGGUCCCUAAACUAAGGAUUGUCCUCAUUGCUGCACAGAAGGCUUAUGUCCUUAAUGCACCGCUCGGUGUGCUGAACCUCGAGCGUCGUCUGUAGAUGUUACGAAACAUCUGACAUACACGUUUUGAUGACUACGUGAUAGUUCAGUGUGUGAUGCUAACGGUUUAAAAUUGUGGCACCAAAGACGGUUUUGAAACGUCGCAGAACAUAUGAGAUGUUCCAAAGACUGAAAUUGGGAUUUCAGACUAAUGCCCACGUCAAGAGGUAUGAGACCUCUGACAAGUUUCUUAAGCCUGCAAACCAAGGGAGAAAAGCUCAAUCAUUGAGCAUGUGCUCAGAUUGUCCGAGUACUACAAUCACUUGAAUCGAGUGGGAGUUAAUCUUCCAGAUGAGAUAGUGAUGGUUCUCCAUAGUCACUGCCACCAAGCUAUUAGAGCUUCGUGAUGAACUAUAACAUAUCAGGGAUAGACAUGAUGAUCCUUGAGCAACUCGCGAUGUUUGACACCGCAAAAGUAGAAGUCAAGAAGGAGCAUCAAUUGUUGAUGGUUAGUAAAACCACUAGUUUCUAGAAGGGCAAGGGCAAGAAGGGAUACUUCAUGAAACGGCAAAUCAGUUGCUGCUCUAGUGAAGAAACCCAAGGUUGAACCCAAACCCGAGACUAAGUGCUUCUGAAAUGAGGGGAACGGUCACUGAAGCAGAACUACCCUAGAUACUUCGUAGAUGAGAAGGCUGGCAAGGUCGACAGAAGUAUAUUGGAUAUACAUUAUAUUGAUGUGUACUUUACUAGUACUCCUAGUAGCACCAGGGUAUUAGAUACCGGUUCGGUUGCUAAGUGUUAGUAACUCGAAAUAAAAGCUGCGAAAUAAACGGAGACUAGCUAAAGGUGAGAUGACGAUAUGUGUUGGAAGUGUUUCCAAGGUUGAUGUGAUCAAGCAUCGCAUGCUCCCUCUACCAUCGAGAUUGGGGUUAAACCUGAAUAAUUAUUAUUUGGUGUUUGCGUUGAGCAUAGACAUGAUUGGAUUAUGUUUAUCGCAAUACGGUUAUUCAUUAAAGGAGAAUAAUGGUUACUCUGUCUAUUUGAAUAAUACCUUCAAUGGUCUUGCACCUAAAAUGAAUGGUUUAUUGAAUCUCGAUCGUAGUGAUACACAUGUUCAUGCCAAAAGAUAUAAGAUAGUAAUGAUAGUACCACAUACUUGUGGCACUGCCACUUGAGUCAUAUUGCUAUAAAACGCAUGAAGAAGCUCCAUGUUGAUGGAUCUUUGGACUCACUCGUUUUUGAAAAGAUUGAGACAUGCGAACCAUGUCUAUUAGUAUAUAUGCAUGAAGAAAGUCCAUACAGAUGGAUCAUUUGGACUCACUUGAUUUUGAAUCACUUGAGACAUGCAAAUCAUACCACAUGGGCAAGAUGACUGAAAGGCCUUGUUUUCAGUAAGAUGCAACAAGAGAGCAACUUGUUGGAAGUAAUACAUUUGAUGUGUGCAGUCCAAUGAGUGCUGAGGCACGCGGUGGAUAUUGUUAUGUUCUUACUUCACAGAUGAUUUGAGUAGAUGCUGAGAAUAUUUACUUGAUGAAACACAAGUCUGAAUUAUUGAAAGGUUCAAGUAAUUUCAGAGUGAAGUUGAAGAUCGUCGUGACAAGAGGAUAAAAUGUCUGUGAUAUGAUCAUAGAGAUGAAUAUCUGAGUUACGAGUUUGGCACACAAUUAAGAAAUUGUGGAAAUUGUUUCACGACUAAUACCGCCUGGAACACCAUAUUGUGAUGGUGUGUCCGAACAUCAUAACUGCACCCUAUUGGAUAUGGUGCAUACCAUGAUGUCUCUUAUCGAAUUACAACUAUCGUUUAUGGGUUAGGCAUUAGAGACAACCGCAUUCACUUUAAAUAGGGCACCACGCAAUUCCGUUGAGACGACACCGUAUGAACUAUGGUUUAGAGAAACCUAAGUUGUCGUUUCUUAAAAGUUUGGGGCUGCGACGCUUAUGUGAAAAAGUUUCAGGCUGAUAAGCUCGAACCCAAAGCGGAUAAAUGCAUCUUCAUAGAAUACCCAAAACAGUUAGGUAUACCUCCUAUUUCAGAUAUGGAAGCAAAAGUGAUUGUUUCUAGAAACGGGUCCUUUCUCGAGGAAAAGUUUCUCUCGAAAGAAUUGAGUGGGAGGAUGGUGGAGACUUGAUGAGGUCAUUGAACCGUCACUUCAACUAAUGUGUAGCAGGGCACAGGAAGUUGUUCCUGUGGCACCUACACCAAUUGAAGUGGAAGCUUAUGAUAGUGAUCAUGAAACUUCAGAUCAAGUCACUACCAAACCUCAUAGGACGACAAGGAUGCGUACUACUUCAGAGUGGUACGUAAUCCUGUCUUGGAAGUCAUGUUGCUAGACAACAAGGAACCUAUGAGCUAUGGAGAAGCGGUGGUGGGCCCAGAUUCCGACGAAUGGCUCGAGGCCAUAAAAUCCGAGAGAGGAUUCAUGUAUAAAAACAAAGUAUAGACUUUGGAAGAACUACUUGAUGGUCGUAAGGCUGUUGGGUGCAGAUGGAUUUUAAAGGGAAGACAGACAAUGAUGGUAAGUGUCACCAUUAAGAAAGCUCGACUUGUCGUUAAGAUGUUUUCCGGCAAGUUCAAGGAGUUGACUGCGAUGAGACUUUCUCACUCGUAGCGAUGCUAAGAGUCUGUUAAAAUUAUAUUAGCAGUUACUGCAUUAUUUAUGAAAUCUUGCAGAUAGGAUGUCAAAACAUUGUUUCCUCGACGAUUUUCUUGAGGAAAGGUUGUAUGUGAUACAACCAGAAGGUUUUGUCAAUCCUGAAAGAUGCUAACAAGUAUGCAAAGCUCCAGCAAUCCUUCUAAGGAUUGGAGUAAGCAUCUCGGAGUUGGAAUGAACGCUUUGAUGAGAUGAUCAAAGAUUUUGGGUUUAUACAAAGUUCAUGAGAAACUUGUAUUUCCAAAGAAGUGAGUGGGAGCACUAUAGAAUUUUUGAUGAGUAUAUGUUGUUAACAUAUUGUUGAACAGAAAUGAUGUAGAAUUUCUAGAAAGCAUCCAGGGUUAUUUGAAAAGUGUUUUUAACGGAAAACCUGGAUUAAGCUACUUGAACAUUGAGCAUCAAGAUCUAUAAGGAUAGAUCAAAAACGCUUAAUAGUACUUUCAAAUGAAUACAUACCGUGACAAGAUUUUGAAGGAGUUCAAAAUAGAUCGGCAAAGAAGGAGUUCUUGGCUGUGUUACAAGGUGUGAGUAUUGAGUAAGACUCAAGACCUGACCACGGCAGAAGAAAGAGAAAGGACGAAGGUCAUCCCCUAUGCUUUAGACGUAGGCUCUACAAUAUGCUAUGCUGUGUACCGCACCUGAAGUGUGCCUUGCCAUGAGUUAGUCAAGGGGUACAAUAGUGAUCCAGGAAGGGAUCACAUGACAGCGGUCGAACUUAUCCUUAGUAUCUAGUGGACUAAGGAAUUUUCUUGAUUAUGGAGGUGGAAAGGGGGUUCGUCGUAAAGGGUUACGUCGAUGCAAACUUUGACACUAAUCCGGAUGACUCUGAGUAGUGAACCGGCUUCAUAUAGUAGAGCAGUUAUUUGGAAUAGCUCCAAGUAGCGCGUGGUAGCUGCAUCUACAAGAUGACAUAGAGAUUCGUAAAGCACACACGGAUCUGAAUGUUGCAGACCCGUUGACUAAAACCUCUCUCGUAAGCAUAACAUGAUCAAACCCUAGAACUCAUUGAGUGUUAAUCACAUGGUGAUGUGAACUAGAUUAUUGACUCUAGUAAACUCUUGGGUAUUAGUCACAUGGCGAUGUGAACUUUGAGUGCUAAUCACAUGGUGAUGUGAACUAGAUUAUUGACUCUAGUGUAAGUGGGAGACUAUUGGAAAUAUGCCCUAGAGGCAAUAAUAAAAUGGUUAUUAUUGUAUUUCCUUGUUCAUGAUAAUUGUCUGUUGUUCAUGCUAUAAUUGUAUUAACUGGAAACCGUAAUACAUGUGUGAAUACAUAGACCACAACAUGUCCCUAGUAAGCCUCUAGUUGACUAGCUCGUUGAUCAAUAGAUGGUUAUGGUUUCCUGACCAUGGACAUUGGAUGUCAUUGAUAACAGGAUCACAUCAUUAGGAGAAUGAUGUGAUGGACAAGACCCAAUCCUAAGCAUAGCACAAGAUCGUGUAGUUCGUUUGCUAGAGCUUUUCUAAUGUCAAGUAUCAUUUCCUUAGACCAUGAGAUUGUGCAACUCCCGGAUACCGUAGGAAUGCUUUGGGUGUACCAAACAUCACAACGUAACUGGGUGGCUAUAAAGGUGCACUACAGGUAUCUCCGAAAGUGUUUGUUGGGUUGGCACGAAUCGAGACUGGGAUUUGUCACUCCGUAUGACGGAGAGGUAUCUCUGGCCCAGUCGGUAAUGCAUCAUCAUAAUGAGCUCAAUGUGACUAAGGAGUUAUCCACGGGAUCAUGCGUUACGGUACGAGUAAAGUGACUUGCCGGUAACGAGAUUGAACAAGGUAUUGGGAUACCGACGAUCGAAUCUCGGGCAAGUAACGUACCGAUUGACAAAGGGAAUUGUAUACGGGAUUGAUUGAAUCCUCGACAUCGUGGUUCAUCCUAUGAGAUCAUCGUGGAACAUGUGGGAGCCAACAUGGGUAUCCAGAUCCCGUUGUUGGUUAUUGACCGGAGAGUCGUCUCGGUCAUGUCUGCAUGUCUCCCGAACCCGUAGGGUCUACACACUUAAGGUUCGGUGACGCUAGGGUUGUAGAGAUAUUAGUAUGCGGAAAUCCGAAAGUCGUUCGGAGUCCCGGAUGAGAUCCCGGACGUCACGAGGAGUUCCGGAAUGGUCCGGAGGUAAAGAUUUAUAUAGGGGAAGUCCUAUUUUGGCCACCGGAAAAUGUUCGGGAUAUUUUGGUAUUGUACUGGGAAGGUUCUAGAAUGUUCUGAAGUGGGGCCCACCUGCAUGGGGGGACCCACGUGAACAUGGGUAGUGGGGGCAAGGCCCCACACCCCUGGUCAUGGCGCACCAAGAUCCCACCUUGGAAGGAAUAAGAUCAUAUCCCGAAGGGAUAAGAUCAAGAUCCCUAAAAAAGGGGGAUAACAAUCGGUGGGGAAGGGAAAUGAUGGGAUUUCUUUCCCCCACCUUUGCCAACGCCCCAAUGGACUUGGAGGGCAAGAAACCAGCCCCCUCCACCCCUAUAUAUAGUGGGGAGGCGCAUGGGAGCAGCACCCCAAGCCCCUGGCGCCUCCCUCUCCCUCCCGUGACACCUCUCCCUCUCGCUGAGCUUGGCGAAGCCCUGCCGAGAUCCCCGCUGCUUCCACCGCCACGCCGUCGUGCUGCUGGAUCUCCAUCAACCUCUCCCUCCCCUUGCUGGAUCAAGAAGGAGGAGACGUCUUCCCAACCAUACGUGUGUUGAACACGGAGGUGCCGUCCGUUCGGCGCUCGGUCAUCGGUGAUUUGGAUCACGACGAGUACGACUCCAUCAACCCCGUUCACUUGAACGCUUCCGCUCGCGAUCUAAAAGGGUAUGUAGAUGCACUCCUCCCCUCUCGUUGCUAGCAUCUCCUAGAUUGAUCUUGGUGACACGUAGGAAAAUUUUGAAUUUCUGCUACGUUCCCCAAUAGCAAUUGCUAACAUGAUUCGGACGGACUUCAGCUUCGCUACGGGUGAGAAGGUCUCAUCGUAGUCAACUCCUUGAACUUGUCGAUAACCCUUAGCGACAAGUCGAGCUUUAUAGGUGGUAACAUUUCCAUCCGCGUCCGUCUUCUUCUUGAAGAUCCAUUUAUUUUCUAUCGCUCGCCGAUCAUCGGGCAAGUCUGUCAAAGUCCAUACUUUGUUUUCAUACAUGGAUCCUAUCUCGGAUUGCACGGCUUCAAGCCAUUUGUUGGAAUCUGGACCCGUCAUUGCUUCUUCAUAGUUCGAAGGUUCACCGUUGUCCAACAACAUGAUUUCCAGGACAGGGCUGCCGUACCACUCUGGUGCGGAACAUGUCCUUGUGGGCCUACGAAGUUCAGUGGUAACUUGAUCAUGAUCGUCAUCAUUAACUUCCUCUCUAGUCGGUGCAGGCACCACAGAAACAUUUUCUUGUGCUGCACUACUUUCUGGUUCGAGAGGGGUCAUCUCAUCAAGUUCCACUUUCCUCCCACGUGCGACGCCGCGAGGACGCAACCGCCGCCAGCCUCCGCCGUUGUACCGCCGCCUCCUGGACAGGCCGCCUCACAUCAGCCAUCCCCGAGCAAUGGAGAAAAUGGGCCCCGCCGGUGGCCACUGCGACGGGCUUUACCCGGCGGUUCCGGCCGGCAUCGAGGGUGGGUAGGAUGGGCCUGUGUCUAGCGAGCGAGCCCUAAUAAAAAUGGGAGAGUUUUCCACUUCCCGGCCUAUGCACUAACUAGCGAUGCAUACAACCAUUUUAAGUAUGAGUACCAAGAUAAAUCCUAAUGGGUGGUUGCACCACAGACCAAGCUUGAUCCUCAAUAAACGAGGAAAACCCAUGUGCACCACCUGUCAAUUCUAAGAAUUGAACUCGAAUCGUUAGGCUGCACAACCGCCUGCCCAACCACUUAGCCAGCACUAGUAGAAAACUGGGCUUUGGUCACAGGGCAAUAUUCACAUUAGUCCCGGUUCAGUCACGAACCGGGACUAAUGUGAGCAUUCGUCCCGGUUCGUGCGGCCAGGGGCCUGCCGGGCAUCGUGGGGGCAUUGGUCCCGGUUCGUCCGGACCCUUUGGUCCCGGUUGGUGGGACAAACCGGGACCAAUCACUACUAGGAAAAGGGCUAUAGAUGGAAUGACCACUAAUGGCGCACCAGACAUGUGGUGCGCCAUUGCUAUAUAGCAGUGGCGCACCAUGUGCUGGUGUGCCAUUAGUGUGAAAGACACUAAUGGCGCACCAGACAAACGGUGCGCCAUUAGAAACAAAAAAAAUUUAUUUUAUUUUUUCCAAACAUACUAAUGGCGCAUCAGGGCACAGUGCGCCAUUACUAGUUCUAACUAGAAAUGGCGCACCAGCCACAUAGUGCGCCACUACUAUUUUUUUUUAUUUUUUAUUUUUUUGCAAAACUACCAAUGGCGCACCGGAGAACAGUGCGCCAUUACUAGUUUAAACUAGUAAUGGCGCACUGUUCCUUGGUGUGCCAUUAGUGUCUUUUUUUUGCAAAACUACUAAUGAAUGCAACUAAAAUUGCAAAAAAAACAAAUUUGAUUAUAUUUUCAAAUAAUAAAUUUGAUGAUUUUUUUCAUAUUCAUAAAUAUUAUUACGGUUUUUAUAAAAAAUUAUUACUGUUUCAUAUUCAUAUUCAUUUUCUAAAAAAUUAUUAGAUGCAACAAAAAAUAAUAAAAAAAAUAUUACUAAUGGCGCAUCUCUAGCUGGUGCGCCAUUGCUAUGUAAAAAAACAUUCUAAUGGCGCACCGCUUCGUGGUGCGCCAUUAUUAAGCUUCCCCCCACACUAAGCUGCCCCCGCCGCACCCNNNNNNNNNNNNNNNNNNNNNNNNNNNNNNNNNNNNNNNNNNNNNNNNNNNNNNNNNNNNNNNNNNNNNNNNNNNNNNNNNNNNNNNNNNNNNNNNNNNNNNNNNNNNNNNNNNNNNNNNNNNNNNNNNNNNNNNNNNNNNNNNNNNNNNNNNNNNNNNNNNNNNNNNNNNNNNNNNNNNNNNNNNNNNNNNNNNNNNNNNNNNNNNNNNNNNNNNNNNNNNNNNNNNNNNNNNNNNNNNNNNNNNNNNNNNNNNNNNNNNNNNNNNNNNNNNNNNNNNNNNNNNNNNNNNNNNNNNNNNNNNNNNNNNNNNNNNNNNNNNNNNNNNNNNNNNNNNNNNNNNNNNNNNNNNNNNNNNNNNNNNNCAGGUGAGCCCCUCCCCUCCACUUCCUUCUUCUUCUUCUUCCUCUUGCCCUCAACCUCUGCUCUGAGUCUCGACCGCUGUGCAGGGCUCGUCCAUCUCCGGCGAGCUCACCACACCGCGCGAGCUCAACGACCGCUGUGCAGGGCACCACCACGCAGGUGACCCUCCGAAUGUCAAAAUUUCAACAUUUUGAUAGAGUACAAUUGUUACAGUACAGUCAGAAUUGUGUAUGAUUGUGCCUAAAGUAGAUAAUAGUGGACUUUAGGCUUUUUUAGAGGCAAUACUAGUGAAUUUCAGUUAACUCCUUACAGUUCAGUUAGGUACAGAAAAAUUCAGUUAGGUACAGUUAUAGAAAAAUCCAGUUAGGCUUUUUAGAGGCAAUACUAGUGGAUUUUAGGUAUCUAUUUGCUUGUCCUUCAAAUAGGGGCAAGACUGUUACAGAAAAAUUACUAAAUACAGUUAGCUACUGUCAAAAAAUUUAGUUAGGUACAGUUAGCUACUGUCAGGCUUGUUAGAUUAAUCUUCAGUUUACUUGACUUUUGAGCCGCUGUAUCUGAAGGGAGGGAGACAGGGAGUGAUGCAGUUGUGCAGCUGCUUGCUGCUGAACCCUAAUUAGUUUGUUUGGCUUAUGUAUAAGACCAUAGGGCACACCUCAAUUGGAACCACAGCUGCACUAGAGCAAUUAUGUUUCAGAAUGCCCAAUCAUGUUCUCCAAGUGCACCAAGUGCAAGUGCACUAGGAUUUUGAACCACAGCUGCACUAGGAUUUGGUGGUUGUGACUGAAUGCAAGUGCACCAAGUUAUAAGGGUCCAUAAGCAGUGUUGUCAUCAGGUCCAGACAUAAGCUCCUGUAGUAAGUAGCUUUUGGUUUAUCUUUGUAAGAUAACUGGUUCUUGUAGUUUGCUGUUGGUUUCUCUUAAUGGAAAUCGGAGGGGUAAACCCUUCCUUGAUAAAAAUUAAAGUGUCUGGUUUGUCGAUUGCAGAACUGAACUUCUCUUUGAGAAUGUGUACUAUGUGCUCUUGACAUUUGCGCUUAAAGUUCUGAGAAAAUCCACAUGGUCUUUCAUUUCUGUUGCAUUGUUUUAUCUAUAUGGUCUUUCAUUUCAGAGUUACACUUAUAUCAUAUUAAUCAUUGACAAAUCCACAUGCUUAAUCAAUCGAGUAGUAAGUUGUUAGGCUUGGCCAUUUCCACUCAUUGUAGAUAGAUAGAGUUACACUUUUGUUACAUUGCGUUAUCUUUCUGUAGAGUAGUAGUGCUCCACUUCCACUGGUACUACUUGUGAUGCUGACAGCAAGUCCGUAAUACUGAAAUUUUGUCAACUUGUGAUGCUGCUGCUGUACCCGGAGAGGCCCUUGAGUUUGCUGGAAUGUCGAUUAACUUCCGUUCCGGCAAAUUCGGGUACUCCAUAUGUCCUAUUUUCAGCAAAGGUCAUGCUGAAAUUUUCCAUGAAUUUUAGCAUGACUUUUCCAUGAAAUAGGACAUAUGGGGUACUUGUGACUAAUGCAUGGGCCGGGGUCUUAGUACUUAAUUAAGUAGGAACCACUCAUCCUAACCAUUUUCUCUCAAAAUUACCACUUCACUUCUUACUACUGAAAAUCUUAGACCAUCUCCAUUCACCAAUUGCUCAAACCAGUUCGAAGGGCGUGUUUUCACCACACUAUGGAUUAUCUUAUUGGACCCAACACAGAUGAUGUAGUUUUGAAUUAUGAACAUAGGAAAUGUCAUCAUUGGACGACGAAAGUCUCCCGGGGGAGUGCGACUGGUGCCACGACGGUCGAGGUCUGUGCGACAGGCCUCACCUGGACGAUGAUCGGCGCUUCAGCAUUAAGCUCGAGGAGACCUUCGAAGUUGAAACGGUACGCAACGACGACAAGUGUUUUUUUUCAUAAUUAAGCAUGACUUCAACUAUUUCAAUGUGUAAUUUCAAUUCGAGUAUAGUUUAUCCCAUGCCAUGCAAGACGCUAUGUCUUGGAGAGGAUGGAUUUUGAAGAUCAUGAAAAUUUUGAAACGAAGAAAAUUCACCUAAGGACACAUCAUGAUGUGGAUUUUGAAGUAAAUCUGUAUAAUGCUGAGAGCGUAACCCAUUUUGGUUGCAAAAAUUGGGAAGCAUUUUGCAAGAUGUAUGGUUUUGAUGAGGGUAUGCUUGUCACCAUGGACCUUGGUGAUCCUGACACCGACCAUGACAAUAUGGACAUUUGGGUCCUUGUUGAUACGCCUCCAGUUCUACCGCUAUGUGAGUUUCUCAAACAUAGUUAAUUAUUAACUAAUUUAUAUUGUUUAUUUCAAAAUAGUUGACAACUUAUUUCCAUUGACAGCUUAUUUUGAUUGUUCAAAAAAUGUGCGGAACAUGGUAGACAAAACCCACUACACCGAUGGCUCCGAGUUAACUUAUCAGGAGAAAAAUCAUCUGUUCGGAUUUUGUACUGAUCUUGAGAAUUACAAUAUCUACAAUCAAACUCCUCAACAUUAUGGUCAAUACGUGCCACUAGUGCACGUGUUUAACUACGGUAACUACCAUGGAGAUACCCUGGUAAGAUUUUUUACUAUUACGACAUCCGUGCAUCUUUUGCAUACUUCUAAAACUAGUACAUCAUUGCUAACUAUGAAGUUAUUACUAUGUUUUUCAACAGAGAAUCCCUGAGGAUUGUGUGCCUCAUUUGAUGUAUCAGAAUGGCAGCCUUCGUGUUUUCAACUUAUAUCCAGGUCAUCCUACGAAUCUCAACUGUCCAUACUAGAUUUCCAGAAGAAGUGGAGACAUGCUAAUCAGAGAAUGGAAAAAAUGUAUGGACAGUCGUAAGGAGGUUCUUGGAAGCAAAAGGAAGCGCCGUGCAACAAUUGGCGACAGGAUGAUCUCCAUUCUCCAUAAUGGAGAGUCAGGGUCUAUAUUGUUUUAUGCUAUUUUACCUUAAAUAGGGUAUUUAGGUCCUGCCUAAUAUUGAUGAUCAUGUGCUAAGAACAAUUAAGAAGGGUUGCACUAGUAGAAAACUGGGCUUUGGUCACAGGGCAGUUUUCACAUUAGCCCCGGUUCAGUCACGAACCGGGACUAAUGUGAGCAUUGGUCCCGGUUCGUGAGCCCAGGGGGGCGGCCGGGGCCUCGUGGGCAUUGGUCCCGGUUCGUAUGGACCCUUUGGUCCCGGUUGGUGGUACAAACCGGGACCAAUGGGCCACGCUCCUGGCCCACCACCCUUUAGUCCCAGUUCAUACCACAAACCGGGACUAAAGGGCUGGUCCUAGUUGCGGCCAGCGUUUAGUCCCACCUCGCCAACCGAAGGGGGCUCACACCAGUUUAUAAGCCCGUCCCUCUCUGCCUUUUAAAGUGAAAAUAGAUGCCCUUAUACAGGGAAUUUGACCUAAAUUCACAGUAAAUUUCAUAGAAAUUUAUUAUGAAUUUAGGUUGAAUUUCUCUAUAAGCGCAUCUAUUUUCAUUUUUUUAUAUUUAUAAAAUAAAUAAACCUUAAUAAAAUAAAUAAAACUAAAUAAACCUUAAUAAAAUAAAAUAAAAUAAAAUAAACUAUAGUAACUACAAUAAAUAAACCUUAAUAAAUUAAGUAAAAAUAGCAGCAGAAAAAUAAAUAAAAAUAGCAGCAGUAAAAUAAAUAAAAAUAAAAUGCGUUUGGAAGAGAUUGUCCGUUUUGUACACGAAGUGCAUCCAGUUUUUGCCGUAACCCUCUCAACUUUCUUGCACAUGCUAUGUGGAUGAAAUGAUGAUAUCAUGCCAACUUUCAACCUUUUCAGAGUUCAUUUGAAAUGCUUUUCAAUUUUAGGGUCUUAUAGCUUAAAAUAAUUAGUAAAUGCAUGAAAAAUAACAAAUGAAGUCAGAAAGGAUUGAAAAAUGAUGAUGUGGCUUUAAAUGGUGCAUUUUGAACACACAAAAAGUCAGGAGUUCAAAUAAGGUUUAAAAAAUGAAAUCCCUUUGUAACAGACGAGUUUCCGGAUGAAAUCCUGAUAGUUUGAAAGAGAUUGUCCGUUUUGUACACGAAGUGUAUCAGUUUUUGCCGUAACCCUCUCAACUUGCUUGCACAUGCUAUGUGGAUGAAAUGAUGAUAUCAUGCCAACUUUCAACCNNNNNNNNNNNNNNNNNNNNNNNNNNNNNNNNNNNNNNNNNNNNNNNNNNNNNNNNNNNNNNNNNNNNNNNNNNNNNNNNNNNNNNNNNNNNNNNNNNNNNNNNNNNNNNNNNNNNNNNNNNNNNNNNNNNNNNNNNNNNNNNNNNNNNNNNNNNNNNNNNNNNNNNNNNNNNNNNNNNNNNNNNNNNNNNNNNNNNNNNNNNNNNNNNNNNNNNNNNNNNNNNNNNNNNNNNNNNNNNNNNNNNNNNNNNNNNNNNNNNNNNNNNNNNNNNNNNNNNNNNNNNNNNNNNNNNNNNNNNNNNNNNNNNNNNNNNNNNNNNNNNNNNNNNNNNNNNNNNNNNNNNNNNNNNNNNNNNNNNNNNNNNNNNNNNNNNNNNNNNNNNNNNNNNNNNNNNNNNNNNNNNNNNNNNNNNNNNNNNNNNNNNNNNNNNNNNNNNNNNNNNNNNNNNNNNNNNNNNNNNNNNNNNNNNNNNNNNNNNNNNNNNNNNNNNNNNNNNNNNNNNNNNNNNNNNNNNNNNNNNNNNNNNNNNNNNNNNNNNNNNNNNNNNNNNNNNNNNNNNNNNNNNNNNNNNNNNNNNNNNNNNNNNNNNNNNNNNNNNNNNNNNNNNNNNNNNNNNNNNNNNNNNNNNNNNNNNNNNNNNNNNNNNNNNNNNNNNNNNNNNNNNNNNNNNNNNNNNNNNNNNNNNNNNNNNNNNNNNNNNNNNNNNNNNNNNNNNNNNNNNNNNNNNNNNNNNNNNNNNNNNNNNNNNNNNNNNNNNNNNNNNNNNNNNNNNNNNNNNNNNNNNNNNNNNNNNNNNNNNNNNNNNNNNNNNNNNNNNNNNNNNNNNNNNNNNNNNNNNNNNNNNNNNNNNNNNNNNNNNNNNNNNNNNNNNNNNNNNNNNNNNNNNNNNNNNNNNNNNNNNNNNNNNNNNNNNNNNNNNNNNNNNNNNNNNNNNNNNNNNNNNNNNNNNNNNNNNNNNNNNNNNNNNNNNNNNNNNNNNNNNNNNNNNNNNNNNNNNNNNNNNNNNNNNNNNNNNNNNNNNNNNNNNNNNNNNNNNNNNNNNGUUCAAAUAAGGUUUAAAAAAUGAAAUCCCUUUGUAACAGGCGAGUUUCCGGAUGAAAUCCUGAUACUUUGAAAGAGAUUGUCCGUUUUGUACACGAAGUGCAUCCAGUUUUUGCCGUAACCCUCUCAACUUUCUUGCACAUGCUAUGUGGAUGAAAUGAUGAUAUCAUGCCAACUUUCAACCUUUUCAGAGUUCAUUUGAAAUGCUUUUCAAUUUUAGGGUCUUAUAGCUCAAAAUAAUUAGUAAAUGCAUGAAAAAUAACAAAUGAAGUCAGAAAGGAUUGAAAAAUGAUGAUGUGGCUUUGAAUGGUGCAUUUUGAACACACAAAAAGUCAGGAGUUCAAAUAAGUUUUAAAAUAUGAAAUCCCUUUGUAAGAGACGAGUUUCCGGAUGAAAUUUAAACUAUUCAAAUUUGGAAACUAAUGGAGUAACAGAAAGUUUAUAAUUAUUCUGAGCUAAAAGCAAAAAGAAUAAAAAAUAAAGCAAAAAAUCAAAAGAAAAUAAAUAAUUCAAAAAACAAAAAAUUACUGGAAAAAAUAAAAAAUGCCGCCUAAUGGGCCACACGGCCUGCAUACGACUAGAAACCUAUCUGCACAUGGGCCAGGAUGCAGGCCCGCAGGCCCAAUAGGCCCAACAUGGCAGUGACAAAGGUAGGCAUGUGUAACGCCUGCAUAUUAGAGAGGAGCUCAGCACCUGAGCUGCAACGCAGCUUAUAAACAGGUGCUGAGCUCUCUCAGCUAGCGAGGUGGGACUAAACUUCCCACCGCACCGCGCCAGCACAUUAGUCCCGGUUGGUGGCUCCAACCGGAACCAAUGCUCCCCUUUGAUCCCGGUUGAUGCCACCAAUCGGGACCAAAGCCCUUUGCUUCCUGCCCUUUGCGCUGGUGAAAAGAGGCCUUUGGUCCCGGUUGGUGCCACCAACCGGGACUAAAGGGUGGGUAUUGGUCCCGGUUGGCGCCACGAACCGGGACCAAUGCCCUUGCUAUAUAACCAGGACUUGUGAAAAUUUCACAUCUCCGUCGCCAGUGUCCCCCCGCCCGACGACGCCGUGAGCUCGAUCUACGCCGCCAGGCUGCCCCGCCGCCGUCGCCCGUGCCCCCGAGCCCACGCCAUCGCCCGUCGCCGUCGUCCUCCGCCCCCCGCCGCUGUUGCCGUCGCCCGUGCCCCCGAGCCCACGCCAUCGCCCGUCGCCGUCCGCCCUCCGCCGCCCACGNNNNNNNNNNNNNNNNNNNNNNNNNNNNNNNNNNNNNNNNNNNNNNNNNNNNNNNNNNNNNNNNNNNNNNNNNNNNNNNNNNNNNNNNNNNNNNNNNNNNNNNNNNNNNNNNNNNNNNNNNNNNNNNNNNNNNNNNNNNNNNNNNNNNNNNNNNNNNNNNNNNNNNNNNNNNNNNNNNNNNNNNNNNNNNNNNNNNNNNNNNNNNNNNNNNNNNNNNNNNNNNNNNNNNNNNNNNNNNNNNNNNNNNNNNNNNNNNNNNNNNNNNNNNNNNNNNNNNNNNNNNNNNNNNNNNNNNNNNNNNNNNNNNNNNNNNNNNNNNNNNNNNNNNNNNNNNNNNNNNNNNNNNNNNNNNNNNNNNNNNNNNNNNNNNNNNNNNNNNNNNNNNNNNNNNNNNNNNNNNNNNNNNNNNNNNNNNNNNNNNNNNNNNNNNNNNNNNNNNNNNNNNNNNNNNNNNNNNNNNNNNNNNNNNNNNNNNNNNNNNNNNNNNNNNNNNNNNNNNNNNNNNNNNNNNNNNNNNNNNNNNNNNNNNNNNNNNNNNNNNNNNNNNNNNNNNNNNNNNNNNNNNNNNNNNNNNNNNNNNNNNNNNNNNNNNNNNNNNNNNNNNNNNNNNNNNNNNNNNNNNNNNNNNNNNNNNNNNNNNNNNNNNNNNNNNNNNNNNNNNNNNNNNNNNNNNNNNNNNNNNNNNNNNNNNNNNNNNNNNNNNNNNNNNNNNNNNNNNNNNNNNNNNNNNNNNNNNNNNNNNNNNNNNNNNNNNNNNNNNNNNNNNNNNNNNNNNNNNNNNNNNNNNNNNNNNNNNNNNNNNNNNNNNNNNNNNNNNNNNNNNNNNNNNNNNNNNNNNNNNNNNNNNNNNNNNNNNNNNNNNNNNNNNNNNNNNNNNNNNNNNNNNNNNNNNNNNNNNNNNNNNNNNNNNNNNNNNNNNNNNNNNNNNNNNNNNNNNNNNNNNNNNNNNNNNNNNNNNNNNNNNNNNNNNNNNNNNNNNNNNNNNNNNNNNNNNNNNNNNNNNNNNNNNNNNNNNNNNNNNNNNNNNNNNNNNNNNNNNNNNNNNNNNNNNNNNNNNNNNNNNNNNNNNNNNNNNNNNNNNNNNNNNNNNNNNNNNNNNNNNNNNNNNNNNNNNNNNNNNNNNNNNNNNNNNNNNNNNNNNNNNNNNNNNNNNNNNNNNNNNNNNNNNNNNUUUAAUUUAGAUUUGUAAUUUAGUUGUAUUAAUUUGGAUGUGUAGUUAGAUGUGUAGUUAAUUUAGUUGUUGUAAUUUAGAUGUAUUAAUUUAGAUGUGUAGUUUAGAUUUUUCAUAUUUAGAAGUCAUUUAUGUAUGUUCAUAUUUAGAAGAAAAAGAAGGAGAGAAAAAAGGAAAAUAAGAAGAGGAAGAAGGAGAAGAAGAAGAAGAAUAAGAAGAAGAGGAGAGGAAGUAGAGGAGAAAUAAAUAAGAAGAUGAAAAAGAAGGAAAAAAAAAGAGUAGAAGAAGAAGAAAUAGAGGAGAAGAAGAAGAAAUAGAAUAAUAUAUUAUUCUAUUUUUUCUUCUUCUCCUCUAUUCCUUCUUCUCUCCUCUUUUUUUCUUUUUUUUCUUCGAUCUCCUCCUUUAUUCCUUUCUUCUUCUCCUCUUUUUUUUCGUCUUCUUCCUCUUCUUAUUUUUUAUCGGAUAUGUCGUUGUCGAUAUAUGUACCCCCCUCCCUGAUAACUUUUAGUAAGUACUACUUAGAAAGUGUUUAAUAGAAUUAGUUAGAAAAAUAAUAGAACUAGUUAAACUUGCUAGUUUAUUUGUAGUAAGUACUACUUUAUUCUAUUUAUAGUAAGGAAAUUAAUAGAACUAGUUUGUUUUUUUAGUUAAAGCAAUUAUUCCCGCAUCGACGUCGACGAUGCCUAUCCCGCAUCCUCGUCGUCGACUCGGCGGAGGAGGCCAGCUUGAUCAGAGGGGCCAUGUCUGGGACUGGGCUCCGCCGGGCUGGUUUUGGGAGGUGCUACCUUCCGGUGGGCGUAGGUUGGUGAGGAACCAGCCCGUCGUUGACCCGAUCCUUGUUUGGUGGCGCUCGCAUGGGCCAGUGACGGUGCCGAGGCUUCCGAACACCGCGGAGGUGGUACAUCACCGUGUCAGCGAGGAGGACCAGCACGUCCGUCGCUACAUGGUUGCGUUGGAGGGCAGGUUCGACAAUACCUGGCAGGUUCUUCAGGGAUCUCACUGGAGCUAUGAUCCUGUGAUGGUUCCGUCCCUUUGGGUGUCCACCGCCCGCGCCGAUACCCGUCGGGCGCUACUGUUUUAGCUGUACUAGCGAUGCUAUAUGUAUGAUAGUAUUCGAGGUGUAUUAGUGAUAAUAUUCGGCGAUGUACGGACGCAUGGAGAUGAUGUAGUUUUGCUUAUAAUUGAAUGCAUCCUAAUUUGAAUACUACUUUAUUUUGUGAUUUGAUUUUGCUUAUUGAAUGCUCAGAGUGGAAAACUACUCCGAUCCUACUUUGAAUGCUAAAAUUGGAGAGCACUAUGAUUAGUUGAUAGCUUAUAGGGUUUUUGUUUUCGCAGAAAUCUAGGAGCCCCCCCGGCCCCUCCAUCAUCCCCGCCGUCGUCCCCGUCACCGCCCCCUCCGACAUCGAGGUGAGACCAGCCAAAUCCUCUUUUAGAAAGAUCAUUAAACGAUAUUUCGGGUUGACUGUAAGUCUGUCGAGUCUCCACCAUAUAUGAGAGGACGAAGAAUCCCGACUGUUGUCGUGGGGGUAGCUUCUCCUUCGUUCCCGUGUGCUAGACAAUUUGGUGUAAUGCACUCGAGAACGAAAGGAGGAGCUACCAUCACCGACGGUCGCAAAUGUCAGAGAGGAAUCAGUGAGGGAGAGUUCCACCAUAUAUAUAUAUGAGAGGACGAAGAAUCCCGACUGUUGUCGUGGGGGUCGCUUCAACUUUGUUCCCGUGUGCUAGCUAGACAUUUUGGUGUAAUGCACACGGGGACAAAGGGAGGAGCGACCAUCACCAACGGUCGAAUGUAUACACCACGUGAGCUGAGAGUUUUCAAGAAAAGACUCGACAAACCGAUAGUCAACCCGUGAUGAAUAAUAAUGAUCUAACUUAGGUUUUUAGUACAUAUAUUUAAUUGUAGAUGUUUAAUAUUUGAAUUAUGAACAUAGGAAAUGUCGUACUCGGACGAUGAAAGUCUCCCGGGGGAGUGCGACUGGUGCCACGACGACCGAGGUCAGUGCGACAGGCCUCACCUGGACGAAGAUUGGCGCUUCAGUAUUAAGCUGGAGGAGACGUUCGAUGUUGAAACGGUACGCAAUGACGACAAGUGUUAUUUUUUCGUAAUUAAGCACGACUUCAACUAUUUCAACGUGUACUUUUCAUCUUUUACAAUUGGGCUAGCUUAUCACAUGCCAUGCAAGAUGCUACGUCUUGGAGAGGAUGGGUUUUGAAGACCAUGAAAGUAUGGAAACAAAGAAAAUUCACCUAAGGACCCAUCAUGAUAUAGAUUUUGAAGUAAAGCUGUAUAAUUCUGAGAGCGUAACCCAUUUUGGUUGCAAAAAUUGGGAAGCAUUUUGCAAGAUGUAUGGUUUUGAUGAGGGUAUGCUUGUCACCAUGGAUCUUGGUGAUCCUGACAUCGAGCAAGACAAUAUGGACAUUUGGGUCCUUGUUGAUACGCCUCCAAUUCUACCGCUAUGUGAGUUUCUCAAACAUAGUUAUUAGCUAAUUUAUAUUGUUCAUUUCAAAAUAGUUGACAGCUUAUUUUGAUUGUUCAAACAAUGUGCGGAACAUGGUAGACAGAACCUACUACACCGAUGGCUCUGAGUUAACUUAUAAGGAGAAAAGUCAUCUGGUCGGAUUUUGUACUGAUAUUGAGAAUUACAAUAUCUACAAUCAAACUCCUCAUCAUUAUGGUCCUCCAUACGUGCCACUAGUGCACGUGUUGAACUACGGUAACUACUAUGGAGAUACCCUGGUAAGAUUUCUUACUAUUAUGACAUCCGUGCAUAUUUUGCAUAGUUCUAAAACUAGUACAUUAUCAUUGCUAACUAUGAAGUUAUUACUAUGUUUUUCAACAGAUAAUCCCAGAGGAUUGUGUGCCUCAUUUGAUGUAUCAGAAUGGUAGGCUUGAUGUUUUGAAUAUACAACCAGGUCAUCCUACGAAUCUCAACUGUCCAUACCGGGUUUCUAAAAGAAGUGGAGACAUGCAAAUCAAAGAAUGGAAAAAAUGUAUGGACAGUCGCAAGGAGCUUCUUGGAAGCAAAAGGAAGCGAGGCGCAAGAAUUGGAGAUAGGAUGAUCUCCAUUCUCCAUAAUGGAGAGUCAGGGUCUAUAUUGUUUUAUGCUAUUUUACCUUAAAGAGGGUAUUUUGGUCCUACCUAAUACUGAUGAUCAUGUGCUAAGAACAAUUAAGUAGGGUUGGUUCGAUGACUGUGAGGAUGAUGAUCGUAUGACUUGUUAUUAAUAACGAGUAGAAGUUGUAUGAUGAUGAUUAGUAGGACUUGUUAUUAUAUAUGAUGAUGCAUGAUGCGCGCAUGAAGAGUUAUUAUGUAUCAGCGGGUGAAAUGAAGAUGGAUUGGAUUGAAGUGAAGGCAACAUGCAUGUGGUGCGUGUCGAAAGUAGUACAAUCCAAACUUGAUCAAGUCCGGAUUAGUAUUACUUUCGACAUGCACCACAUGUUGCCUUCACUUCAAUCUAAGCCAUGUUUAGGCAUAGCAGUACGUAGCGUUGGUAAACCAAGCACGGAGAUAUAAGAGAGGACACUUCUCUCUAAUAGCUACCUAAUAACAACCUAAAUUAACCCCCCAAAACCCCCAAACCCCCCCCCCUUUCAAAAAAAACCAAAACCUCAGCUCCUGCCAGGUGCUGACGCGUGGAUGCCUAUUGGUCCCGGUUGGUGGCACCAACCGGGACCAAAGGCCCUCCUGCCUGGGCUCCCCGCACCGGCCACGUGGAUGGCCUUUAGUCCCGGUUCGUGUAAGAACCGGGACUAAAGGGCUAGGGCAUUAGUAACGACCCUUUAGUCCCGGUUCCAGAACCGGGACUAAAGGCCCUUAUGAACCGGGGUAAAAGCCCCAUUUCCUACUAGUGUUGGUUGGAUGACUAUCAGGAUGAUGAUCGUAUGACUUGUUAUUAAUAACGAGUAGAAUUUGUAUGAUGAUGAUUAGUAGGACUUGUUAGGAUUAGUAUUACUUUCGACAAACUCGCUACUCGCGGUCUCGAGACUUGUAGUGUUCUAUCUUUGUUCGGUCUUUUGAAUUCGGAGACUAAUAUGAUGAAUUGUAUUCGGAGACUAAUCUUCUAUUGUAUUCGAUGAAUCUGCUGUUGCUGUGUGGUGCUACUUAUAUUCUCUGUCCAAUAAUAUAUUUUGUAAUCUGUGCAAAAAUCAGAAAAGAAAAAAAAUCCCUAAUAUACAUACUAAUGGCGCAUCACACAUCAGUGCGCCAUUAGUAUGCCAAAGGAUACUAAUGGCGCAUCACCUCGCAAUGCGCCAUUAGUAUGCCAAAGGAUACUAAUGGUGCAUCACCACGCGGUGCACCAUUAGUAUGGCUAGGCACAUGGGUAAAUAUGGCCCCUGGGAGGCUUACUAAUGGCGCACCGUGGCCUAUACUAAUGGUGCCUGGUGCGCCAUUAGUAUAUCAGAUACUAAUGGCGCACUAGUGGUGCGCCAUUAGUAAAAAAUACUAGUGGCGUGGUGCUAGUGGCGCACCAGUAGUGCGCCAUUAGUAGGCAAAACUGGUGCGCCACUAGUAAGCCUUUUUCUAGUACUGAAUGGGCCACGCUCCUGGCCCACCACCCUUUAGUCCCGGUUCAUACCACAAACCGGGACUAAAGGGCUGGUCCUAGUUGCGGCCAGUGUUUAGUCCCACCUCGCCAACCGAAGGGCGCUCACACCAGUUUAUAAGCCCGUCCCUCUCUGCCUUGUUGAGCACCUCUCAAAGUGAAAAAUAGAUGCCCUUAUACAGGGAAUUUGACCUAAAUUCACCGUAAAUUUCUUUGAAUUUCAUAGAAAUUUAUUAUGAAUUUAGGUUGAAUUUUCUCUAUAGGCUCAUCUAUGUUCAUUUUUUAUAGUAAAUAAAAUAAAUAAAAAUAAAUAAACCUUAAUAAAAUAAAAUAAAAUAAACUAUAGUAACUAAAAUAAAUAAACCUUAAUAAAUUAAAUAAAAAUAGCAGCAGUAAAAAAAUAAAAAUAAAAUAAUUAAAGUAAAAUACAUAAGUAAUUAGAAAUCAAAUAAAUAAGUUUUUUUAUUGUAAGUAGAAACAAAACAAAACAAAUAAAGCAAAAGAGAAAACAAAAAACAGAGAAAAAAUUUAUGCCACCUACUGGGCCACCACGGCCUGAAUACGACUUGAAACCCAUCCAUGGGCCAGGAUUCAGGCCCGCAGAAGGCCCAGUAGGCCCCACAGGCAAAGAGAACGGUUAGGCCCGAAAGCCUGCAGUUGAGAGGAGCUCGAGAGGGUGGGCGCAGCAGCGCUUAUAAACCACUGUCGAGCCCUCUCAACUAGCGAGGUGGGACUAAACUUUUGACGCGGGGCAGCACAAGGCCUUUGGUCCCGGUUGAUGCCACCAACCGGGACUAAAGGGGGUCAUUGGUCCCGGUUCAUGGCACCAACCGGGACCAAAGGCCUUUAGUCCCGGUUGGUGCCACGAACCGGGACCAAUGAGUUCCCUAUAUAUACCCCAUCGCCACAGCAGAGCACUCCACAGUGCUCUGUUUUUUCUGGCCGGCGAGGGGAGGGCAUUUGGGUGCUCUAGCUCACCUCCUAUGCACAUGAGGUGUUCGAUGAAAUGUCUGAGCCACACUAGUUAAUCUUUCUCCUCUCGAAACUCGACCCCCGAGCUCCAUUUUCCCCGAGAUUUGUCUAGGUUUAGCGGUCCGUCACGUCCCAUCCCCGUCUUCACCGCCGUCGAUCGCCCGCGCCGAUCUCGUCGCCAGCACCACCGUGGUGAGCCUCUUGUUCUUAUCUUCUUUCUGAAAGGAAAAAAUUCUUACUUUAGAUAGUUACUUGUCUAAUUUUGUUACUUUUAUUAUUCCUUCUUAUUACAUAGUGCGAUGGUUUUGGUAUCCGCCCCCGUCGGCCCUCGUCCUGUCUAUGAUUCGGAUGUGGUAUAUAUUAUCUUUUUAUAACUAUUUGGUUCAUUUAUUGUUUAUGACAAAUAUACCGACCAACGUGACAUAGAUUUUAUUUAUCUAGGAGGUGGUUGAACCGGAAAUUCUAACCGACCCUAUUGUCGAGAGGUUAAAUUUAGUUGAAGAAGAAAACAAUUACUUGAAGGAAAAAAUAAAAAAAAUGAGGAGGAGAAGAUGAUAUUGGAGUUGCAUGUUGCGGAUGUCGUCGAUGAUCACAAGAUCAAGAUGGAUGCAAUGCGCUUGAAGAUUAGAAAGAUUAGAAAAUAUGCCAUUCAUACCGAGGCUUGGUAUCAUUAUGCCGUUGGAUCAAUUGUUACCUUGGUUGCGAUUAUGAUCGCAUUUGUUUUUGCAUUGAAAUGUUUUACAUAGUUUCAAUGUAUGGUUUAAUUAAUUAGAUGCUCUGGAGAGCUAUAUAUAUGUUGUUAGAUGAGAACUAUGUAUGUACUUUGGUUUUAAUGUGAUGAUGAACUUCUAUUAAUUUGGUCACUUAAUUAUCUAUUCAUGAUGUUCUGUAAUGGUUUUUGACACACUUAAUUAUAUAUAAUGCACGCAGAUGAACCGGCAAUGGAUGUACGGUGACAGACACACCUCCGAGUACAUUAAGGGCGUGCAUGAUUUUCUCGAAGUGGCUGAGGCAAACAAGCAGAAUGGUUUUAUGUGUUGUCCAUGCCCUAUAUGUGGGAAUACGAAGUCUUACUCUGACCGGAAAAUCCUUCACACCCACCUGCUUUACAAGGGUUUCAUGCCACACUAUAAUGUUUGGACGAGGCACGGAGAAAUAGGGGUUAUGAUGGAAGACGGCGAAGAAGAAGAGGACGAUGACAACUAUGUGCCCCCUGAGUACGGUGAUGCUGCAACGGGGGAAGCUGCUGAAGAUCAAGAGGAACCAGAUGAUGUGGCCAAUGAUGCUGCAAGGGGGGAAGCUUCUGAAGAUCAAGAGGAACCAGUGCCCGAUGAUGAUGAUCUCCGCCGGGUCAUUGUCGAUGCAAGGACGCAAUGCGAAAGUCAAAAGGAGAAGCUGAAGUUCGAUCGCAUGUUAGAGGAUCACAAAAAAGGGUUGGACCCCAAUUGCGAAGAUGGCAACACAAAGCUCGGUACCGUACUGGAAUUGCUGCAGUGGAAGGCAGAGAAUGCUGUGCCUGACAAAGGAUUUGAGAAGCUAUUGAAAAUAUUGAAGAAGAAGCUUCCAAAGGAUAAUGAAUUGCCCGACAGUACAUACGCAGCAAAGAAGGUCGUAUGCCCUCUAGGAUUGGAGGUGCAGAAGAUACAUGCAUGCCCUAAUGACUGCAUCCUCUACCGCGGUGCGUACAAGGAUCUGAACGCAUGCCCGGUAUGCGGUGCAUUGCGGUAUAAGAUCAGACGAGAUGACCCUGGUGAUGUUGACGGCCAGCCCCCCAGGAAGAGGGUUCCUGCGAAGGUGAUGUGGUAUGCUCCUAUAAUACCACGGUUGAAACGUCUGUUCAGAAACGAAGAGCAUGCCAAGUUGAUGCGAUGGCACAGUGAGGACCGUAAGAAAGACGGGAAGUUGAGAGCACCCGCUGACGGGUCGCAGUGGAGAAAAAUCGAGAGAAAGUACUGGGCUGAGUUUGCAGCUGACCCAAGGAACAUAUGGUUUGGUUUAAGCGCGGAUGGCAUUAAUCCUUUCGGGGAGCAGAGCAGCAAUCACAGCACCUGGCCCAUGACUCUAUGUAUGUAUAACCUUCCUCCUUGGAUGUGCAUGAAGCGGAAGUUCAUUAUGAUGCCAGUUCUCAUCCAAGGCCCUAAGCAACCCGACAACGACAUUGAUGUGUACCUAAGGCCAUUAGUUGAAGAACUUUUACAGCUGUGGAAUGGAAAUGGUGUACGUACGUGGGAUGAGCACAAACAGGAGGAAUUUAACCUGCACGCGGCUGUUUGUAACCAUCAACGAUUGGCCCGCUCUCAGUAACCUUUCAGGACAGACAAACAAGGGAUACCACGCAUGCACGCACUGUUUAGAUGACAAUGAAAGUAUAUACCUAGACAAAUGCAGGAAGAAUGUGUACCUGGGCCAUCGUCGAUUUCUUCCGACCAACCAUCAAUGUCGAAAGAAAGGCAAGCAUUUCAAAGGCGAGGCAGAUCACCGGAAGAAGCCCGCCAUGCGUACCGGUGAUCACGUACUUGCUAUGGUCAAUGAUUUACACGUAAUCUUUGGAAAGGGUCCCGGCGGACUAGCUAUUCCGAAUGACGCUGAGGGACACGCACCCAUGUGGAAGAAGAAAUCUAUAUUUUGGGACCUACCCUACUGGAAAGAGCUAGAGGUCCGCUCUUCAAUCGACGUGAUGCACGUGACGAAGAACCUUUGCGUGAACCUGCUAGGCUUCUUGGGCGUGUAUGGGAAGACAAAAGAUACACCUGAGGCACGGGAGGACCUGCAACGUUUGCAUGAAAAAGACGGCAUGCCUCCGAAGGAGUAUGAAGGUCCUGCCAGCUACGCUCUUACGAAAGAAGAGAAAUAAAUCUUCUUUGAAUGUCUGCUCAGUAUGAAGGUCCCGACUGGCUUCUUGUCGAAUAUAAAGGGAAUAAUAAAUAUGCCAGAGAAAAAGUUCCAGAACCUAAAGUCUCAUGACUGCCACGUGAUUAUGACGCAACUGCUUCCGGUUGCAUUGAGGGGGCUUCUACCGGAAAAUGUCCGAUUAGCCAUUGUGAAGCUAUGUGCAAUCCUCAAUGCAAUCUCUCAGAAGGUGAUUGAUCCAGAAAUCAUACCAAGGCUAAGGAGUGAUGUGGCGCAAUGUCUUGUCAGUUUCGAGCUGGUGUUCCCACCAUCCUUCUUCAAUAUCAUGACCCACGUCCUAGUUCAUCUAGUCGACGAGAUUGUCAUUCUGGGGCCCGUAUUUCUACACAAUAUGUUCCCCUUUGAGAGGUUCAUGGGAGUCCUAAAGAAAUAUGUCCGUAACCGCGCUAGGCCAGAAGGAAGCAUCUCCACGGGCCAUCAAACAGAGGAUGUCAUUGGGUUUUGUGUUGACUUCAUUCCUGGCCUUAAGAAGAUAGGUCUCCCUAAAUCGCGGUAUGAGGGGAGACUGACUGGAAAAGGCACGCUUGGAGGGGACUCAAUAAUAUGCAGGGACGGAUAUUCUUGGUCUCAAGCACACUACACAGUUCUACAGAACUCUACCUUGGUGACCCCGUAUGUCAAUGAACACAAGAACAGUCUGCGCUCCAAACACCCGGAGCAGUGUGACGACUGGAUUACAUGUGAACACAUCAGGACUUUCAGCAGUUGGUUGGAAACACGUCUCAGAGGUGACACCACUGUUUGUGAUGAGUUGUACUCAUUGUCCAGGGGACCAUCUUCGACUGUAUUGACUUACAAAGGAUACGAGAUAAAUGGGAAUACAUUUUACACGAUCGCCCAAGAUCAAAACAGCACCAACCAAAACAGCGGUGUCCGCUUUGAUGCAGCAACCGAGAGGGGAAAGGACACAUAUUAUGGUUACAUAAUGGACAUAUGGGAACUUGACUACGGACAUGAUUUUAAGGUCCCUUUGUUUAAGUGCAAAUGGGUCAAUCUGUCAGGAGGCGAGGUACAGGUAGACCCACAGUACGGAAUGACAACAGUGGAUCUGAACAAUCUUGGGUACACUGAAGAACCGUUCGUCCUAGCCAAUGAUGUGGCACAGGUUAUCUAUGUGAAGGACAUGUCUACCAGACCGAGAAAAAGAAAAGAUAAGGAAGUGAAUACAUCAUACGAUGAGCCAAAGUGGCACAUAGUUCUUUCAGGAAAAAGGGACAUUGUGGGAGUGGAGGGCAAGACAGACAUGUCUGAAGAUUAUGAAAAGUUUCAUGAAAUUCCUCCCUUCAAAGUCAAGGCUGACCCAAGCAUCCUGAUAAACGAUGAAGAUUAUCCAUGGUUACGGUGCAAUAAGCAAAUGACACAAGCGAAGAAAAAGUGAAGACUUUCUCCCGCAACUAUUAUGAUGAUACUAUGCCAACUUUGUAACAGACGAGUAUGAUACCAUUAUCCGUUUUGUACACGAAGUGCAUCUAGUUUUUGCCGUAACCCUCUCAACUUUCUUGCACAUGCUAUGUGGAUGAAAUGAUGAUACCAUGCCAACUUUCAACCUUUUCAGAGUUCAUUUGAAAUGCUUUUCAAUUUUAGGGUCUUAUAUCUCAAAAUAAUUAGUAAAUGCAUGAAAAAUAAUAGGCCAAAAAUUAAAAAUUAUGCCACCUACUGGGCCACCAUGGCCUGAAUACGAUUAGAAACCCAUCCAUGGGCCAGGAUUCAGGCCCGCAGAAGGCCCAGUAGGCCCACAGGCAUGUACAGAGAGGUUAGGCCCGUAAGCCUGCUUUAGAGAGGAGCUCGACAGCUCAGGCGCACCGCACCUUAUAAACAGGUGCGGCUCUCUCUCAGCUAGCGAGGUGGGACUAAACUCCCACCACCACGCCGCUGUGCAAGGCCAUUGGUCCCGGUUGGUGGCACGAACCGGGACCAAUUCCACCCUUUGGUCCCGGUUGGUGCCACGAACCGGUACUAAUGAGGCUGUGGCCCCACGAGCACCUUUAGUACCGGUUCGUGGCACGAACCGGUACUAGAGUUUCUUACUAAGCAGUUUUUUAGUCCCACCUCGCUAGCUGAGAGGCACUAGGAGCGGUUAUAAGCCCUGAGUGCAGAGACGAUGAAGAAGAGGCGCAAUGGUCACCUUCACGUUGCUUAGCUUCAAGCCUUGAGGAAUAAGGUAGACUGCAUGGAGCUAUGUGUAGUGCAGUCUACACUAUUCCGAAAGGCUUGAAGCUAAUCAACGAGCAUUGCGCCUCUUUUUUAUUUUUAAUAACUUAUUACAACUCCGGACUUCUUGUGUUAUGACAAAAUAAAAUAAACUUUAAUAAAAUUUAUGAAACUAAAAUUAACAAAGUAUUUUCUGUUCAAAACAUUAUAAGAAACCUCUAGUAUUAUUGAAACUAAAAUCAUAUAAAAUUGAUGCAACUAAAUUAUCGAAGUAUUUUCUGUUCAAAAUCAUUAAAAGCAAAAAGAAUUUUCAUAAAGAACUUUUUUUGAUAGAAACAUUAAUAGCAAAAAGAAUUAUCAUAAAGUAAAAUAAAUAAGUAAUUNNNNNNNNNNNNNNNNNNNNNNNNNNNNNNNNNNNNNNNNNNNNNNNNNNNNNNNNNNNNNNNNNNNNNNNNNNNNNNNNNNNNNNNNNNNNNNNNNNNNNNNNNNNNNNNNNNNNNNNNNNNNNNNNNNNNNNNNNNNNNNNNNNNNNNNNNNNNNNNNNNNNNNNNNNNNNNNNNNNNNNNNNNNNNNNNNNNNNNNNNNNNNNNNNNNNNNNNNNNNNNNNNNNNNNNNNNNNNNNNNNNNNNNNNNNNNNNNNNNNNNNNNNNNNNNNNNNNNNNNNNNNNNNNNNNNNNNNNNNNNNNNNNNNNNNNNNNNNNNNNNNNNNNNNAAAAAAAAUAAUAAAGCAAAAAAGAACACAAAAAAACUAAAUACAGCAAAAGAAUUUUCAUAAAGAACUUUUUUUGAUAUAAACUUUAAUAGCAAAAACAAUUAUCAUAAAGUAAAAUAAAUAAGUAAUUAGAAACAAAAUAAAAUAAAAUAAAUAAGUUUUUUGUUGUAAGUGAAACAAAACAAAAUAAAUAAAGCAAAAAAGAAAACAAAAAAACUAAAUACAGCAAAAAAAUUGUUGGGGCGCUGCCCGCUGGGCCUUCCAACCCUCGUGUUUGCAAAUACAGGCCCAGAAGGGCUAGAGGGCUCAACGGGCAGCGCACCAAAGUUAGGCCCAGAAGCCUGCUAUAGAGAGGAGUUCGAGACAGCAGCCACGCCAGGGCUUUUAAACUGGUGCGGGCGCCCCUCGGCUAGCGAGGUGGGACUAAACUUUUGGCCGCGACGCGGGCAGCAAGAGGCCUUUGGUCCCGGUUGGUGCCACCAACCGGGACUAAAGGGGUGCAUUGGUACCGGUUCGUGGCACAACCCGGGACCAAUGCCCCCCCCUUUAGUCCCGGUUGGUGCCACCAACCGGGACCAAAGGUCGCCGCUUCCCGCCCUUUGGGCUGCUGAAAAGAGGGCUUUGGUCCCGGUUAGUGGCACCAACCAGGACUAAUGCCUACCUUUAGUCCCGGUUGGUGCCACGAACCGGGACUAAAGGCUUUGCUAUAUAAGCAAACACUUAGAAAAUUUUUCAGAGUUCAUCUGCANNNNNNNNNNNNNNNNNNNNNNNNNNNNNNNNNNNNNNNNNNNNNNNNNNNNNNNNNNNNNNNNNNNNNNNNNNNNNNNNNNNNNNNNNNNNNNNNNNNNNNNNNNNNNNNNNNNNNNNNNNNNNNNNNNNNNNNNNNNNNNNNNNNNNNNNNNNNNNNNNNNNNNNNNNNNNNNNNNNNNNNNNNNNNNNNNNNNNNNNNNNNNNNNNNNNNNNNNNNNNNNNNNNNNNNNNNNNNNNNNNNNNNNNNNNNNNNNNNNNNNNNNNNNNNNNNNNNNNNNNNNNNNNNNNNNNNNNNNNNNNNNNNNNNNNNNNNNNNNNNNNNNNNNNNNNNNNNNNNNNNNNNNNNNNNNNNNNNNNNNNNNNNNNNNNNNNNNNNNNNNNNNNNNNNNNNNNNNNNNNNNNNNNNNNNNNNNNNNNNNNNNNNNNNNNNNNNNNNNNNNNNNNNNNNNNNNNNNNNNNNNNNNNNNNNNNNNNNNNNNNNNNNNNNNNNNNNNNNNNNNNNNNNNNNNNNNNNNNNNNNNNNNNNNNNNNNNNNNNNNNNNNNNNNNNNNNNNNNNNNNNNNNNNNNNNNNNNNNNNNNNNNNNNNNNNNNNNNNNNNNNNNNNNNNAUUAUUGUAGAAUAUGCAAAUGUUUGUAUAUUCAUAUGAACAAUGCAUUAGGCAAAACCUUUACUUUUUUUGAAAUUUUCUAUUUGAACAUUUUUUUAUGAAUGAGAGGAAAAAGGAAAAUAAGAAAAGGAAGAAAGGAGAAGAAGAGGAGAGGAAGAAGAGGAGAAAUAAAUAAGAAGAGGAAAAAAGAAGAAAAAGAAGAGGAGAAGAAGAAAGGAAUAGAAGAGAAGAAGAAAAAAUAGAAAAAAAUCUAUUUUUUCUUCUUCUCUCCUCUAUUCCUUUCUUAUUCUCCUCUUUUUUUUCUUCGAUCUUCUCCUCUAUUCCUUUUCUUCUUCUCCUCUUUUUAUUUCUUCUUCGUUUUCUUAUGUUUUAUCGGGUCUGUCGUCGUCGAUAUACCCCUCUCCCGAUAACUUCAACACGAGGGGGGGUCGAUAUACCCCCUCCCCGAUAAUAUUAUUUUCCCAUGUACGUAUGUCGUCGUUGUCGAUAUAACCCCCUCCCGAUAACUUCAACACGUGGGGGGGGUCGAUAUACCCCCUCCCCGAUAACAUUAUUUUCCCAUGUAUGUAUGUCGUCGUUGUCGAUAUAUAUAACUCCCUCCCAGAUAACUUCGACAUGAUGGACGGUCGAUAUUUAUACCCCCUCUCGACCAUGAUAACUUAUACCACGGGAGCACCCCCCGGCCCUCUUGCUCGACCAAAACUCUCGAGGACACCCAAACCCUAGAAAAAAACGAUGUCGGUCUCCUACCCCCUCCCGCCGCGCCCCUACCCUUGAAGCGUUGCCGAGGCCACCCCAAACCCGGAAUAAGCUAGGUCUACGUUCACUAACCACCCGCUGUCAUGUUUGUGUAAUAAUUUCCAUGUUGUAAUAUUUGCAGAAACAAUGGAGCACGGACGAGACGAGCAAGCAGAAGAGGUGUUGGGGGACAUAAUCUUAGCCGGAGGUGAUAUCUUGUCGUAUCUUAACGACAAUGAUGGUCUAGAAGAACAGGGUGAAGAAGCAGGCUACGGUGAUCGAAGAGUGGAGGAGGAAAGACAUGAUUAUGAUGACUCCGGUGACCCAAUGCUGGUGCAAGAAGGAGCCCGUGGUGAUGGCUCCGGUGACCAAACAGAGUCCGGCCAGGUAAAUAUAUUAGUUAAGCCUGUGCUUACUAGCUAAUUGAUGCAUUCAUUGUUUUGGUAUGUACACAUAUUAAUUAACACUCGUCUUUCUUCUUUUUUCUAGCCCUUCGGAUCGAGCACAACUGCGGUAAAGAGACGAGGCCCGAAGAGAAAGUUGCGCUCGGAUGAAAGGUUUGAGAUCACAGCAAUCGCGCGCGACGGCCAACCGAUUGAACCCAUCCGGACAAAGGAUGCAUUUGCUGCUCAGUGCGGGGUUCUAGUUAGGGACAAGAUCCCGAUCAUCAUCCAGCAAUGGUAUAAGCCUAAGAAGGAAGACCCUGAGGUGUCUUAUGUCAAUGAUAUGCAGAAAGAUGAUCUUUGGACUGAGCUGAAGGCAAAUUUCACCCUACCGCGAGAGGAGGAUCCGGAGAAGCCAGUUAAAGAGCAAUUAAUCAAGUCUCAUGCUCUUAAGAAGAUGGCAGACCUAUUCAGGAGGUGGAAGAAUGAGCUGAAAACGUUUGUCGACAAAGAAGAGACACCAGAAUUCAUCGGCCGGUAUGAAAAGAUCAGAGAUCACUGGCCCGCAUUUGUGGCCCACAAGACAUCGGAAAAGAGUAAGAAGAUGUCAACGACAAACAAGAAGAAUGCUGCGAAGAAGAAGCUUCACCAUCCCACGGGGUCAGGUGGCUACCUCAAAGCCCGGCCUAAGUGGGCCAAGGUUGAGAAUGAUCUGCUUGAAAAAGGGAUCGAACCACAGACAAUGAACUGGACAGACCGUUGCCGGACUUGGUUCUUCGGGGCUGGCGGAGCCUUGGACCCUGUAUCAGGGAGGUGCGUUUGGACGAACGAGCUUUUGAGAAUACUAGUCAAGAAGAUUCAGCAAUAUAUCGAUGCAGCGCAGGAAGGGACGCAUGUUCCAGACAGAGAGAACGACGAGCUCACAAUGGCCCUCGGGAAUCCUGAGCACCCUGGACGGACACGAGGCACGCCAGGCUCCAUUCCAUGGAAGGCUAGUUUUCCGGACGCAUGCGGUUACAAAAGCCAGGAGAGGAGGAAAAAAAUGGAGCAGACCCAAAUUCAGAAGCUGCACGAAAGGGUUCAAGCGCUAGAGGAACGAGACAGCAAUCGACAUGCCGAAACUACCCCCGAAGCUACCCCGCCAUCUCAGCGGAGAAGCAGCGUGGCUUCCACCGAGCUGCUUCAACUGGAGCAUGUCUUGACGGCUCCUGCUAGCUACCCCGUGGAUGCUAUCACGGAGUCACAACAUUGCCACCUUAUGGCGCAAUGGCAGAACUUCAAAGUCAAGGCGGCUGUUGGCUCUAUUUUACCUCCUGAACCCGGCGCAACCUACCACUGCCGGCCGAUUCUAGAAGGAUAUGCUAGGGUGAUGGUGGAUGAAAUAACGGAGGGAUUUGAGGACCUCCAGCUUAACCACCCUACCGGUGAAGGGGAGACUCGGCUGGGUUUAGCUCUGAAGACUCCGUGCCUAUGGCGGAAGGAGCUCAUCAACCUUCCGAACUGGACGGCUCCGGCGAGUAAGGGCACUGCCUCCUCCUCCGCCUCCUCCUCCGGCGAGUGAUCAGGGCACUCAGCCUCCUUCUCCGGCGCGUGGCGGCACUCCGCCUCCUCCUCCGGCGAAUGAUCAGGGCACUCAGCCUCCUCCGGCGCGUGGUGGCACUCCGCCUCCUUCUCCGCCUGCGUCGGCGCGCCAGAGCAGCCAGCCUCCUCCUUCUCCGCCUCGUCAGCAAGGGCGGAAGAGACCCGCCGCCGCUCCGGCUGCUCCGGCGCUCCGUAGUCCUUCUCCUCCGCCUCGUAAGCAAGGAAAGAAGACAGCCGCAGCCGCUCCGUCUGCUCUGCCGGCGUCUAGCAGUACAGCUGCCAGAGGCGGGAGGCAAUACAGAUUCGGUCCUUCUCUGAAGACUCCAGAGAAGUUACCAUACGAGAGGACCGAGGAGGAAACCAGGAAGAUCGUGCGAGCCGAAGUGACAAACUUCUUUGAAGGGGUGAAAGCAAAGAAACAUCCACCUCCAGAGGAGAAGGUAGAUCCAGUGAAAGCAAAGCGCACUCUGGCUGCCUUGACAAAACCACCAAAGUCUCCGCCGAAAGGCAACUAUGAGCGCAUUCUUGCAAAGACAUAUGCCGAAGUCGAGCGGUCGGGAAGUACUGACAGUGAUCAAAGGUUAAAAGAACGACGAGCUGGGGAAAAAAUUGCCCAGCUCGGCGAACAAGCGAACCAAUCGUGCCCCCCGCUCAAGGUGUCAAAAGACAUCGUCGCUAAUGAUCCGAGGAUGGUGGCCGGUUAUAGCAAUCUUGGAGAUUACCUGCCCGACGAUGCACAUUAUGAAAUCAUGGAGGUGGACAAACACAAAUACCAUUACGGGAAGCCUCUCGUCAAAGAUGAAAGAUCUCUAACAACGAUGAUGCGAAGAUUACAUGAUUGGUACAUGAAAACCUGCAGAGAGUCUGAUGGGAUGAAUACUUUGACGCUGAGAGUUAAACCGGAGCAUGACCUCGUUGGAAUUGAACUGCUGAAUGUUCCAUUUGAGGAUUUCUUCCAGUUUUACAAUCAAAAGGCCCUCGAUAAAACAACGAUCACUUGCUACUGUCUGUAAGUAGUACUACUUCUGUCAUUAAGUCUCUCUAUAUAGGUCAGCUCUUUCAUUGCAUGUAUUUAUAAUUAUCCUCACUAUAUUAUGCAGAUUGAAGAUCGCCGAAUUGAAGAAAAGACAAAUCGGUGAUAUUGGGUUCAUUAACACAAAUCUCAUAGAUGCAUAUACGGUUGAAAAACAUGCCAAAGAUGUUGGAAAUAUGCCCUGGAGGCAAUAAUAAAUGGUUAUUAUUAUAUUUCUUUGUUCAUGGUAAUUGUCUAUUGUUCAUGCUAUAACUGUGUUAUCCGGAAAUCGUAAUACACGUGUGAAUACAUAGACCACAACGUGUCCCUAGUAAGCCUCUGGUUGACUAGCUCAUUGAUCAAUAAAUAGUCAUGGUUUCCUGACUAUGGACAUUGGAUGUCAUUGAUAGCGGGAUCACAUCAUUAGGAGAAUGAUGUGAUGGACAAGACCCAAUCCUAAGCAUAGCUCAAAGAUCGUGUAGUUCGUUUGCUAGAGCUUUUCCAAUGUCAAGUAUCUUUUCCUUAGACCAUGAGAUCGUGCAACUCCGGAUACCGUAGGAGUGCUUUGGGUGUGCCAAACGUCACAACAUAACUGGGUGACUAUAAAGGUACACUACGGGUAUCUCCGAAAGUGUCUGUUGGGUUGGCACGGAUCGAGACUGGGAUUUGUCACUCCGUGUGACGGAGAGGUAUCUCUGGGCCCACUCGGUAAUGCAUCAUCAUAAUGAGCUCAAUGUGACUAAGGAGUUAGUCAUGGGAUCAUGCAUUACGGUAUGAGUAAAGAGACUUGCCGGUAACGAGAUUGAACAAGGUAUUGGGAUACCGACGAUCGAAUCUCGGGCAAGUAACAUACCGAUUGACAAAGGGAAUAGUAUACGGGAUUGAUUGAAUCCUCGACAUCGUGGUUCAUCCGAUGAGAUCAUCGUGGAACAUGUGGGAGCCAACAUGGGUAUCCAGAUCCCGCUGUUGGUUAUUGACCGGAGAGGCGUCUCGGUCAUGUCUGCAUGUCUCCCGAACCCGUAGGGUCUACACACUUAAGGUUCGGUGACGCUAGGGUUGUAGAGAUAUGAGUAUGCGGAAACCCGAAAUUUGUUCGGAGUCCCGGAUGAGAUCCCGGACGUCACGAGGAGUUCCGGAAUGGUCCGGAGGUGAAGAAUUAUAUAUAGGAAGUCCAGUUUUGGCCACCGGGAAAGUUUCGGGGGUUAUCGGUAUUGUACCGGGACCACCGAAAGGGUCCCGGGGGUCCACCGGGUGGGGCCACCUAUCCCGGAGGGCCCCAUGGGCUGAAGUGGGAAGGGAACCAGCCCUUAGUGGGCUAGGGCGCCCCCCAUGGGCCUCCCCCCUGCGCCUAGGGUUGGAAACACUAGGGUGGGGGGUCGCCCCACUUGACUUGGGGGGAAGCCACCCCCCCCCCUUCCCCUUGGNNNNNNNNNNNNNNNNNNNNNNNNNNNNNNNNNNNNNNNNNNNNNNNNNNNNNNNNNNNNNNNNNNNNNNNNNNNNNNNNNNNNNNNNNNNNNNNNNNNNNNNNNNNNNNNNNNNNNNNNNNNNNNNNNNNNNNNNNNNNNNNNNNNNNNNNNNNNNNNNNNNNNNNNNNNNNNNNNNNNNNNNNNNNNNNNNNNNNNNNNNNNNNNNNNNNNNNNNNNNNNNNNNNNNNNNNNNNNNNNNNNNNNNNNNNNNNNNNNNNNNNNNNNUAUAUAAAGGGGGGAGGGAGGGCAGCAACACUACAGCCUUGGGCGCCUCCCUCCUCCCCUUCUACACCUCUCCCUCUUGCAGAAGCUCGGCGAAGCCCUGCCGAGAUCCCGCUACAUCCACCACCACGACGUCGUGCUGCUGGAUCUCCAUCAACCUCUCCUUCCCCCUUGCUGGAUCAAGAAGGAGGAGACGUCGCUGCACCGUACGUGUGUUGAACGCGGAGGUGUCGUCCGUUCGGCACUCAGUCAUCGGUGAUUUGGAUCACGGCGAGUACGACUCCAUCAACCACGUUCAUUGGAACGCUUCCGCUCGCGAUCUACAAGGGUAUGUAGAUGCACUCCUUUCCCCUCGUUGCUAGUAUACUCCAUAGAUGGAUCUUGGUGAUGCGUAGGAAAAAUUUUAAAUUCUGCUACGAUCCCCAACAGUGGCAUCAUGAGCCAGGCCUAUGCGUAGUUACUAUGCACGAGUAGAACACAAAGCAGUUGUGGGCGUAGAUGUUGCCAAUUCUUCUUGCCGCUACUAGUCUUAUCUUGUUUAGGCGGUACUGUGGGAUGAAGCGGCCCGGACCGACCUUACACGUACGCUUACGUGAGACAGGUUCCACCGACUGACAUGCACUAGUUGCAUAAGGUGGCUAGCGGGUGUCUGUCUCUCCCACUUUAGUCGGAACGGAUUCGAUGAAAAGGGUCCUUAUGAAGGGUAAAUAGAAAUUGGCAUAUCACGUUGUGGUUUGAAGUAGGUAAGAAACGUUCUUGCUAGAAACCUAUACAAGCCACGUAAAAACUUGCAACAACAAUUAGAGGACGUCUAACUUGUUUUUGCAGCAAGUGUUAUGUGAUGUGAUAUGGCCAGAAGAUGUGAUGAAUGAUAUAUGUGAUGUAUGAGAUUGAUCAUAUUCUUGUAAUAGGAAUCACGACUUGCAUGUCGAUGAGUAUGACAACCGGCAGGAGCCAUAGGAGUUGUCUUUAUUUUUUGUAUGACCUGCGUGUCAUUGAAUAACGCCAUGUAAAUUACUUUACUUUAUUGCUAAACGCGUUAGCCAUAGAAGUAGAAGUAAUCAUUGGCGUGACAACUUCAUGAAGACACGAUGAUGGAGAUCAUGAUGAUGGAGAUCAUGGUGUCAUGCCGGUGACGAAGAUGAUCAUGGUGCCCCGAAGAUGGAGAUCAAAGGAGCAAAAUGAUAUUGACCAUAUCGUGUCACUAUUUGAUUGCAUGUGAUGUUUAUCAUGUUUUUGCCUCUUAUUUGCUUAGAACGACGGUAGUAAGUAAGAUGAUCCCUUAUAAUAAUUUCAAGAAAGUGUUCCCCCUAACUGUGCACCAUUGCGAAGGUUCGUUGUUUCGAAGCACCACGUGAUGAUCGGGUGUGAUAGAUUCUAAUGUUCGCAUACAACGGGUGUUGACGAGCCUAGCAUGUACAGACAUGGCCUCGGAACACACGCAAUACACUUAGGUUGACUUGACGAGCCUACCAUGUACAGGCAUGGCCUCGGAACACGGAGGACCGAAAGGUCGAGCAUGAGUCGUAUAGAAGAUACGAUCAACAUGGAGAUGUUCACCGAUCUUGACUAGUCCGUCUCACGUGAUGAUCGGACACGGCCUAGUUAACUCGGAUCAUGUUUCACUUAGAUGACUAGAGGGAUGUCUAUCUGAGUGGGAGUUCAUUGAAUAAUUUGAUUAGAUGAACUUAAUUAUCAUGAACUUAGUCUAAAAUCUUUACAAUAUGUCUUGUAGAUCAAUGGCCCACGUUGUCCUCAACUUCAACGCGUUCCUAGAGAAAACCAAGCUGAAAGAUGAUGGCAAUAACUAUACGGACUGGGUCCGAAACCUGAGGAUCAUCCUCAUAGCUGCCAAGAAAGAUUAUGUCCUAGAAGCACCGCUAGGUGAAGCACCCAUCCUAGAGAACCAAGACGUUAUGAACGCUUGGCAAUCACGUGCUGAUGAUUACUCCCUCGUUCAAUGCGGCAUGCUUUACAGCUUAGAACCGGGUCUCCAAAAGCGUUUUGAGAAACAUGGAGCAUAUGAGAUGUUCGAGGAGCUGAAAAUGGUUUUCCAAGCUCAUGCCUGGGUCGAGAGAUAUGAUGUCUCCGACAAGUUCUUCAGCUGUAAAUGGAGGAAAAUAGUUCUGUUAGUGAGCACAUACUCAGAAUGUCUGGGUUGCAUAACCGCUUGUCUCAACUGGGAGUCAAUCUCCCGGAUGACGCGGUCAUUGACAGAAUCCUCCAGUCGCUUCCACCAAGCUACAAGAGCUUUGUGAUGAACUUCAAUAUGCAGGGGGUGGAAAAGACCAUUCCUGAGGUAUAUUCAAUGCUGAAAUCAACGGAGGUGGAGAUCAGAAAAGAACAUCAAGUGUUGAUGGUGAAUAAAACCACUAAGUUCAAGAAGGGCAAGGGUAAGAAGAACUUCAAGAAGGACGGCAAGGGAGUUGCCGCGCCCGGUAAGCCAGUUGCCGGGAAGAAGCCAAGGAAUGGACCCAAGCCUGAGACUGAGUGCUUUUAUUGCAAGGGAAGUGGUCACUGGAAGCGGAACUGCCCCAAAUACUUAGCGGACAAGAAGGCCGGCAACACCAAAGGUAUAUGUGAUAUACAUGUAAUUGAUGUGUACCUUACCAGUACUCGUAGUAGCUCCUGGGUAUUUGAUACCGGUGCGCUUGCUCAUAUUUGUAACUCAAAACAGGAACUGCGGAAUAAACGGAGACUGACAAAGGACGAGGUGACGAUGCACGUCGGGAAUGGUUCCAAGGUCGAUGUGAUCGCCGUCGGCACGCUACCUCUGCAUCUACCUACGGGAUUAGUUUUAAACCUCAAUAAUUGUUAUUUAGUGCCAGCUUUGAGCAUGAACAUUGUAUCUGGAUCUCGUUUAAUUCGAGAUGGCUACUCAUUUAAAUCCGAGAAUAAUGGUUGUUCUAUUUAUAUGAGAGAUAUGUUUUAUGGUCAUGCCCCGCUGGUCAAUGGUUUAUUCUUGAUGAAUCUCGAACGUGAUGUUACACAUAUUCAUAGUGUGAAUACCAAAAGAUGUAAAGUUGAUAACGAUAGUCCCACAUACUUGUGGCACUGCCGCCUUGGUCACAUUGGUGUCAAGCGCAUGAAGAAGCUCCAUGCAGAUGGACUCUUGGAGUCUCUUGAUUACGAAUCAUUUGACACGUGCGAACCAUGCCUCAUGGGUAAGAUGACCAAGACUCCGUUCUCCGGAACAAUGGAGCGAGCAACCAACUUAUUGGAAAUCAUACAUACCGAUGUGUGCGGUCCAAUGAGUGUUGAGGCUCGCGGAGGAUAUCGUUAUGUUCUCACUCUCACUGAUGACUUAAGUAGAUAUGGGUAUGUCUACCUAAUGAAACACAAGUCUGAAACCUUUGAAAAGUUCAAGGAAUUUCAGAGUGAGGUUGAGAAUCAACGUGACAGAAAAAUAAAAUUCUUACGAUCAGAUCGUGGUGGAGAAUAUUUAAGUCACGAAUUUGGUACGCACUUAAGGAAAUGUGGAACCGUUUCACAACUCACGCCGCCUGGAACACCUCAGCGAAACGGUGUGUCCGAACAUCGUAAUCGCACUCUAUUGGAUAUGGUGCGAUCUAUGAUGUCUCUUACCGAUUUACCGCUCUCAUUUUGGGGCUAUGCUUUAGAGACUGCCGCAUUCACUUUAAAUAGGGCUUCGUCGAAAUCCGUUGAAACGACACCGUAUGAAUUAUGGUUUGGGAAGAAACCUAAGCUGUCGUUUGUAAAAGUUUGGGGAUGCGAUGCUUAUGUCAAGAAACUUCAACCUGAAAAGCUCGAACCCAAGUCGGAGAAAUGCGUCUUCAUAGGAUACCCUAAGGAAACUAUUGGGUAUACCUUCUACCUCAGAUCCGAAGGCAAGAUCUUCGUUGCCAAGAACGGGUCCUUUCUGGAGAAAGAGUUUCUCUCGAAAGAAUUGAGUGGGAGGAAAGUGGAACUUGAUGAGGUGAUAGUCACCCCUUCCGAACCGGAAAGUAGCGCAGCGCGGGAAGAUGUUCCUGUGGUGCCUACACCGACUGGGGAGGAAGUUAAUGAUGAUGAUCAUGAAGCUUCGGAUCAAGUUACUGCUGAACUUCGUAGGUCCACAAGGACACGUUCCGCACCAGAGUGGUACGGCAACCCUGUCCUGGAAAUCAUGUUGUUAGACAACGGUGAACCUUCGAACUAUGAAGAAGCGAUGGCGGGCCCGGAUUCCGACAAAUGGCUAGAAGCCAUGAAAUCCGAGAUAGGAUCCAUGUAUGAAAACGAAGUAUGGACUUUGACUGACUUGCCCGAUGAUCGGCGAGCCAUAGAAAAUAAAUGGAUCUUUAAGAAGAAGACAGACGCGGAUUAUGACGCCCCCGAUUUGACCGUACACUAAUCAUGCACGCAAAUGUGUACGAUCACGAUCAGGGACUCACGGGAAGAUAUCACAACACAACUCUACAACAUAAAUAAGUCAUACAAGCAUCAUAAUACAAGCCAGGGGCCUCGAGGGCUCGAAUACAAUUGCUCGAUCAUAGACGAGUCAGCGGAAGCAACAAUAUCUGAGUACAGACAUAAGUUAAACAAGUUUGCCUUAAGAAGGCUAGCACAAACUGGGAUACAGAUCGAACGAGGCACAGGCCUCCUGCCUGGGAUCCUCCUAACUACUCCUGGUCGUCGUCAGCGGCCUGCACGUAGUAGUAGGCACCUCCAGUGUCGUAGGAGUCGUCGUCAACGGUGGCGUCUGGCUCCUGGGCUCCAGCAUCUGGUUGCGACAACCAGGUAGAAGGGAAAGGGGGGAAAAGAGGGAGAAAGGCAACAGGGAAGGGGGAACAGGGAAGGGGGCGAGGGGGAGAGGUGGGCUGGGCCGGGGGGUCGGGGGUGGCGGCCCAGUUUGGGCCACGGGUCCAGUGGGGGGAAGGGCCUUCUCCUUCUUUUCUUUUUCUCUGUCUGUCUUGUUUUCUGUUUUCUUUUUAUUUGUUUAUUUUCUUUUCUGUUUUAUUUCAUUUAAAAGUAUUUAGGUAUUUUAUAAAAAUGUGUUUCCUCCACCAUAAUUACCAGUGUAUUAUUUGGCACCCACCGAACAUUUUUGUUUAAAUUUUUGAAAACUUUUAUUUUCCACUUUAAUUAUAUUUGAAGUUUGAACUAGGAGUUUGAAAAGGAAGGUGAUUCAAAUGUGAUCAAGCCCUGUUUAGCAACAUGAUUAGCUUAAUCACAGGGAGUUACUGUAGCAUGAUUCUCAGGGUGUUACAAAUCUCCUCCACUACAAGAAUUCUCGUCCCGACAUUUAGGAGGUAGAAGGAAACAGUGCGGGGUAUUCUUCGCGCAGACGAUCCUCUCGUUCCCAAGUGGCCUCAUCUUCAGAAUGGUGCGACCACUGGACUUUGAGAAACUUGAUCGCCUUCUGACGUGUGCGGCGUUCAGCUUGGUCGAGAAUGCGGACCGGAUGCUCCUUAUAGGAGAGGUCUUGCUGCAAUUCGAGCACUUCAUGAUCCGCAGCUCGGAUUGGAUCCUUGAAGCAACGGCGGAGCUGUGACACAUGGAACACAUCGUGAACCUGAGAAAGGUUCGGCGGUAGCUCCAGUUGGUAUGCCACUUUUCCACGUCUUUCGAGAAUAGUGAAUGGGCCAAUAUAGCGAGGAGCUAGUUUGCCCUUGAUCCCGAAGCGGUGAGCACCCUUCAUAGGUGUGACUCGAAGAUAAGCCUUUUCGCCAGGUUGAUAGACCAUGUCUUUAUGAUGACGGUCAUACUGACUCUUCUGACGUGACUGAGCAGUCUUGAGAUUCUCGCGAAUAAUGCGGACUUGUUCUUCGGCAUCUUGGAUAAUAUCCGGACCGAAGAGUGGACGUUCCCCAGUUUGUUCAGAGGGGUUCGGCACUUUCGUCCAUAUAACACUUCGAAGGGGGCCAUCUUCAGACUAGCUUGAUAGCUAUUAUUAUAAGAGAACUCAGCAUACGGGAGAGAUUCCUCCCAUUUCUUGCCGAAGGAAAUAACGCAAGCUCGAAGCAUGUCUUCGAGAACUUGAUUGACGCGUUCAACUUGUCCUUGCGAUUGAGGAUGAAACGCAGUACUGAAUGACAGAUGAGUUCCCAUUGCUUCUUGGAAACUUGCCCAGAAUCUUGAAGUGAAUAAGCUACCACGGUCUGAACUGAUAACCAAUGGAAUACCGUGGAGUGAAACAAUCCUGGACAUAUAGAGCGUUGCGAACUGGCUAGCAGUGAUCGUUUCUUUGACCGCCAGGAAAUGUGCAACUUUGGAAAGCCGGUCAAUGACGACAAGAAUAGCAUCAUUACCUUUCUGUGAUUUGGGAAAUCCAGUGACGAAGUCCAUCUCAACAUGGUCCCAUUUCCAUUCAGGAAUAGAGAUAGGUUGCAGAGUUCCAGCAGGCCUUUGAUGUUCUGCUUUGAUACGACGGCAAACGUCACACUCAGCAACAUAACGAGCAAUGUCUUGCUUCAUAUUAGUCCACCAGAAUCUCUGACGGAUAUCUUGGUACAUCUUUGUACUACCAGGAUGGAUACAUAGAGGCGUAUCAUGAGCUUCUUUCAUAACUUCCUGUGUCAUAUCCAGGUUUUUCUCUGCACAUGGCACCACUAGGCGGCCCUUGAAGUAUAGGGUGUCAUCUUCAGCAAUGGUGAAGAAUGAGGGCUUUCCUUCUGCGAGGUAGUGCUUAAUCUUGUGGGCUUCAGAGUCAUACCUCUGUAGCCUUUUGAUGCUGUCCUCGAGAUCUGGUUUAGCAACUAGGGUAUUGAGGGAACCCUGGGUAACAACGUGGAGGUUCACCUUGCCAAAUUCCUUAGGAGGGGGAGCGAGUGCACCCGGAGGAACAAUAUGGAGGUUCAGCUUCCUGAAUUCUUCAACAAGCGAGGGCUGAACUUUAUGAACCUGGAGGUGGUUGCAGUAAGACUUGCGGCUCAAGGCAUCAGCCAUUACAUUAGCCUUGCCUGGCGUAUAGGAAAUACCCAAGUCAAAGUCUGCAACGAGCUCCAUCCAUCUCUGCUGACGGAGGUUCAGAUCUGGUUGAGUAAACAGAUACUUCAGACUUUGGUGGUCAGUGAAGAUCUCGCAACGAUUACCGAGAAGGUAAUGUCGCCACUGCUUCAGCGCAUGAAUGACAGCAGCAAGUUCGAGGUCGUGAACUGGGUAGUUCUCUUCGUGAGGGCGCAAUUGUCGAGAGGCAUAAGCAAUCACUUUGCGGUCUUGCAUUAGGACACAGCCUAAUCCUUGACGGGAAGCGUCGCAGUAAAUGACGAAGUCCUUCUUAGUAUCAGGUGGAGCUAGAACUGGGGCAGAAGUCAACUUGUCUUUGAGUGCCUGGAAACUUUCCUGACAUUUGUCUGUCCAUUGGAACUUGACGCCCUUAUGUAACAGGUUAGUCAGAGGCCUGGCGAUCUUGGAGAAGUUCUCGACAAAUCGACGGCAAUAGCUGGCGAGACCGAGAAAACUUCUGACUUGCUUAACGUUCUUGGGAGGAGUCCAAUCAAGAAUAGCCUGAACUCGCUCGGGGUUAACGGCAAUACCAUCCUUAGAGAUGACAUGCCCCAGAUAGGUUACUUCCGGUAGCCAAAAUUCACAUUUGGAGAACUUGGCAUAUAGUUGAUGUUCUCGUAGCUUUUCCAGCACCAGUCGAAGAUGUUCAGCAUGUUCUUCUUCGUUCUUGGAAAAUAUCAGGAUAUCAUCCAGAUAAACCACGACGAACUUGUCGAGGUAAUCCAUGAAUAUGUAGUUCAUCAGACGAGAGAAGGUGGCUGGAGCAUUGGUUAAACCGAAAGACAUGACGGUGUACUCGUAUGAACCAUAGCGAGUCACGAAGGCGGUCUUUGGGAUAUCCUCUUCGCGAACACGGAUCUGGUGGUAGCCCAACCUCAAGUCGAGCUUGGAGAACACUGACGAACCCGCCAGUUGAUCAUACAGAUCAUUAAUCCGAGGAAGAGGGUAUUUAUUCUGAAUGGUAGCUUGGUUUAUAGGACGGUAGUCUUGAACUAACCGGUUUGUCCCAUCCUUCUUCUUGACAAAGAGAGAAGGUGCUCCCCAAGGAGAGCAACUUGGGCAAAUGAAUCCUUUGCGAAGAGACUUGUCGAUUUCCUCCUUAAGCUCAAGGAGUUCAUGCGGCGGCAUUUUGUAGGGUCGCUUGGCUACAGGAGUGGUGCCUGGUUUCAAGUCGAUGAUGAAUUCGACAGCUCUAGCAGGGGGAAUCCCCGGAAGUUCUUCAGGGAAGACGUCGAGGAAUUCACGCACGACGGGAAUGUUUUCAAUGCCCUCGAGUGGUGCAGCGUUCAAUGCAUUCAAUGCGUAAAGCCUUGCCUCGGCAUUUUGCACCAGAUGAGCUUGGUAAGCAACUAUUUCAUCCGAAGGGUGUAACAGAUGGACGGUCUUAGUGGCGCAAACUAUAGAAGCAGUAUGCGCUUUCAACCAAUCCAUACCCAAAAUGAGGUUGAUGUUAGACGACUUCAGGAUAAUGGGAGAGGCAUAGAAUUCCAGCCCUUCGAUUUCCACGGGGACAUCGAUGCCAACCAAGGAGGUUUGACACUGCCCCACGGGGGUUUUGACCAAUACAGAGGUGUUCAUCUCCUCACAUUUAACGUCGUGCUUGUAUGCAAAAUCUUCUGACAUGAAUGAAUGCGAUGCACCUGUAUCAAAUAAAACGGAUGCUGGUACUGAAUUUACGAGGAGUGUACCCAUCACAGUAGCAGGCUGGUCUUGAGCUUCGUUAAGAUCAACGUGGUUGCAUGAGCACGACCAUAAGGCUUAGCAUUGUUGCUGCGGGGCUGGUUGUUACCACGGCCCGUUGCUGGAAGGGCAAGUUGAUUCUGAUUCUGAUGGCAGUCCCUGGCACGGUGACCUGGUUGUCCACACUUGUAGCACAGACCAUUAUUGGGAGUGGGAACAGGAGUUUGGGAUGGUGGAGCUGGAAGUCUUGACUGCUUAGAUGGUGGUGGAGGCAGACGAGGUGCAGCAUAGGUCUGCCUUGGGGCAGAUGCAUUUGGACGGUACAUGCUGUUCGGGAUCCAUAUCUUACGCUUCUGUGCGGGCGAACCCGAAGAUGAGCCCGUGUCACGGUUGCGCCUGUGAGAGCUCUGGUAUUCCUGCAGACCAGUUUCGACAUUGAUGGCCUUGUUCACCAAGGUGGCGAAAUCAGCAAAGUCAUGCACUAGAAGUGCGAGCUUGAUGUCAGCUUGAAGGCCAUCAUGGAACUUCUCCUGUCUGCGUGCAUCAGUUGCAAUGUCUUCUUCAGCAUAGCGGGACAAGUCCAGAAACUCCCGCUGAUAAGCUUCGACAGAUUUGUUGCCUUGGGUGAGGUUGCGGAACUCACGCUUCUUCCGGUCCAUGACUCCCUGAGGAAUGAAGCGGGCACGGAAAGCUGCUUGGAAGUCUGGCCAGGUGAUGAUUGUUCCAGCUGGCAGAGUACGCCUGUGGCUGUCCCACCAUUGAGCUGCGGGUCCCUUCAGAAAGAAGGAAGCAAAGUUGACAUAGCUGGCAGGGGCUACAUCAGCAGACUCCAACUCAUAGGUGAUGUCACGGAGCCAGUCAUCAGCAUCCAGAGGCUGAGUUGAGCUGCGGUAGAUGGUUGGGUUGAGGCGUAUGAAAUCUUGAAGAGUCACUUGGGCUGGCUGCUGGUUCAUAUUGGGGCGAGGAAACUGAGCCAUCAUAUUUUCCAUGAAUUGGCGGUUCAGUUCAAACUGUUGGAUCAUACCAGCCAUGUACUCAGGUGGUGGUGGGGCAUCGCCACCACAACCACGACCACCUGGUCUAACCAUCCUGCUAAUAUAUAACAGGGGUGGUUCAGCAUUGAGAAAUAUUUACAAAGACAAGAAUCAUUCAUGAUGAAACAUGCAUAACGAAAGGAGCACGAUAGCUACUACAUAGUAGUCGGCAUAACUUACAAAAGGGGUCAUGCAUAGAGUUCAGUACAUGGACUAAAACAUCAUAGGCGGCACACAGGCUCGCGGCGAAUGCACCUAACAAUACAAGCAAGUCUACAUCAGUCCCAAGAGGUACUGUGGAGGUAAUCGUAGCCCGACAGCUGGUAGUGAGGCAACGGAUAGUCCUCCACGUCAGCAGACUGGGGGCCGCGGAUACUCAGGUGUAGAGCCCGACGCUCAGGUGGCAGAAGAGGACCAAGUGCGGGAGAGUAGCCUCCCACCUCUGGCCAACCAACACCGUGGGGCAUCACGGUCCUGGCUGGGUAGAUCACCGUACGCGGUACCUGUCCAGACCGGACAAAGGGGUGCAACAGCGUCAGAGCACGGUAAAGGUGCUGACGGGUGGUGUACAUCUCGUGGCGAAGAGCUCGGUUAGCUCGAUCCAGCCCAUCAGCAUGCAGAACCAGGUGCUGAUGGUAGAAGGGCUCUCGGGUGACAGUGGAGUAGGCAGCAGUAUAGUAUCCCUCCGCACCAACAUCAGAGGCGAUAGCAAUGUGCCUGAAAGGGGAGGUGUCCAACUCCCGAUACUCUCCACGAAGACGUGUCAGAGCAGCAUAGGCAGCAUCGUGGACAGCCAUAUCGAUGGUCACACCAACACCAUGUGCGGUGUGCAACACAGUAGUGGAGUCAUACUCCCGAGAGUAGAGGUGGACGAUGGCACGGUACUGCUCCUGGUUAAAGUCCUGGUACUCCUCGUAGACGGUGUACUCAGGGUGCCAGCGAUAACCCAGAUAGGUCAUCAUCUCAACUAGCACCGCAGGUGAUCCCCAGGCACCAAUGGCCAUCGUGUGGCGAACGACCUGCCUCGUGGGUUCCAUCUGAAAGCAAAGACGUUACAAAGGAGUCAAAUGACAGUGUGUGAAUUGUUCAAAAUACUAUUCUGAGAAACAUCUAUGGCUUAUCCAUCUUUGGGGUGAACGCGAUCGGGAUCCUAGUGUUAGAGUUAGUAAAUUCGUUUAACCCGAGUAGAAGAGAGUUCAGAGUCCCAGAGUAAAGGAUGAGGAGUAAAAGAUCCUAGUACCACCCAAUGGCGACGUGGGCCCGUAAGACACACAGCCAUGUUAGUAAAAGUUUUUGUAAUGUCUAGACUCGACUUCGGCCAAGGAGUGUGGAUAGGGGGAUUCCUACAGGCAGUCGGCUCUGAUACCAACUUGUGACGCCCCCGAUUUGACCGUACACUAAUCAUGCACGCAAAUGUGUACGAUCACGAUCAAGGACUCACGGGAAGAUAUCACAACACAACUCUACAACAUAAAUAAGUCAUACAAGCAUCAUAAUACAAGCCAGGGGCCUCGAGGGCUCGAAUACAAUUGCUCGAUCAUAGACGAGUCAGCGGAAGCAACAAUAUCUGAGUACAGACAUAAGUUAAACAAGUUUGCCUUAAGAAGGCUAGCACAAACUGGGAUACAGAUCGAACGAGGCGCAGGCCUCCUGCCUGGGAUCCUCCUAACUACUCCUGGUCGUCGUCAGCGGCCUGCACGUAGUAGUAGGCACCUCCAGUGUCGUAGGAGUCGUCGUCGACGGUGGCGUCUGGCUCCUGGGCUCCAGCAUCUGGUUGCGACAACCAGGUAGAAGGGAAAGGGGGGAAAAGAGGGAGAAAGGCAACUGUGAGUACUCAUCCAAAGUACUCGCAAGCAAGGAGCUAUACUACAUAUGCAUGGGUAUAUGUGUAAAGGGGCAUAUCAGUGGACUGAACUGGAGAAUGCCAGAAUAAGAGGGGGAUAGCUAGUCCUGUCGAAGACUACGCUUCUGGACAUCUCCAUCUUACAGCAUGUAGAAGAGAGUAGAUUGAAGUCCUCCAAGUAGCAUCGCAUAGCAUAAUCCUACCCGGCAAUCCCCUCCUCGUCGCCCUGUUAGAGAGCGAUCACCAGGUUGUAUCUGGCACUUGGAAGGGUGUAUUUUAUUCAGUAUCCAGUUCUAGUUGUAAUAAGCUCAAGGUACAACUCCGGGUCGUCCUUUUACCGAGGGACACGGCUAUUCGAAUAGAUAAACUUCCCUGCAGGGGUGCACCACAUAACCCAACACGCUCGAUCCCAUUUGGCCGGACACACUUUUCUGGGUCAUGCCCGGCCUCGUAAGAUCAACACGUCGCAGCCCCACCUAGGCCCAACAGAGAGGUCAGCACGCCGGUCUAAACCUAUGCGCGCAGGGGUCUGGGCCCAUCGCCCUAUGCACACCUGCACGUUGCGUACGCGGCCGGAAGCAGACCUAGCCCCCUUAAUACAAGCGCGAGCUUACGGUCCAAUGCGGCGCGCGCCACUCAGUCGCUGACGUCAAAAGAGCUUUGGCUGAUACCACGACGUCGGGAUACCCAUAACUACUCCCACGUAGAUGGUUAGUGCGUAUAGACCAAAUGGCCAGACUCAGAUCAAAUACCAAGAUCUCGUUAAGCGUGUUAAGUAACCGCGAACGCCGACCAGGGCCAGGCCCACCUCUCACCUAGGUGGUCUCAACCUGCCCUGUCGCUCCGCCACAAAGAUCCACUCGCGGGUACUCCUACGAGCCGACCCGGCUUAAAUCAUCACAUGUGUCAUGUAUAUAGUAUAUAAGUAUAUACCCGUGAUCACCGCCCAGGUGAUCACGGCCCGAUAGUAUAGCACAGCAGACGGACAAGAAUGUAGGGCCACUGAUGGAAAUCUAGCAUCCUAGACUAAGCAUGUAGGAUUGCAGGUAAAGGUAACAACAAUAGUAGCAAGGAUAGGCUAUGCAUCAGAAUAGGAUAUCGGAAAGUAGUAACAUGCUACACUACUCUAAUGCAAGCAGUAUAGAGAAGUAUAGGCGAUAUCUGGUGAUCAAGGGGGGGCUUGCCUGGUUGCUCUGGCAAGUAGGAGGGGUCGUCGACUCCGUAGUCGAACUGGGCAACAGCAGUGUCGGUCUCGUAGUCUACCAGAGAGAAGAGGGGGAAGAAACAGUAAAUACAAUGCAAACAUAAGCAUGACGAUGCGUGACAUGACAAUGAGCGGUGCUAGGGGUGUCCUAACGCGACAGUAGGUGGUACCGGUGAAGGGGGGAACAUCCGGGAGGUAUUCCCGAUGUUUCGCGUUUUCGGACAGACGGACCGGAGGGGGAAAGUUGCUAGUUCGAUAGGUUAGGGAGGUGUGGUGGACGAACGGACUGCGUAUUUGGAUUCGUCUCGUCGUUCUGAGCAACUUUCAUAUAGAAAACAUUUUCAUCCGAGUUACGGUUUAAAAGAUAUGAAUUUUCAAAGUUUAUUUGAAUUUCUGGAAUUAUUUAUAUUAAGCAAAAUGAAUUAUGACGUCAGCAUGAGGCAAUGCUGACGUCAGCAGGUCAACAGGUCGGCUGACCAGUCAAACCAGACAGGUGGGUCCAGUGGGACCCACAUGUCAGCCUCUGUUAGUCUAAUAUUUAUUUAAACUAAAAUAACAGUCUAAUUAGAGGGGUGGGCCCCAUAUGUCAGUGAGUGAUUAGUUAAACUAAUUAUUUUUAUUUAUAAAACAUUUUUCUUUUUAUUUUUUUUAAUUUUGCGGCGGGGCCCGCAUGUCAGUGGCUGGGCCUGCCCAGUCAGCACGUUGACCCAGUCAACGGGGCCCACGGGGCCCACUGGCAGGGGCACUGGGGUGGCCCCAGGCCAGCCACGUCGGCGGCCGGCGCCGGAGCAACGCCGGCGACCAAAACGCACGGCGGCGCGCGCGGGAGGCCGUCGGAUUUGCGCUACGGUGGCUCAAAUCGGGCGCGGCUGGACCCGUUCGAACGAGAAGACGACGGCGAAGCGAUCUGGGGUGGUGGCAGAGGCUGCGGUGGUCGGGAACGUCGACGGCGAGCGGCGAGGCGGCGGCGCGCACGGGUGCCCGACGGGAACGCGGCUACGGCGGGCUAUCAAGCAAGCGGAGGGGCUGGGGGGCAUCUACGUACGGUGGGAAGUGCAACGGGCUUGAGCCCGUGACCAAAAGGUCACCGGAGACCCGCCGGCGGCGAGCUCCGCGGCGCGGCGUUCGGGCGCGCGUGGGGGAGCAGCUACGGAACGCGGGCGAGCUAACGGAGAGGGGGAGGAGAAGCGGGAGCUCACAGCGGAGCCGUAGGGAGUGGCAGUGAGCUCGGGGAGGGCGCGGGGUAGCCGGAAUCGGCGACGAACGCCGGCGACCCGAAGGUUGAAGACGAGCUCGUGGAGGUCGGUGCAGAGGCGCUCGGCUCGUUGCCGAUGGCGCAGUCGACGUAGUCGACGGCGGGGAGUCGUUCGGGCACGUCGUCGGGGCAAUCGGGGCACGGUGGCCGCGAGUACAACGGUGAACGGCGGCGAGCACGCGUGGGCAGUGGGGAUCGAAGGGGAGAGGGAGGUGGAUCUGACGGGGGAGGAAGGCGCAGAGGCCGAGAGNNNNNNNNNNNNNNNNNNNNNNNNNNNNNNNNNNNNNNNNNNNNNNNNNNNNNNNNNNNNNNNNNNNNNNNNNNNNNNNNNNNNNNNNNNNNNNNNNNNNNNNNNNNNNNNNNNNNNNNNNNNNNNNNNNNNNNNNNNNNNNNNNNNNNNNNNNNNNNNNNNNNNNNNNNNNNNNNNNNNNNNNNNNNNNNNNNNNNNNNNNNNNNNNNNNNNNNNNNNNNNNNNNNNNNNNNNNNNNNNNNNNNNNNNNNNNNNNNNNNNNNNNNNNNNNNNNNNNNNNNNNNNNNNNNNNNNNNNNNNNNNNNNNNNNNNNNNNNNNNNNNNNNNNNNNNNNNNNNNNNNNNNNNNNCGGGGGUGAGUGGAAGAGAGGCCCGAGGAGGCGGGGGGAGCUGGCGCCCUUAUCCUCCCCGUCGCCGGCGAGGGGGUGCGGCGGGGACGGCCCCUGUUCCGACCCCGGUUGGGGGAACAGGGAAGGGGGCGAGGGGGAGAGGUGGGCUGGGCCGGGGGGUCGGGGGUGGCGGCCCAGUUUGGGCCACGGGUCCAGUGGGGGGAAGGGCGUUCUCCUUCUUUUCUUUUUCUCUGUCUCUCUUGUUUUCUGUUUUCUUUUUAUUUGUUUAUUUUCUUUUCUGUUUUAUUUCAUUUAAAAGUAUUUAGGUAUUUUAUAAAAAUGUGUUUCCUCUACCAUAAUUACCAGUGUAUUAUUUGGCACCCACCGAACAUUUUUGUUUAAAUUUUUGAAAACUUUUAUUUUUCACUUUAAUUAUAUUUGAAGUUUGAACUAGGAGUUUGAAAAGGAAGGUGAUUCAAAUGUGAUCAAGCCCUGUUUAGCAACAUGAUUAGCUUAAUCACAGGGAGUUACUGUAGCAUGAUUCUCAGGGUGUUACACGGAUGGUAAUGUGACCAUCUAUAAGGCUCGACUUGUCGCUAAGGGUUAUUGACAAGUUCAAGGGGUUGACUACGAUGAGACUUUCUCACCCGUAGCGAAGCUGAAGUCCGUCCGAAUCAUGUUAGCAAUUGCCGCAUACUAUGAUUAUGAGAUAUGGCAGAUGGACGUCAAAACGGCAUUCCUUAACGGCUUCCUUAAGGAAGAGUUGUAUAUGAUGCAGUCGGAAGGUUUUGUCGAUCCUAAGAAUGCUAACAAAGUAUGCAAGCUCUAGCGCUCAAUCUAUGGGCUGGUGCAAGCAUCUCGGAAUUGGAACAUUCGCUUUGAUGAGAUGAUCAAAGCGUUUGGGUUUACACAGACUUAUGGAGAAGCCUGUGUUUACAAGAAAGUGAGUGGGAGCUCUGUAGCAUUUCUCAUAUUAUAUGUGGAUGACAUACUAUUGAUGGGAAAUGAUAUAGAAUUCUUGGAAAGUAUAAAGGCCUAUUUGAAUAAGUGUUUUUUAAUGAAGGACCUUGGAGAAGCUGCUUAUAUAUUAGGUAUCAAGAUCUAUAGAGAUAGAUCAAGACGCCUCAUUGGUCUUUCACAGAGUACAUACCUUGACAAGAUAUUGAAGAAGUUCAAUAUGGAUCAGUCCAAGAAAGGGUUCUUGCUUGUAUUGCAAGGUGUGCAAUUGAGCACUGCUCAAUGCCCGACCACGGCACAAGAUAGAGAAAAGACGAGUGUCAUCCCCUAUGCCUCGGCCAUAGGGUCUAUUAUGUAUGCCAUGCUGUGUACCAGACCUGAUGUAAACCUUGCCGUGAGUUUGGUAGGAAGGUACCAAAGUAAUCCUGGCAUGGAACACUGGACAGCGGUCAAGAAUAUCCUGAAGUACCUGAAGAGGACUAAGGAUAUGUUUCUCGUUUAUGGAGGUGACGAAGAGCUCGUCGUAAAGGGUUACGUCGACGCUAGCUUCGACACAAAUCUGGAUGACUCGAAGUCACAAACCGGAUACGUGUAUAUUUUGAAUGGAGGAGUAGUAAGCUGGUGCAGUUGCAAGCAAAGCGUCGUGGCGGGAUCUACAUGUGAAGCGGAGUACAUGGCAGCCUCGGAGGCAGCACAGGAAGCAGUCUGGAUGAAGGAGUUCAUUACCGACCUAGGGGUGAUUCCCAAUGCGUCGGGCCCGAUGACUCUCUUCUGUGACAACACUGGAGCUAUUGCCCUUGCGAAGGAGCCCAGGUUUCACAGGAAGACUAGGCAUAUCAAGCGUCGCUUCAACUCCAUUCAUGAAAGUGUUCAAAAUGGAGACAUAGAUAUUUGUAAAGUACAUACGGACCUGAAUGUAGCAGAUCCGUUGACUAAACCUCUCCCUAGAGCGAAACAUGAUCAACACCAGGACGCUAUGGGUGUUCGAUUCAUCACAAUGUAACUAGAUUAUUGACUCUAGUGCAAGUGGGAGACUGUUGGAAAUAUGCCCUAGAGGCAAUAAUAAAUGGUUAUUAUUAUAUUUCUUUGUUCAUGGUAAUUGUCUAUUGUUCAUGCUAUAACUGUGUUAUCCGAAAAUCGUAAUACACAUGUGAAUACAUAGACCACAACGUGUCCCUAGUAAGCCUCUAGUUGACUAGCUCGUUGAUCAACAGAUAGUCAUGGUUUCCUGACUAUGGACAUUGGAUGUCAUUGAUAACGGGAUCACAUCAUUAGGAGAAUGAUGUGAUGGACAAGACCCAAUCCUAAGCAUAGCUCAAAGAUCGUGUAGUUCGUUUGCUAGAGCUUUUCCAAUGUCAAGUAUCUUUUCCUUAGACCAUGAGAUCGUGCAACUCCCGGAUACCGUAGGAGUGCUUUGGGUGUGCCAAACGUCACAACGUAACUGGGUGACUAUAAAGGUACACUACGGGUAUCUCCGAAAGUGUCUGUUGGGUUGGCACGGAUCGAGACUGGGAUUUGUCACUCCGUGUGACGGAGAGGUAUCUCUGGGCCCACUCGGUAAUGCAUCAUCAUAAUGAGCUCAAUGUGACUAAGGAGUUAGUCACGGGAUCAUGCAUUACGGUACGAGUAAAGAGACUUGCCGUUAACGAGAUUGAACAAGGUAUUGGGAUACCGACGAUCGAAUCUCGGGCAAGUAACAUACCGAUUGACAAAGGGAAUAGUAUACGGGAUUGAUUGAAUCCUCGACAUCGUGGUUCAUCCGAUGAGAUCAUCGUGGAACAUGUGGGAGCCAACAUGGGUAUCCAGAUCCCGCUGUUGGUUAUUGACCGGAGAGGCGUCUCGGUCAUGUCUGCAUGUCUCCCGAACCCGUAGGGUCUACACACUUAAGGUUUGGUGACGCUAGGGUUGUAGAGAUAUGAGUAUGCGGAAACCCGAAAGUUGUUCGGAGUCCCGGAUGAGAUCCCGGACGUCACGAGGAGUUCCGGAAUGGUCCGGAGGUGAAGAAUUAUAUAUAGGAAGUCCAGUUUUGGCCACCGGGAAAGUUUCGGGGGUUAUCGGUAUUGUACCGGGACCACCGGAAGGGUCCCGGGGGUCCACCGGGUGGGGCCACCUAUCCCGGAGGGCCCCAUGGGCUGAAGUGGGAAGGGAACCAGCCCUUAGUGGGCUGGGGCGCCCCCCAUGGGCCUCCCCCCUGCGCCUAGGGUUGGAAACCCUAGGGUGGGGGGNNNNNNNNNNNNNNNNNNNNNNNNNNNNNNNNNNNNNNNNNNNNNNNNNNNNNNNNNNNNNNNNNNNNNNNNNNNNNNNNNNNNNNNNNNNNNNNNNNNNNNNNNNNNNNNNNNNNNNNNNNNNNNNNNNNNNNNNNNNNNNNNNNNNNNNNNNNNNNNNNNNNNNNNNNNNNNNNNNNNNNNNCCGGCGCCCCCCCUCCCAGGGGGCCUAUAUAAAGGGGGGGAGGGAGGGCAGCAACACUACAGCCUUGGGCGCCUCCCUCCUCCCCUGCUACACCUCUCCCUCUCGCAGAAGCUCGGCGAAGCCCUGCCGAGAUCCCGCUACAUCCACCACCACACCGUCGUGCUGCUGGAUCUCCAUCAACCUCUCCUUCCCCCUUGCUGGAUCAAGAAGGAGGAGAUGUCGCUGCACCGUACGUGUGUUGAACGCGGAGGUGUCGUCCGUUCGGCACUCGGUCAUCGGUGAUUUGGAUCACGGCGAGUACGACUCCAUCAACCACGUUCAUUGGAACGCUUCCGCUCGCGAUCUACAAGGGUAUGUAGAUGCACUCCUUGUAGGAGAUAUGCCCUAGAGGCAAUAAUAAAUGUUAUUGAUUAUCUCCCUGUUCAUAAUUAUGUUUAUGUUCCAUGCUAUAACUGCUGUGGUUCCCGAGCCCGUAUAUCCAUAAAGGCUCUGGGGAGAACCCAUAUGCACGUGUGGAAUAAUAAACGGUAAAAUGUAUUCCUAGUCGUGCCUCUAAGACUAGCUCAAGUGUUGCAUGAUGAUUAUGUUUUCCCAAUCAUGGGCAUGUCUAUGCCAAGCAACUUUGAGGGCACAAUGUCAGGAAGGACAUUUGUGUUGAAUCGACCCGGAUUGAUGUUAUGCUAUGAGAUUCAUUCGUCACAAGUUUAUUGGUACAUAACACAGAGAUGGUUAACGUUUGCAUGAUUCCUUAGACCAUGAGAGUAUCGAGUUUCUUCAUGCUUGCUUCAUGAACUUUGGGGUUUGUUAAACGUCAUCCGUAAAUGGGUGGCUAUUACGGCGGCUUACGGGUUCAUGGAAAAGUGUGUCAAGUAACUUGAUAGAUCAAGAUUGGGAUUUGCUCCUCCGACGAUGGAGAGAUAUCUCUGGGCCCUCUCGGUGUUACGGUAUCCAUCAUCGUCUGGCCAGACACUUUGUGAUUUGAUCACGGGGAUGCCGGAACACGAUAACGAGAAAAGAGAACAAUACCGGUAACGAGGUAACUAGCAUAGUGGACAAGUUGUUGACCCACGGGAAUGCCAACAUGUCUCACCUCGGGUAUUUGUAACAUAUCGCGAAGCAACAGGAAUAGCACACGGCAACUGGAGGUUCACUCGAAUAUUUAUUCGUGUGGGUAUAGGGGUCAAUAUGGGUGUCCACGGCUCCGAUGUUGAUCAUUGAUCGGAAGGGGUUCCGGGUCAUGUCUAUACUUCACCGAACCUAUAGGGUCACACGCUUAAGGGUCAUCUAUCUGCUGAAUACUAGACAGGGAGUCUGAGAGAAAAUCACCGAAAAAGUUUCGGACACCGAAAAGUUUCGGACAGCGGAAUCGUACCGCAGAGAGAGGUCAUCGGAUAAGUUUCGAUGAUACCGAAAAGUUGUUUCGGGAUACACCAUUAAGUCAAAUUGGUUUCGGCACAUGCCUGAUAAUUCUUGGAGGAUGCCAGAAUCAUUCUGGAAGCUUUUUGGAAUUUUCUGAGAUAAAAACCGGAAAUGUUCUGGAGCUGCCGGAGCCACAUCAGAUGCGUUUCGCAGAUGAAAAUCACUAAAACCGGAAUUGUUUCGGAACGCGUUGAAAAUCAUUUUAGUGGGUACUGGAAAUGUUCUUAGCCCACAUAAAUAUUUUCAGUUCGAUCAGACGCUGAAAAAUGUCGUCGUGAAUAGUGAAAAUCAGCUUUAUGCUUACUUUAUGGAAAGCCACCUUUUUGGGGCUUUGCUCCAAAAGAUCUUGGGGAUGACAUGGAUGGAUAGGAGCCAUUUUUUGGGCCCCUCAUGAGGGUGUGGCCGGCCACAUGGGGUAUCCCCCCUUGGGGACCCUCUUGUUCCUUGGUUUCACUCCUAGGUCCUUGUGGAAGGACUUCAUUCAUGUGCAUUUUGGGUUUUUUGUGAAACUACCCUACCCCCUUGGGAUUUCCUAUAAAUAGAGGUGGAGGGGCAGCCCUCCACACUCAUCCCUUGCUCUCAUACACAUGCCAUGCAUUAUCUGGCUUCUUCUCUCCCUCCCACGAAAAGAGUUUCGUAGAGCCGUAAGGCUGUCUGGGUUCCGGCAGGAACUAGUUCUGGACGGCGAAGCCCUGCCGGAUAGAUGACACCGUAUGUGUGCAACUCUGUAGAGAGAUCGUAGUUUCGGUCUUAGUUCGUGAGUGCCUCCCGAAGGGCUGUCCGUGCGACCGUCCGAGUUUCGAAGGUCCUCCCGAAGGGCUGUCCGAGUGACCGUUCGAGUUUCGAAGGUCCUCCCGAAGGGCUGUCCGCGACACCGUCCGGGGGGCUGUUCGACCGCCUCCCAGAGGGCUGCCUGAGGAGCAGAUAAGGGUAUACAUCCUCGCGGUUGGGAGGUUGUAAAUCCUAGCUGCGGGGAUCUGCACCGCCGAUCGUCAUCGACUCUACUUCCCGCUGCGCUACGAGUCGGUAACGAAAAAGAUCAAACCAUGUAUGCAGUCUCCAUAGUGGUCCUGGGCUGGUGCGUAGGUCAGAAUUUUUUUGUUUUCUGCUACGUUCCCCUUCAGUGGCAUCAAGAGCCGUGCUAUGCGUAGAUGCAGGUUUCGAUCUAGAAUACAUGGAGAUGUAUGGGUAUUGCAUAAUAUAAUUAGGUAGUAGAUGAGAUCUAUUGCUGAAAAUUAUUUGUGCGGGUGACAGAUGAAAUCUGUUACCCGAGGUUCUUCUUGCUUCCCUAGAAUUUGCGUUUGCUCAAUCUCGAGACAGCAUGGUGGAAUUUUACAAAGUUCUGGCAAUCCGUGAUCCUGAUUGAUCAUGGAAGUGCUAUCAGUUCUUUGGGUUCUGCCGUAGUCAAAAGAAAGAUGAAAUUCGCAGAUGAAAGGGCAUUGCAGAUAUGAUCUGCAUGGGGGUCAUGCGUAUGACGAAGUUUAGUAUGGGGCUCGAGAUUUAAUUAUCCCGUGUUUCAUACACCCCGAGAUGUUAAUCUAGCAACUUGAAUAAUCAUACUUGAUGAUAAAACGUUGGUCGCUGCGGUUUAAGUCAAAACCUUAGAAGCCACGUAAAAUAAAUUUUGCAUAAACCGAUUAGAGGCGUCUAACUUGGUUUUGCAGGAUGUGCAUAUGAUGUGGUAUAGCAGUGCUCAUACUAAGUCGAUUAUGUAUGAGAUGACUAUAUGAUGUAAUUUGAUUAACAUGACCUGCGUGUCAUGAUUCGGCAUGAUGGUUGGAGCCAUAUGAUUGCACUUUAAUGACCUGCGUGUCAACCUUGUUGUAAUGCAUUAUUUUGUUAGCUAUAGAGAUAGCAAUAUUAUCUGGUGCAUCGACAAGGUGGUGGCAAUCUUCGCGAAGGUGAACACCGACGUGAAUGCCGAAGACGAAGAAAUGAAAGACUUCUCCGUCAGAAAGGGCUAUACCAUAUCAUGCUAUUAUGAAUUGCCUGAGAUGUUUAUCCCUUAUGAUGCACCCUUCUUGAUUGCGCGGUAGUCGCUUUUUAUUAGGGUGAUCUCUCACAAAAAUACCAAGUAGUUAGUGUUCUCCCAAGUGUAGCACCGUCACGGCACCUAUCUUUUCGGGGUGCGCCGUGUCACACGGGUACGAACGAUUAGAGAAGUGUGAGGCGGGUGAGUUGAGACCUCGCAGCGAGAUCACUUGGUUGUCUUGACGUUCAGGCAUGACCGUCAUGAGCUCGGAACACACACAUCGAAAGAUGAACAAGAGUCACAUAGAGAUGUGAUUGGCAAGUUGGCCUACCGGUUGAGAUUUUUCGUCAUCAGUGGUGUUACACCAAUGGCGAACAAUUGAAAUGUGGGUCUUGUAUCACUCACAAUCAAUUUUGAGAGAUAUUGAUUUGAGUGGGAGCGCACUGUUGAAUUAACAUGUUUAAUUCUUAGUGCAAUUAAUUAUGAACAUUGUCUAAGUGUUAUAUGCAAAAUAGUUGUAGAAUAAUGGCUCGCGUUUUCCACCUUCCCUGUUAAAAUUGAAUAGCUGUUAAAUAUCUGGUUAAAACUUUACGAUUGGUACCGUAAUAUGAGGAUUGUCCUCAAAAGUGCCGAGAAGGACUUUGUCCUAUCGCAUGCUUUCCGUAUCCUCCCGCUAAUGCUAUGGAUCAUGUGACUCUCGUCCUUUGAUCCAAAAGCUAGAAUUCUGUUACGGUCAAAUGGAAUAUGUUUGCUUCCAUGAAACCCAAACUUCAAAAAUUGGGAUAGUUAUAUGAUAUUCAUGGAACUGAAAAUUAUUUUCAGAUACAAACAAAGCAAUGUUUGUUUGCAAGUAUUAGUAAAAGUGUUUACUAUGCAUUUGACUGUUGGGAAAGGGAUCCAGAAGAACGCCUGUCAUAUAAUGAAAGGUGAAUAAAACAACAACUUAAAGAGAAAGGAAGUGUCCAAAGGGUGUUAGUAUGACUUACACGCCUAGGAAGUCCGGGGCUAAUGCCACUCUUAAGUUGGGUGCUUCUUUUGAGACUAGGAGAAAUACUAAAAGUUAAACUGCUAGAAGUAUAAAGGCAAAAGGAAAGAAGACUGGAAUAUCCAGCUCAUGUAUGAAUGUCAUACAAGUUUUUGAUGUAUAGAAGGCUGGUCAAAGAUAUAGUUCUUGCGAAUUAUGGUUAAACAUGUUAAUCACUAAUUCUUGGGUAUUGUGAGUUCAUCACAAAAUGCCCGCUCGAUUGCAUUCUGUUGCAACUCGAUGUAAGAACUACUAUGGCCUGAAAGACUAGCUAGAAAUGAGGUUAAGGUAUACACAGGGAACAUAGUAAAUGUUACUAUACCUUCCAUCGGUGUAUUGCCGUCUGUAUUUAUUUUCAUAAUUCAUUUAGAGUUUUACAAACUCUAUCCCAUUGCAUAAGGCAUCUUGCAAGAAGGUUGUUCAUAAGAGAACUUUUUAUGUUCGAUGUUAUGAAUAACACAAGUGCCAUACUUUCAUUAUGAAUGAGAUGUAUGUUAUGAAUAUUGAUAAUAAUACAAUACCUCUGGGUUUACUUUCAUAAUUCAUUUUAGAGUUUCAUAAACUCUAGCCCAUUGCACAAUGUUUGUUGCAAAAGAGUUGUUCAUAAAAACAACAAUUGUUGUUAAGUAUUAUGAAUAACAUGAAGGGCCAUGCUUCCAUCCAAGAUGGAUGUAUGUUAUGAAUAUUGAUGGUAAUAUAAUACAUCCAUAACACUGACGCUAAAUGACGCAAGACUAUGAGAAUACCACACAUGUGUGGCACUGUAUUUGGUCACAUUGGAGAAACCCGCAUGGAAAAAUUCCAUUAUGAUGGAUUUUGAAGUCGUUUGAUUUUGAAUCAUCUGACACUUGCAACUUUUCUCCGAAAAGUGAAGUGACUGAAAUACCGUUCACAGGCCAUAAGGAACGAGCAACAAACUUAUUGGUGAUCAUACAUUUUGAUGUGUGUAGUUCAAUAAAUGUUGUUGCAAGUAGUGGAUUUAUAUAUCUUCAGAAAUGACUCAAGUAGAUAUAUGGAUAUUUGCUUGAUGAGACGUAAGUCUGGAUCUUUUGAAAUCAUUCGGAAGGUUUUCAAAAAUGAAGUAGAAGUUAUUGUAACAAGAAAAUUAUGUUUCUGCAAUUUGAUUGCACAAAGGAAUAUUUGAGUUACAUGUUUAGCGAAUGUCUGAUGAGUUGUGAAAGGGGUUUCAUAACUUGCACCUCCCGGAACACCACUGCAAGUGAAAAGUCCGUGGAGAUGUAAUCUAACCAUUUAUGACAUGGUAAGGUCAAAGAUGACAUAAAUAAAUUUGCCAUUAUCCUUUUUAAAGUGAUGCUUUAGAGACUGCGGCUUUUACACUGAAAAGAGCUACAUCGGGUCUGUUGAAAUGAAGCCAUGGUAUGGUACGCCCAACCAUGUUAUAUCUUUUCUUAACAUUUGGAAUAUGGGGCUUGUGUAAAAGGUUACAAACCUAUUCCAAAUCAGACAAGUGCUACUUUGUAGGUUAUACCAAAAUGUUGGGUAUUCCUCCCUCACUAUACCGAGGCAAAUAGUUUUGCCGCGAAACGGUGUGCUUUUAAAGAGAAUGGUUCUUUCAAAAAGGUGAGUGGGAGAAUAGUGCAACUCGACGAGAUAAACAGUAUCUACGUCAUCAGAUCAAAGGAAAGAGACCCUGGAAGUAAUUCCAGAGUUUCCUACUGCGACUGAUACGGAAGUCUCUACAAUAAAAUGUAUGAACUUCGGUCGAACUUGCAGCUGAACCACGUAGGCAAGGCUCGUGCAAACCUCUGAGGUGCGCAAACGAGAUAUUGUUGUUAGACAACAUUAUACCUACGAUACACAAGGAAGCGUUGAUGGGCCCUGACUCCGGAAUUGGCUAAAUGCCAAUACAACCCGAGUUAGUUUCCAUAUAAGUGAUUCAAGAUUUAAACCUUGAUACACCUUUCGGAAGACUAAGAGUCUAACGAAUAUUUAUGGAACUUAAAACUGAUAUGGAUAAAAAUGUUGUAUCCAUAAAGCUCGACUUGUUGAAAUAACAAGUUCAAGAGUUGACUAUGAUGAGGUUGUUUUCAUCGUAGCGAUGCUUAAAGUAGGUUUGGAUUGAACUAGCAAUUAAUACAUAUUUCAAUCAUGAGAUAUGAAACAUGGAUGAUAAAAGGAUUUCCAUCUGAUGGAAAUGAAAGCUAGGACUUGUAUAUGAUACAGUCCAAAGUAAUUUGUCGAUCCAGAGGAUGCUAGUAGGUAUGCAAACUUCAGAGUUCCAGCAAUGGACAGAAGAGAGCAAAAUGGAGUUGGAAUCUUCGUGUUUUGAUGAAAUGUUCAAAGAGGUUUUGACUUCAUCAAUGGGUAACGAAGAUGCUUGUAAUUCAAGAAAGUAAGUGGGAGCGUAAUAAUAUUUCUAAAAACUUUAUGUGCUUGGCACAUUGGUAAUUGGAAAUAAAUUUCUUGACACAAAUUAGGACUUCAUUUGAAAAUAGUUUUUCGAUGAAGUGCUUAGGCUAAAUAGCCUCAAUAUUAGGCAUGAUGAUCUAUGGAGAUAGAUUUGCCUAAUGGGGCUAAGCAAUGAAUACAUAUUGACAAGAUGCUAAAACCUUUUAGCAUUUAGAACGCCAAGGAGUGAUUCUUGCCAAAGUCACAUGGAAAGAGUUUUUUCAAGACUCGGUGUCCCAAAACACUGAUGAGUAAAAUACAUGAUGCAGAUUCCACACACUUUUGUGUUUGGAUUAAUCAUGUAUUCCAUGGUAUGUAAAACAACCAGAUAUGUCCGAUACUCCUAAGGUGUUGCGAGUAUGGAUAGCAAAGUGAUCAAAUUACUGAUCAUGGGACAACAGUGAAAGAUGUCACAGAGUACUAGAGUAAGUACUGAUGACAUGGUUUUCUCGCAAGCAGAGAUCAUGAAGAGUUCGUUGUAAAAUGUUACAUCGAUACAGUCUUCAUCUUUUCUCCAUGCGAUUUUCGAUUUAAAUUAAGGGUUUUGUGUAACACACAAUGUGGUGGCACAGUUAGUUGGAAUUUGUUCAAACUAGUUAUUGUGGCGAAUUCUAUAACAAGGGCUAAGUAUGUUAACGCUUUAGAAGCGACAAAGAAGAUGUUGAAUCAUAUAGUUCAUUCAUGAACUUAGUAUUGUUCCAAGAUGGCUUUUGACAAUGGGACACUACUGCAGGUAGUUGCUCCAUAACUCAGUCUGAGGAAUCCAGGUUCGACCUGUGAUUCACAUACAUACGAAGCCAAGUCCACACAAAAUAUGAAUUUUGUGAAAUCGCGAGGACAUGCAAAGAUACACACGGAACUGAAGUCGUCAGAUCCGUUGGACAUCAGGCUAUACCACAAGCGAAGCAUAUUUACACCGGUGUGCCACAGGUGUGAAGUGCAUUAGCAUAAGCUAGAUUAUUGUCUCUAGUGCAAGUGGGAGUCUGUAGGAGAUAUGCCCUAGAGGCAAUAAUAAAUGUUAUUGAUUAUCUCCCUGUUCAUAAUUAUGUUUAUGUUCCAUGCUAUAACUGCUGUGGUUCCCGAGCCCGUAUAUCCAUAAAGGCUCUGGGGAGAACCCAUAUGCACGUGUGGAAUAAUAAACGGUAAAAUGUAUUCCUAGUCGUGCCUCUAAGACUAGCUCAAGUGUUGCAUGAUGAUUAUGUUUUCCCAAUCAUGGGCAUGUCUAUGCCAAGCAACUUUGAGGGCACAAUGUCAGGAAGGACAUUUGUGUUGAAUCGACCCGGAUUGAUGUUAUGCUAUGAGAUUCAUUCGUCACAAGUUUAUUGGUACAUAACACAGAGAUGGUUAACGUUUGCAUGAUUCCUUAGACCAUGAGAGUAUCGAGUUUCUUCAUGCUUGCUUCAUGAACUUUGGGGUUUGUUAAACGUCAUCCGUAAAUGGGUGGCUAUUACGGCGGCUUACGGGUUCAUGGAAAAGUGUGUCAAGUAACUUGAUAGAUCAAGAUUGGGAUUUGCUCCUCCGACGAUGGAGAGAUAUCUCUGGGCCCUCUCGGUGUUACGGUAUCCAUCAUCGUCUGGCCAGACACUUUGUGAUUUGAUCACGGGGAUGCCGGAACACGAUAACGAGAAAAGAGAACAAUACCGGUAACGAGGUAACUAGCAUAGUGGACAAGUUGUUGACCCACGGGAAUGCCAACAUGUCUCACCUCGGGUAUUUGUAACAUAUCGCGAAGCAACAGGAAUAGCACACGGCAACUGGAGGUUCACUCGAAUAUUUAUUCGUGUGGGUAUAGGGGUCAAUAUGGGUGUCCACGGCUCCGAUGUUGAUCAUUGAUCGGAAGGGGUUCCGGGUCGUGUCUAUACUUCACCGAACCUAUAGGGUCACACGCUUAAGGGUCAUCUAUCUGCUGAAUACUAGACAGGGAGUCUGAGAGAAAAUCACCGAAAAAGUUUCGGACACCGAAAAGUUUCGGACAGCGGAAUCGUACCGCAGAGAGAGGUCAUCGGAUAAGUUUCGAUGAUACCGAAAAGUUGUUUCGGGAUACACCAUUAAGUCAAAUUGGUUUCGGCACAUGCCUGAUAAUUCUUGGAGGAUGCCAGAAUCAUUCUGGAAGCUUUUUGGAAUUUUCUGAGAUAAAAACCGGAAAUGUUCCGGAGCUGCCGGAGCCACUUCAGAUGUGUUUCGCAGAUGAAAAUCACUAAAACCGGAAUUGUUUCGGAAUGCGUUGAAAAUCAUUUUAGUGGGUACUGGAAAUGUUCUUAGCCCACAUAAAUAUUUUCAGUUCGAUCAGACGCUGAAAAAUGUCGUCGUGAAUAGUGAAAAUCAGCUUUAUGGUUACUUUAUGUAAAGCCACCUUUUGGGGCUUUGCUCCAAAAGAUCUUGGGGAUGACAUGGAUGGAUAGGAGCCAUUUUUUGGGCCCCUCAUGGGGGUGUGGCCGGCCACAUGGGGUAUCCCCCCUUGGGGACCCUCUUGUUCCUUGGUUUCACUCCUAGGUCCUUGUGGAAGGACUUCAUUCAUGUGCAUUUUGGGUUUUUUGUGAAACUACCCUACCCCCUUGGGAUUUCCUAUAAAUAGAGGUGGAGGGGCAGCCCUCCACACUCAUCCCUUGCUCUCAUACACAUGCCAUGCAUUAUCUGGCUUCUUCUCUCCCUCCCACGAAAAGAGUUUCGUAGAGCCGUAAGGCUGUCUGGGUUCCGGCAGGAACUAGUUCUGGACGGCGAAGCCCUGCCGGAUAGAUGACACCGUAUGUGUGCAACUCUGUAGAGAGAUCGUAGUUUCGGUCUUAGUUCGUGAGUGCCUCCCGAAGGGCUGUCCGUGCGACCGUCCGAGUUUCGAAGGUCCUCCCGAAGGGCUGUCCGAGUGACCGUUCGAGUUUCGAAGGUCCUCCCGAAGGGCUGUCCGCGACACCGUCCGGGGGGCUGUUCGACCGCCUCCCAGAGGGCUGCCUGAGGAGCAGAUGAGGGUAUACAUCCUCGCGGUUGGGAGGUUGUAAAUCCUAGCUGCGGGGAUCUGCACCGCCGAUCGUCAUCGACUCUACUUCCCGCUGCGCUACGAGUCGGUAACGAAAAAGAUCAAACCAUGUAUGCAGUCUCCAUAGUGGUCCUGGGCUGGUGCGUAGGUCAGAAUUUUUUUGUUUUCUGCUACGUUCCCCUUCACUCCUUUCCCCUCGUUGCUAGUAUACUCCAUAGAUGGAUCUUGGUGAUGCGUAGGAAAAAUUUUAAAUUCUGCUACGAUCCCCAACAAAAGAAGCCGAGGCCAACUUGCUAGGAUCGUUGGUAUUAAAUCAAAACAAAGAUAUAAUACUCUUUCCUUACAACUUCAAGUGAGUGUUACUGUCUUGUGCAUAUUCGGUUUCCCUUAUUAGUCCAGGUUAUGGUAAUGUAAUUGAUGACUUAUGCAUGCAUGCGCAGCUUCCACUAUAUUCUCCUAGAGAUUAAGCUUGAGCAGGGAGUAGUAACCGUCUUAGAUUCGAGACGAAAAGAUCCCAAGGACUAUGCGAACAUGACUCAAAUGCUCGAGAAGUAAGUUAAAUCGAUCAUUAUCCACCAUAUCAGCAACUUUGUUCAUUUCCUGAUAUCAAGUAAUUGUUUUCUUUGUCUGGCAGGGUUUGGAGAAAAUUCACCACAAAAGCUCCGGGACUGCCGAAGAAGCUGCAGUUUAAACACCCGAAAGUAAGUACUAUAGUAGCAUGUUCCGCGCAUCUCCCAGUGAUUCAAGCGCUAGUUUCAUCAAUACCAUUUAGCAUGCUUGCUUAUCAGUUUGAUUGACCUCUAUUUCUUGUAAAGUGGUUGUGGCAGGAACCCGGGAAUAAUUACUGUGGAUACUACGUUUGCGAGUCCAUCCGCUACACGACCUGUGAGCGGGGCUACUCUGACGAACAAUAUGAAGUGCGUAAGCAAUAAUAUUCACAAUUUUAUUUUAUUACCAUCAUUUGUGUUGAGUUUCAUUUAUUCAUAUAUAUAUGUAUUGACCCCCUUCUUCAAAUUAGAUGUUUCGGAAGCGGGAUGAACUCCUAGCACCAGAUCGUAUGCGAGCAAUUCAAGAGGAAUUGGCGGCAUUCUUCCUUGACCACGUGAUCGCCGAAAACGGAGAAUACUAUGUGGACCCUGUGUUCUUACAAUUUAAUUAGGAGAUUGUAUUGUAAGAGAUAAUUAUUGUAUAUAUGUAGCCGGUAGUGUCGGAUAGAUAUACGAGAACUUGUUGUUCGACCAAUCUCUCGGAGAAGGAGAGGUGGUCGAUAUCACUUCUCUCUGUAUGCAUAUGUUCAUGACGAUCUUCUGUUCCCUUCAUUUGAUUACUAGCUAGCGUGUCUAGUCCUCUCCAUACGUAUAUAAUACGUAGCGUCGACCAAGCACGGAGAUAAGAGAGGACACUUCUCUCUAUUAAUUAGCUAGCUAACACAAUAUAUGAAACACCUAAAUUAACCCCCCACCCCUCCCUAAAAAAAACAAAAACCCCAGCCCCUGAAAUGCUGACGCGUGGAUGCCUAUUGGUCCCGGUUGGUGACACCAACCGGGACAAAAGGCCCUGCCUAUUGGUCCCAGUUGGUGACACCAACCGGGACCAAAGGCCCCCCUGCCUGGGCUGGCAGCAGCGGCCACGUGAAGGACCUUCUGUCCCGGUUCGUGUAAGAACCGGGACUAAAUGGUUAGGGCUUUAGUAACGACCCUUUAGUCCCGGUUCAAAAACCAGGAUAAAAGGCCCUUACAAACCAGGGUAAAAGCCUCUUUUCCUACUAGUGCAGAAGCAGUGUCCUGCAUUAAUCCUAGUAAAUGAGUGGUCAGGUGUGUUAUAGUUUUGUCACUUAUUACAUGGUCUCCUGCGGCUUCAAUGAAACAUUAACACCAAUCUCAUUUGGUUUGUGGCGCAUGUUCUCUAUGUCCUCUCUCCUGUGGAUGGCAGGGUAUGUGUGAUUAGAGUUCGCAUAAUAACCUAUCGCUCUAUUACGACUUUUUUUUAGAAAAAACUUCCGAUCUAUUCAUCUUCAAUCAUGGCAGUACAACGAACAUCAAAAAUAAAAAUUACAUCCAGAUUCGUAGACCACCUAGCGACGACUACAAGCAUCAAAGCGAGCCGAAGGCGCGCCACCGUCAUCACCCCUCCAUUGCCGGAGCCGGGCACAACUUGUUGUAGUAGACAGUCGGGAAGUCGUCGUGCUAAGACCCCAUAGGACCAACACCCCAGAACAGUAACCGCCGCCGAUGAAAAUAGCGUAGAUCGGAAGAAUCCGAACCGAAGACACACGAACGUAGACGAACAACGACGAGAUCCGAGCAAAUCCACCAAAGAUAGAUCUGUCGGAGACACACCUCCACACGCCCACCAAUGAUGCUAGAUGCACCGCCGGAACGGGGGCUAGGCGGAAAGACCUUUAUUCCAUCUUCAGGGAGCCGCCGCCGUCUCGCCUUACUGAGUAGGACACAAACUCUAACAAGAUUGAAAAAAAAACUAAAAACGGAGCCCUCCCGCCGGCCCUUGCCAGGAUCCACCGCGCCUUCAUGGCCCUAGGGCCACCGGAGAUGAGGCGGACCUGCGCCGGCGCCGGCAAGAAGCACGAACCCUAACUUUCUUUCUUGGAGGAGGAGGCGGAGCCCUGGCUAUAAUUAGGAUGUUCCGCUCUAUUACGACUUGACAUAAUAUUUUUUGCAUGCACACAAUCGUUGGACAUACAGUGUAGUUUAAAAUGGAGAGAGUAGGGCGGAAGUGGUUUUUUUUUUAGGCAAAGGACGGAAGUGGGCGAUUCUUUUGUUUUCUGACAAUAGUGGGCCUAACCUGACACAGCUUAGGGCCCAGGUCCAGUUAAAACACGACUCAGCACUUCAGCGGGUGCGUAAACGCUUUACGAAGGCGAAUUCGUCCCUCUCCCUUCUCUCCUCCACGACCUCUCCCAUGGCCGCCAAGAGGAAGCCCGGCAGGUCGCCGGCGGCGGCGGCGAAUGCGAAGGAAGACGAUGCGUAGGGCCUCUUCUCCUCGCGCUCCUUCGCCGACCCCACACUCUGCGCUCGCCUCCAAGGUCCCUCCCCCCUCUCCCUCUCUGAUUCCCCGUGAUUUGGUAGUCCCCUCGGGGAACCAGGACCCCGCCCCCUAAUCUCGUCCAUGUAUGUUUUGAGAAAAUAAAAAUCUAUACAGAUGAUUUUCAAAUUUCCAAUCUGAAUGGUCAAAAGACAUGGAUUGAAGUACUGUACAAGUUUUUACAUACGACAUGUUCAUCCUCCACUUAUUUGUGCUAUGUGAGUAUUAGUGCAUUCUAUUGGAUUCCUGUUAUGUUAAAGUACAAUUGCCGUCUUCAAAUCAGAAAUUACAGUCCUCUCAUCUUCCAUAUCACCAGUUUUGAGAGAUAGGCAGUGCAAUAAUAAUCUAGUAGUACUUUACAGCAAAAUCCAGGAGCUCACCCACUAAUGUCGUCCACAGUCUUUUUUGAGAAAAAGAAUCUGUACAUAUGAUUUUUGAAUUUCCAAUCUGAAUGAUCCAAAUGGUAUUAGUAGUUUAGGAAGUACUCCACUAUAAGUUUGACAGAAGACAUGUCCAGAACGUCACCCACCAAGCUGUGAUAUGGACAGAGUAAUAAUACUAUGUGAACGUUAGUGCAUCCUAUUGGAUUCGUGGAUAGGAGCCUUGUUUGGGUUAAGUACAAUUGCCGUCUUCAAAUCAGAAAUUACAAUCCUCUCAUCUUCCAUACCGCCAGUCUUGAGAGAUAUUCAGCACAACGAUCUACUUUACAGCAAAUCAGUGUCUAGGUAUGGUAUUUCCACUAAUCUCAUGGCUUCAAGGCCCAAUACAGUUUAUUUAUCAGAAAUUAAAAAGAACAACAGAAGCAAAGUAUUUCAGUCGCCUUUUAGUUCACUAUACAAAAACAAUGACCAUGACACCAGGUACACAUAGUUAAUAUCCGUUUAACAGAUCACCAGAUUCACUUGAAAAACAGUUCGAAUCUUACUGACCAUCAUAUGUUUCGUCAGGUUUCCAUUUAGAUAUUGCAUAAAUUACUCUCCCUUUCCAUCCUUGUAGCAGCCAACCGCGGUCUUCAACAGCAAAGAAUUCCUCAUGCCAAAACGUGUUCUUCAUGUAUACUAUUAUCCUUAAGAUGGCUGGAUCGACAGGAAGCUGCUGGAACCCGGCCUUGAGGCACCUUGCGUGCCACUGCCUGUAACUUUCUGGUCUCUCAGUUCUUUCUGCACCCUCACAUGCUAUCAUGUUAAGUGCAUCCUUCCCAAAUAUCAUCGUCUCAAUCAUCUUUCUUGCUUCAUUAUCCCGUGGAAUAACGUUUGCAUCAAGCAUGUCAAACAUUGAAGAGUAAUGGAACAUAACCUCUUUGAAACGUUUUAUGAAGAAGGGAGAACUGCGUAACCCAUUUACGGUGCCUGAAAUAAAAACCUUUGGGUUCAUCAUCCUCAUCAUUUUGAGCACCUUGUCCCUUGCACUAUUUAUGGCUUCAGUUUCAUGUCCGAGAUUCUUCAUCCGGAACAUGCAGUUGAUUAUCAGAACUUCAUCCUCGUCAAUGUUAAGAUCCUCAAUUUUAAUGGUCUCCCAUCUUGAAGCGGCAAUGCCCUGAUACUGAAAAGGUACCUUGAACAUGUUUGCAUAAUCAGCCAACCGCUUCCCUGUCUCCUCGAUCAUUUCGCAGGGGCGGAAACCUGGCUGGGGAACAUCUAUACCUGUGAUCCGAAGCUUAGGGGCUCCCUCUUCUUGCUGUGCAAACUUCUGAAUCAUUAACGGCCACUGAAAGCCGAAGCCGAUGCCAAAGUCAACGAUGUGCACCCUUGGUUUCCCUUGUGAGACAUCAAGAAUAGCUUGGCUGGCAAAGUAGUAUGACGUCCUGACAAAAGGACAAGAUGCAAUAAAAAGGCUGUGAGCAUCUAACCAAUCUGUUGUACUUGUUCGCCUCUCCAUUAGGUUGCGAUAAACCUGACACCCGGUCCCAGCCAAGCGUGCCUCGAGGCCAUCCGCCAAGUAAAAUGCCAGUCUCUGAGAACAAUCACCAUCUGCUGAGGAAUGUUGUCUUAUCUUCUUUAGGAGUUUACUGGCCAACAGAUGGUUGUCUUCUGCCACAGCUUGUGAACAAUUGAUGAGGAGAAUCUUGAGAUCAACCAACUCUGUCCUAGGUUGCUUCCUCUGCCAUUGCUUCUGAUGUCCUUCGCUCCGGCCUUUCAGUGAGUUCUUGUUUCCUUCCUCUGCCAACCCUCUUCGCAGUCUUGUUGUUUUUUUGAAACUCUCCAGGCCAUAGCAUAGCAGAACUUGGUCGAAAUUUUCAUUUCGAAUUAUUGCACAACUGGUGAAGGCAAGAUGUUUAUUGCUCCUUCCUUCCAAGAUAUCCCAGUCACUUUGGUGUGCCACCUCAAAAAUUGUGUUUUCGCUCCUCUCUCCUACUUUUGCCUUUGUAGUCACUUUGGAAAUAGAAAGUAUGCCAUUCUCUAAAUAUAUCACCAGCUUAUCGAUACUUGGAGCAAACAUCGUUGCCUCCUCGACUUCUCUCUGACAAUGCAAGCCGGGGAAACCAGAUCUAGAAGUCGAUCCAACACUUGUGAACGGGCGGUUUUGUAGAGAAAGACUCCUAUUGCAGAUAUAUGGACUCAACGAGGUUGUAAAGGGCUGUAACAUGCUGUAACUGGGACAGUCAUUACUGAAGCUAGUGCUCCAGAGUCUCUUGUAACGGCUGGUCCUACUCUUAUCAGGGCUGGCUAGUUCGUUGUUACUAUUCAAUAGCGCAGGGUUAGUAGCCAACGGGUGUACCUGCCCAAGAAGGUCACGGAAUGGUUUCUCAGCAGCCUGGAGAGCAGCCUCCCCUUGGCUUAUUUCGACCCUCUCGUCGACGUCUUCCAUCAGCAUCUGGCUUAUAUAGUGAAGAGCAUCAUUUGAUCUACUCCGGCUGUGCUCAGGGCUACCCCCUGCAGCAGUCUGUAGGCUGCUGUUCACCUUGCACAACACAGGGCUGGUGACUGCAGCAUGCAGAUAUGUGCUUGCUCCAGUGGUUGUUGCCUGGGCCAAGAACAGUGGACCACUCAGGUCGUAGCUGUCCACGGUGAGUUGCUGCUGGAAAGAGGAAGCUCUGUCGUAUGGUUGGUAGGUUGCUGCGGCGGUGUCCAGAUCGUCAAGGUGAGGUUCAACCGCCAUUCUGGAAAAUCUCUUGUUCCUAUUUCCACUUCAAAUCCUGGCAGAACUGAACAAGUCGCAUUUGAUUCUUCUUUCUAGCACAGCAAAUGAAUCAGCUUGUUGCCUGCAAAAAAAAAGAAAAAAAUAGGGAAAUUGAAGCUUAUUUAUGUGAGAUAAAUUUUGGUUCACAUUGCUCAGCUUUUUGCCUACAAAAUGGAAUUCUGCUCGGCGAGCACUUUUUUUUUUUUGCCUCAUCUUCAGCUUAUGAUUGUUUUGGCAUGCCAUACUGAUGAAAAUUGAAUUUCCAAAGGGUGCUUGCGGAAGCGAGCAUUACUGUUUUACCCGGUUAAAUCUCGAACGUUUAGCAUCAAUAACAGAAAAAGGACUCACCUCUGGUUCUUGUUAAGGCAAUCUUGAAAUUACGACGCGCCUAAUAGCAUUAUUCUUUUUUAUGUGCAGGUGGCUCCUCAUCUGAUCUGAGCGAGUAGGUAAAAGCAGGGAAGCAUACACCUUGGUUGUUAUAUUAUAUAAGUAGCAGCACGGUCAGAUCAGAAGCUUUGAGAAGGAGGGAGAGGAGGGGUGUCUGUGGACUGUGGUGUUGAUGUAAACUUGGUAAGUCUUUUGUUCCCAACUACAGCCAUAGUGAUUGUGACAGAGGAUGCUCCAGAUUGCAACAGUCACCGUCUCGAUUAAUCCUAGGCCUGGCUACCCGCCAGACAUGUAAAAAAAACAACUGUCACACCUGACCAUCGUUCUAAUUUCAGGUAUAAAACAGAAGGCUUCCUAACGUGACCGACGGGGUCGAACGAACAAGCGAGCAAAACUAUUACUUCCUGUUAGUCUGCAUGCGUACGUCUCCUAAUGUGCAUACAUGCAAACUCUUUUUUUUAAACACCUCUCCAUAUAUUAAUUAAUUAAAAUGUCAUCACAAUCGUUCAUAACAGCAGACGCCAUGCAGGGCGCUACUGAAUUGGCCCUUCUAUUUAUUUUUGACAGCUUGAAGUUCCCCAGAAGCCUGAUGAUGCCAAACUCUUUCUAAUCCCAAGAUCAGCAGCAAGGCACAGCUCCUUCUCCCCUAGUAUAUA